CUUUAUUUUUGGGAGUCAGAAGGAAGCUUCAUUCGUUAAGAAGAAAGAAACCGGACAAUCAUAAAAUGACAAUAACAAAGAAAAGCAUACCCUUGCAAACUGAACGCUGCAAAUUCGCAUCUUUGCAACUGCAGUUCUUAAAGCACCUCAUUUUUGUACAUAAACAUGAGGCAAGGAGCUUCUAUUACUUGUGUAGAUGAUAGUUGUGUAUUAUUUGGAUGUAUUUUCCAUUAGGAAGACUAGAAACCCUGAUUGUACUUAUUGUAUCUCAAGGUUCUUGGUUAUUAUCCAUACAUCUGGUAGCAAUAUUUGACCUUUACACGGAAUUUUUUUUUUUUUGGGGGGUUUUCUUUUGCUUUUGUGGACUGACAUGAUCUUGGAUCUUAUUUUUUGUUUAAUGUAGCUAGUUCCUUUUCAUAAGAUGCCCUGUUUUGUAAAUGUUAUUUCUCAAAUUUGUUGCACAUUUUUGGAUUUUGGAGAGGUAGCACCAACAUAUGUUCUUAGACUUUGUAUUUUCCUUUAUGUAUAGUUCACAUUGGAUUUUGAUGAAGUUGAGUGGAGUUGGAUCCCUUGUAAGAAGAAUUGAGCAGCUCAUGCAGCGGCGUCGAUAGGAGUUAGGACGGCACAUAGGGAGACCUGGGCUGCACAGCCACCACCAUCCCUAGUUCGUGUGCUGGUUUCGGAUGGACUUCCCAGUCCACCAAAUUUGUAAUCUCUCAUGUAGUCGAGAAAGCUUUUGCACUAUGCCGUCUUUCGGCUAGUCUCCUUCUUAGCUCUUUUCUGUAUGGGCGUGGGCUGCCCUUUUGGUCCCUUUGUUGGCCUUUCAUGAAGUAUUUUCAGACCAAAAAAAAGAGUGAUCUCUAAGUAAUUCAUUUCAUAUGCUGUAUUGAAAUAGUUAGUGUAUUCUAUAUAUAAAACACAAUUUACAUUGUCAUGUGUAUCACUCGACCCAUGGAAAAUCACAUAAAAAUCUCAGUAUGUAAAAUUAGAUAAUAAUGAUUCGUGCUUUAUAAUAUCUAAUCGAUGCAUAAGAUUGUAGAACUUCGAAUUAACAUUGAACACCAUCAUGUAAUUUUGGAUUCAAACUUGCGCUUUCUUCACACACUGGGAAAAGAAUUAUCACUAUACAAAAAAGUCAAUUAUUUUGAACAAGCACUAAUAGCGCUCCCGUAUUUUCAAAAUGUUUCUGUGCAUACACAUAGGCCUACUCGAAUAGAGUGGAUAAUUGGCGUCUAGUAAACAUGGGAUCAUUUCUCAUCAAAUCAUUCGCAUAAUCUUGGGGCUGUGCUUGUACCUGACUUUCAAGAUUAAUUGUUAGAGCUACUACCUCUACGCGCAUAAACAUUUGCUUCUUCUUGGAGCACUUGCAUAGCAAUCUUCAUCCUAUUCCCUCUCAUACUUCACCCACUAAUAAGCAGCCUGCCAAAAGAACCAAAGCAAUGCCUGCCUAUUCAAAAGGGUAAGGUGCAGGGUGAACAAAAAUUCCCACUCACGAAAUAAUGGCAAGAUGACAAGACGAGAUGACCUAUAUGCUUGAUCAUAAUUGAAUAAAGAUAAGAAAGGAUAGGAAAAAGUAAGGGAAUCCAAUAAAGUGAUAUAAAGACAGAUGGACAAGGAUUUAGAACAUGAUUGAAACAAACAAUUUUAAUUUUAGAGAGACAGGCUAGUGGCUCACUACUAGUGACACCGAUAUUGUCCAUAACUUAACCAUCUAUAAAGCCCAGUAGGUGUUGGGUUUUAUCACAAAAGGCCUCGGUAAUAUUAGUAGUGGAACUAUUCAUUAUAUGUUAUAUUUUAUUUAGUCAAGUUUCCGAUGUGAGACUUUAUAUUCUUCAACACGCCCCCUCAUGUGUGACAACCACAUAGUGGGCCACACGUAGAGCUAAGUCCACAUCGGAGUUUAUCAUUUAAGCCCAACACGUGAAGCCCACAUAUUGGGUAAUGGGUAAGGGCAAAUAUUCAAGCUCAACAUGUUUACACCACAUAUUGGGUAAGAGUAAAGGCUCAAUUCAGGCCCAAUCAAUCAACCCGCUCUGAUACCAUGUUAAAUUUCAGACAUACGGGCCAGCAACCCAGUAAUAGCAACACUAAUAUUGUUCCCAACUGAACCACCUACAAAGUCCAGUAUGUGUGAGGUUUUAUCACAAAAGACCUCGGUAAUAUUAGUAGUGGAACCAUUCAUUACAUGUUGUAUUUUAUUUAGUCAAGUUUCUAAUGUGAGACUUUAUAUUCUUCAACAGAUAAUAGAAGUUGGUCCUACUGUGAAGAAUGUGUCAUGUCCUAUUGUGUGCAAGUACAACCUCCUAGUCCGUUCAACCAUGCGAAGAUUGUUUAUUGGAGAAACUCCUUGCUUAUUGGGAGGAGAACCAACUAUUAGAGCUCAAAUGAAACCGACUGAGUUCGAGAAAUACAUUAAUAAUUAUAUUUUGAAACUUGGGAAAUUUAGAUUUAGCUCUAUUAUAGUUGUGUGAUAGCCUAAGGAAGCAUGAGGAGCGCUUCCCUAUUUUUAGAUUUGUAUUAUUCAUUGUCCAUAGUAGUUCAAAUCACAUAUAUAUAUAUUGUCCCUACUUGAAGAGAAGUGUUGAAUAUAAUUGGCUUCGAAUAAACAUGUGGCUUAUGUCUUCAAGUCGUGGACAAAAUAGUUUGUCGAUGACUUUCUUCCAAGACUAAACACAAAUUACAAUUAAAUUGGUGCACCCAAACGGAACCUUAUAACAAAGUGAUGAAUUGUAAAUUGUAAUCAAACAAUAAGAGAUGAAUCUUAAUGUAAAUGUAUGGCUAGAAAACAGAGUGACUGUCUUACACAAAAGUUUAUAUGUAGUUUGGAAGUUAAAAUACCUUCCUAAAAUUAAAAGGGAAAUUGGUGGCUUUGACCUCAGCUUGCCUAAUCUCUUUUUGAAAAUCUUGGUAAAAUGUCUUCCAAAAAUACUCCCUAUUGGUCACAUAUCACCUUUUUAACACACUGUCUCUCUGCAUCAGCUACUUUGAUCUUCCCUUUUGUCUCCCUCUCAUGUAUCACUUGUCGCACUCUGCUUCAUCGUCUUCUUCACUUCUACACUCUCACCAACUGAACAUGGCCACUGACGACAAUAACAUUUUUUUUCAUUGGAUGGAAAAUCAUAACUGCUGGUUUGAAUUACGUUGGAUGUUUGUUCGGCUCUCAGUUGUUCAAUUGGGCUGUGUUUGUUGCAUACUGCCUUUUAGCCUGGUUGUUCAGUUUAAUGAACCUCUCAAAAUUCCAUUCUAUUACAUAAGGUAAUUUAAAACUCAGAUAUACUAAUAUAAGAGAAGAUUGCAUAAUUGAAGGAGAUUGCAUGUGUUGAAAUAUAAUCCUUCUACAGAUUUCUUAGAGCUGAAUCAUUUUCUAUUUUCUGUUAAGUCUAUUUUAAAUGAUGUAAUGAGAACCAUUAGAUCAUAGUCUAAGUGGAGUCUCUAGCUUAGAUUUGGUAUGACACGUGUAAGCACCUAAUAGGGUGACAGUUGUAAUUCUGUUAGGAGAGAAUCACAUUUCUCUCUCUGUCAGACACACUAUGUAAGCUGCAAAUUGUAAGAAUUCAAUAGAACAGUGCCUUCCCCAUUUUCUCUUCAUUCUCUCUAGCUAAAAUCUCCAGAAUAUACACCUCUCCCUAAUUUGAAAAUACAUAUACAAACAGAGAAUUCUAACAUGGCCUCAGAGCCAGGUUCGAUUGUUUGUUGGGCGUGAAUCUGUGAGAAUUGAGCUGGUGUUUGGCUGAGCUGACGUUGAGCUCACUCAAAAUUUCACGAAGCUUUUCUAGCUGCGUCUGAUGUCUAACAUGGCAGGAUCAAGCUCUUCUGAGCUUAGUACACCAGUUUUCAAUGGAGAAAACUAUGAGUUUUGGAGCAUUCGAAUGAAGACCAUUCUGAAAUCUCAUGGACUGUGGGAUUUGGUUGAAAAUGGUUUUGAUGCUUCAGAUCCAAAGAAGGAAAAAGGAAAGGAAGAAGGAUCUAAAGCUGCUGAAGAAGAGAAGUCUACAUCGGCUGAGAUUUUGAUGAAAGAUGCUCGUGCACUUGGACUGAUCCAAGGUGCAGUCUCAGACCAAAUUUUUCCCAGAAUAGUGAAUGAAGAAACCUCAAAAGGUGCAUGGGAUAUUCUGAAGCAGGAGUUUAGAGGCGAUAAACAGGUACGAAGUGUGAAGCUACAAGGCUUACGUAGAGAGUUUGAAUACACUCGUAUGAAGGAUAGUGAGUCAUUCUCUGGUUAUGUUGCUAAACUGUUUGAUCUAAUUAAUCAAAUGAAAAGUUAUGGUGAAGAGUUACCUAGAGAAAGAGUUGUGCAGAAAUUGCUUAUUAGCUUGCCUAGAUCUUAUGACUCUAUAUGUUCUGUGAUUGAGCAUUCAAAGGAUCUUGACACUCUUGAAAUUCAAGAAGUGGUUGCGUCUCUCAAGAACUUUAAGCUCAGAUUGGAUAGGCACACUGAAAAUUCCACAGAAAAGGCUUUUACUAGCCUGAACAUAGAGAGUAAAAGCUCUAAGAAUGGAAGUUCUUCUGGAGGUAACAAGUCUCAGAGGAACUGGAAGGAAAAUGGGAAGAAUUGGAAUAACAAGUCCAAUUCUAAUCCCAAACCAAAUGCAUCAAAUGAUGGAACUAAAACACCUUGCAAGCACUGUGAAAAACUGCACUAUGGCAAGUGCUGGUUUGAAGGAAAACCAAAAUGCAGAGGAUGUGGAAAGUUUGGUCACAUGGUUAGAAAUUGCCAUGGAAAUCAACCUGUGCAGAAGGUGAAUUAUGCCAAUCAGGUUGAAGUAACUGGAACAUUGUUUUAUGCAUGCAAUGCCGUGACAGGUGUGAAAUUGAACAAUUCUUGGUAUGUGGACAGUAGUUGUAGUAACCACAUGACUGGAGAUGAAAGGCUACUGAUAGAUAUUCGAAGGGAUGUAACUUCCAAGGUGAAAAUAGGGACUGGAGAAACAGUUCAAGUUGCAGGAAAAGGCACACUUGUGAUAGAAACCAAGACAGGCAGAAAACACAUUCAAGAAGUGAUGUUGGUGCCUGGUUUAGAAGAGAACUUGCUCAGUGUUGGUCAGAUGAUGGAACAUGGGUAUUGUUUAGUAUUUGGAAAGGGAAUGGUGACAAUUUUUGAUGAUUGGUUACUGCAAAAUCCUAUAGCUAAGGUUCCAAUGACUAGCAAUAGGUGUUUCUCUCUCACAAUGGUACCUGCUACUCAGUUGGUGCUGAGAGCAAGUGUGACUCACAGUUUGCAGACUUGGCAUAAAAGGCUGGGCCAUCUUAAUGAUCAAAGCAUCAGGAUGCUGGCAAAUCAAGACAUGGUUCAUGGACUGCCUAGUCUGGAGAAGGAUUUUGUAGUUUGUGAAGGCUGCAAGCUGGGAAAGCAGCAUAGAGACUCAUUUCCUGCAGAAUCUACUUGGAGAGCUCAGUUUCCACUUGAAUUAGUUCACACUGACAUCUGUGGUCCAAUGCAGAUUGCAUCAAUGUCAGAAAACAGAUAUUUCCUGUUAUUCAUUGAUGACUAUACAAGAAUGGCUUGGGUUUAUUUUUUCAGAAAUAAAUCUAAUGCUUUUGAAUGUUUCAAGAAGUUCAAAGCAAUGACAGAAUUGCAGAGUGGACACAAGGUGAAAUCACUUAGAAGUGACAGAGGUGGAGAAUUCAUGUCAAAUGAAUUUCUUGCAUACUGUAGUGAGGCUGGAAUACAAAGGCAGCUGACUGUAGCAUAUUCCCUCAGCAAAAUGGAGUUGUUGAGAGGAAGAACAGGACUAUAAUUGAGAUGGCAAAGUCUAUGCUACAUGAAAAGAGUCUUCCAUAUGAGUUUUGGGCAGAAGCUGUUCAUACAACAGUCUACCUUCUCAACAGGUGUCCUUCUAAGUCUCUUAAGAAAAUGACACCAUUUGAGGCCUACACAGGAAUAAAGCCAGGUAUUGCACACUAGUGUUUGGAUGCCUAUGUCAUGUGCUUAUUCCUUCUGUUUUGAGACACAAGUUGGAAGAAAACAGUCACAAAUGCAUUUUUGUGGGCUAUGGAUUGUGUGAAAAAGGCUAUAGACUGUAUGAUCCUAAGACUAGAAAGAUUAUCUUGUCUAGGGAUGUCUAUUUUGAUGAAGAAGCCUCAUGGAAAUGGGAGAAUCCUAGCAAUGCAGAUGUGAGAAUGCCUAUGCCAGAUGGAAAUCAAGGUACUGCAGAAACUGAACAGAGGGUAUUAGAUGAACAAUCUCAGUUUUUGGAUACUCAAAUGCAGAUGGAAGAAGAAAUUGCACCUUAAGGGGAAGAAAUGCUUGAUGAGACUCAAAGGUUUGAUCACACACCUCACAAGUGGAGGAGUAUUAAUGACAUCAUGACACAAUGCAACAUGUGCAUUGUAGAACCUGACAGCUUUGAAGAAGCAGAUUUGGAUGAAUCAUGGAGAAGUGCAAUGGAGGCUGAAUUCGAGAUGAUUGAGAAGAACAAUACAUGGAAAUUAGUUGACAGGCCAUUUGACAAACCAGUAAUUGGUGUUAAGUGGGUCUACAAGGUCAAACUGAACCUAGAUGGUACUGUGCAGAAGAAUAAAGCUAGGCUUGUGGCUAAAGGCUAUUCACAGAAGCCUGGAAUCGACUAUAAUGAGACAUUUGCCCCUGUGGCAAGACUUGACACCAUCAGAACCUUGAUAGCCCUUGCAGCACAAAAGGAAUGGAACCUAUUUCAACUGGAUGUGAAGUCUGCCUUUCUCAAUGGCAUUCUAAAGGAGGAAGUUUAUGUUGAACAACCUCAAGGAUAUGUUCAAGAGAGCAAGGAAACCAAGGUGUACAGGUUGAACAAGGCUCUAUAUGGACUGAAACAAGCCCCAAGGGCCUGGUAUGAUGAAAUAGAUGCCUAUUUCAACACUGCAGGUUUUAAGAAGAGCUUAAGUGAAGCUACUCUCUAUAUCAAAACAAGUGACACCUCAGGUAUUAUCAUUGUCUCACUCUAUGUAGAUGACAUUAUAUAUACUGGAAGCUGUCCUAAAAUGCUUGAAGAGUUUAAACAAGAUAUGAUGCAACACUAUGAGAUGACAGACUUGGGUCUGUUGCACCAUUUUCUUGGCAUGGGAGUGGAACAAACUGAUAAGCAUAUUUUCAUUCAUCAAAAGAAAUAUGCCAUGAAAUUCUUGAGAAGUUUGGAAUGAGAGACUGCAAGUCAGUGGCAAUUCCAUUAGUGGUGAAUGAGAAAUUGUGUAGAGAAGAUGGAAGUGAAGCAGCAGAUGAAAAUGAAUUCAGACAGAUUGUAGGAAGUCUGCUUUAUCUGACUGCCACAAGACCAGAUGUCAUGUUUGCAUCUAGCUUGCUUGCUAGGUUUAUGCACAAUCCCUCAAAGAAACACAUGCUAAAAGGGUGCUGAGAUACAUACAAGGCACAUUAGAUUUUGGAAUUGAGUUUGCAAAGGGGAAAACAGCUACUCUAAUUGGGUAUUGUGACAGUGACUGGGCUGGGAGUGAGGAUGAUAUGAGGAGCACCUCAGGAUAUGCCUUCACACUAGGCUCAGGCAUGUUCUCUUGCGCUUCCAUCAAGCAAAACACAGUUGCUUUAUCUACAGACGAAGCUGAGUAUGUGAGUGCUGCAGAAGCAACUUCACAAGCUAAGUGGCUCAGAUUUGUGCUUGAAGAUUUUGGUGAAGAACAGGUAGAAGGGACUCCAAUUCUAUGUGACAACACCUCUGCAAUUGCAAUGGCAAGGAAUCCAGUUCAUCACCAAAAGACAAGACACAUCAGCAGGAAAUUUCAUUUUAUAAGGGAAGCCAUUCAAGCAAAAGAAAUUGAACUGGUGUACUGCAAGACAGAAGAUCAGAUAGCAGACAUUUUGACUAAGGCUCUGCCUAAGGAUCGGUUUGUGAGGUUGAGAAGCUUGCUUGGAGUGAAAUCAGCUAAAGGAUUAGAAGGGAGUGUUGAAAUAUAAUCCUUCUACAGAUUUCUUAGAGCUGAAGUCAUUUUCUAUUUUCUGUUAAGUCUAUUUUAAAUGAUGUAAUGAGAACCAUUAGAUCAUAGUCUAGGUGGAUUCUCUAGCUUAGAUUUGGUAUGACACGUGUAAGCACCUAAUAGGGUGACAGUUGUAAUUCUGUUAGGAGAGAAUCACAUUUCUCUCUUUGUCAGACACACUAUGUAAGCUGCAGAUUGUAAGAAUUCAAUAGAACAGUGCCUUCCCCAUUUUCUCUUCAUUCUCUCUAGCUAAAAUCUCCAGAAUAUACACCUCUUCCUAAUCUGAAAAUACAUAUACAAACAGAGAAUUCUAACAAAACUAUCAAGGAGAUGAAUUGAAGCAGUCAAAGUAGGAAUCCCGACAAAGCAAUUGAUCGGUUGCAGAUACGAUCAAUUCUCAAUGCUAAGCUUAUGAUUGAAAAUUCUUGUUGGCUUAUUCCAUCCUGCACACAACAGAAUAGAGCAGUUGAAAUAGUCACGUAAGUUGUAUUAACAAGAAUCAAACCAUUAUAACAAAGCUAGGUCUAACGAGCUUGUAGCUAUUGAGGUGCAAAGUUCAUGCGAACCUGGCCAAUAAGCACGCAACUACUUUUGAUCAGCUCCAAAUCCUGUACCAAGACCCCAAAUUUGAGUUGCUACUUUUGAUUAGCUAGGUCUAAUAAUAAACAAUUCAGUCUUUCUGAACAUGCUUAUUGAUUGUUGAAUGUAAUUACUUAUUGAUUUGCAGUAUGUUAACAGAUACUUUAUUCAAAUGCAUAAAAUAUGCAGCUCUUGCGUACAUGUAUACAUGUAUAUACUACAUGAGUUGAUCAAAUGCUCUGCAGUAGUUUAAACAGAAAUGUAUUCAUGACAAAAGCACAUGAAAAGAGAGAGAGAGAUUGUCAUUCACGAAACGAUAAGUGAUGAAUCUAAUGGUAAAUGUAUGGCUAGAAAAGAUAGUGAUGGGCACUUACUAAUAUCAAUUGUGAGAAGACCGUCAUUAUCCUUUCAAGUAUUUAUGUGUAGACAUUUGAGGCGGCGGUGUUGUUAACAAAGGUCGCAAAAAUUUAGCUGCUCUUUUAAGAAUAAUAGUUUUUAUUACACUUUUCAACAAUAGUGAAAAAUAAGAGGGUGCAAGGCCUAAGUAGGAAAUCAAAGUGGUUACCCUCCAAAUCAAAAGUCCUAUGCAUCCUCACUGUUCGCUAUUGUUGAAAGAUUUGAUAAAAACUGCAGUUGUUGAAAAGAGGGAGAAAAUCUUUACAAGUUUUUUUAAAAAACAUUUGGAAAGAGCAUAGCUUUUGAGGCAGAGAGAUUUUUGGUGAGAGCUUCCACUUGCAUCAGCUGAAUUGUGAGAAUUGUGAGGAGAAGUAGCUUUUGUGCUGAUUUUGAUGGAGUGGUUCAUCAUCAUGAUUUGGUUGAGUUCUUCCACGUCUUACUUGUGCACCAAACGGAACCCACACUUCUUUAUACCCGAGUAAUAAAUUCUGCCUGGGUGAACGUCAGAAGAACGGAAUGGGUGAGGUUUAGAAAAAAUAUGGAAUGAAAUCUUCAUCUGACUGCAUUCUUUGUCGACUACACAACGAUAUACACAAGAUACCCAAAGGUGAGGUGGCCUUUAUAAAGUUUAAUACUACGCACAGGGGCACUUUUUCCUGGGUGACAUUCAAUUCGAAAAUUAGUAGAAAGGGGAUGAAGUGGAUUUGGGCGAUGAUGUGGACGCAGAGGGGCACCUUCUUCAAAGACAGCACAACAAGCAAUCCAAAUACAGUUUCCCUUCCACGUGGUACAUGGAGGUAGCUCCACAAUUAAGGAAUCUCCUACACUUUGAUUAUUGAACCAUUCUGGAAUUCUACUUCCAGGUGUUACAAUUUGGAAAGCGGGAGUCGUUGGAAUAGGCGAAGGGCGUACCUGUGUACCAUGUAUAGGUUAUUUAUUUAUUAAUAUAACAAACAAAGAGAGACAGAGAGACAGAGAGAGAACCUGAAGGAGUCCCCAACCCAGAGCAGUCCAGAGCAUUCUAAGUAUUAUACUAUCAUCGUAGCCAUCAUUCUCAACCAAUCCAGAGCAAUUCACACAACUCAACGAAACAAAACCUCUUCCUCCUUUUAUUCUCAGGUUUGGCAACGUUUUUAAGGAAGUGCAAUCGUCUGUGUGCAUGUAAAUAGAGCUGAAGCCUUCAUUAUCAACCAAUCCAAAGCGGAAAUGGGGCAAUUGUUGAAGCCUUUGGCACCCACUCACCGAAAAUGCCCUAAGCUUAGGAAGACAUCCAAUGCUUGCAGGAAGGCUAACAAAAUUGUUUCGACUAAGGUAUAAUUUUUCUAAAGAGGACAAGCAGCCAAUAUCAAAGGGAAUAUUCCCGUCACAAAGACCACAAUUACCUGUUAUUAAAAAUUGUGGUUUUUCCCUUUUCAUAAAAUUCUUAUUCAAAACUUUUUGAUAUAAAUAAUAUAUAAAAUAAAUAUUAAACAGUAAAAUAAAAUAAAGAGCCAAGUAAACAAAUAAAUAAAACAAGUUAAGAUUAAGAAAGCAAGCUUGGUAUAGUGAAAGCACGUCAAAGACGCUCUCCUAAAGCCUUUGUAGCCUCCCUACGUGCAGGUAAUGACGGUCUACAAGACUCCAAGAUACGACCCCAAUACACAGGCUUAAGAUCCGCUAUGAGCACGUUCACAGUCGGAUAGAAAACUCCAAGCCACAGAACCGUUGCCCAAAAAUAAUAUAGAAAGUAUGGAAUAUGUGAAAGUAUGAGAAUAGAGAAAUCUGAUUGUGGUAUAUGAAAUGUGAAGGAGGAGUGGCCUUUUAUAGGCAUCCAAAACUCGUAACCUCCAAACACAUUUAACCAUAAAAGUUGGUGGCAAUGAAUAGAAAAUAAAAACUGAAAAUUAAACAAUUUGUAACUCCUAUAAUAAAUAAAAGAAACCAACCAAAAAUUAAAACAGAAAAUAAAACGUUUUAAAAUUUAAAAUCCUUUCAAAUAAUAACAAUCCCCCACAAAGGGUUUUAAAAUUUUAAAAUUGUAAAAUAUAAAGAAAAUAUACAUAUGGGCAACAUAAUACUAUGCAAUAGGUGUAGGUGCCUUCCGGGCUUGAACCUUCACUUAGUGAUGAUAGUUUCCAUUUGAGGAACCUGAGUGUACACAGUAUUGAACUCGGCACCUUUGACCAAACUUCAACAUAUCCCACACAUAGUAUUGGUUGAGGCUUGGAAGCGGGGUAGCGCUAUUUAUGGCCAUGCGCUAAUCUUGAUUCUCAUGAGAGUUGCUAGAGAAUAGCCCAAUUCUCACAGUCGCGGCCUCACGACGUCUCUCACUUAGGUGAGUUCUCCAAGAGUACAUGUGACCUGCACCCUGCGGGAGAUUGCCCGCCUCGAAACUCAUUCAGGGAUAACUCCCUUCCUAACGUCACAUUAUAUAGCACUGAUGUCAUAGGGAUGAGCAUGAGGACAUCUCUGGGAUGCCUCCACAUGAAAUAAACAGUGCUCAAUGAGUCACGCAGUAUGGAUUGUUUCUACCCAUUGAACUUCCUUCAUGGGAUCGCCAAUCACAGAAGUUGGGUUACCUCCCUAGGUGACUCCCUUAUGGGCUUAAGCCCAUCCCCCUCGACAUUUCUAGGACUCUGCUCCUAGAAAGACCUUUAGUCAAUUGGUCAGCAAUGUUGUUCUCCGACUUCACAUACUCCAAAGACAUAAUGUUCUUACUUAAUAGACUCUUCAUAGAUUUAUAUCUCACAUGUAUGUGUCUGUUCAUUUUCCUAUUUGUGUGAGAUUGUUUCACCAAGUCUAUUGUAGCCUUGUAGUCACAAUGAAUAGAUAAAGCAGGCAAUGGUUUCUCCACCAGAGGCAUAUCCAUUAAUAAACUCUUAAUCCAUUCAGCCUCAGUGCAAGUAGUAUCCAAAGCUAUGAGUUCAGACUCCAUAGUACUUCUAGAAAUAAUUGUUUGCUUCUUUGAACCCCAUGAAAUUGCAGCUCCACCUAAUAAGAAAAUGUAACCACUAGUAGACUUUACUUCUUCAUUGUCAGUUAUCCAAUUUGCAUCACUAUAUCCCUCUACUACAUUUGGAAAUCCUUUAUAGCACAGUGAAUAAUCUAUUGUUCCUCUUAGGUACUUGAAUACUCUUUCCAAAGCAUUCCAAUGUUCCUUGCUUGGGUUAUGUGUAUACCUACUUAACCUUCCAACAGCAUAAGCAAUGUCUGGUCUAGUCUUAUUUGCAAUAUACAACAAAGAACCUAUCCUCUGGGAGUACUUCAGCUGAGAAAACGGUUCACCUUGAUUUUUCUUUAAAUGAACAUUGGGAUCAUAAGGUGUUGGUGUGGGCUUACACUCAAAGUAAUUGAACUUCUUCAACAUCUUCUCAAUAGUACUAGAUUGACUUAGAGAGAUUCCUUGUGUCAUCUUCUCAAUUUUCAUUCCUAAGAUUACAUGUGCUUCUCCCAUAUCUUUCAUGUCAAAAUUCCUAGAUAAGUAUGACUUCACAUCAUUCACAAUCUCUAAAUUCGUCCCAAAGAUCAAAAUGUCAUCAACAUAUAGGCACAAGAUUACGUGUUCUCCAUUAUUCUCUUUAUAGUAAACGCAUUUGUCAUGACCAUUAAACUUAAAAUCAUAAUCUAGAAUCACCUUGUCAAAUUUCUCAUGCCAUUGCUUAGGAGCUUGCUUUAAGCCAUAUAAUGAUUUAACCAACUUGCACACCUUGUGUUCUUGGCCCUUAACUAUGAAUCCUUCGGGUUGCUCCAUAUAGAUCUCUUCAUCUAAGUCUCCAUUUAGAAAUGCCGUCUUCACAUCCAUUUGAUGAAUCACUAAAUUAUGCACAGAUGCUAAAGCUAUCAAGGUCCUUAUGGUGGUAAUCCUAGAAACAGGUGAGUAAGUAUCAAAAUAAUCUAUCCCUUUCUUUUGUGUAAAACCCUUAGCUACCAAUCUCGCUUUGUACUUAUCAAUACUUCCAUCAGGUUUCAACUUUUUCCUAAACACCCACUUGCACCCUAUCGCUUUAUUUUCAGCAGGCAAAUUCAUUAACAUCCACGUGUUAUUUUGAAUUAUAGAUUGAAACUCAUCAUUUAUAGCCUCUUUCCAGAAUGGUGCAUCCACAGACAUAACGGCUUCCUUAUAAGUUGUGGGAUCUCCUUCUACUAGAAAAGUAUAGAAAUCAUCUCCAAAGUUCUUCUCAACUCUCGCUCUUUUGCUUCUUCUAAGUUCUUGAGAUUCUAAACUUUCAAUCGUAGUUGAGCUAGAAGGCUUUUCACUUAUUUGUACUUCCUUAGAAAUUCUUGUCUUGUAUGGGAAAAUAUCUUCAAAGAAUGUAGCAUCUCUUGCUUCCAUAAUUGUAUUGUUUGCAACUUCCUUUACUUCAGAGUUAAUCACCAGGAAUCUAUUGGCACUACUAUUUUUCGCAUAACCGAGGAAAACUGCGUCUAUAGUCUUAGGACCUAUUUUCUUUCUCUUUGGAUCGGGUAUGAGUACCUUAGCUAAACACCCCCACACUUUUAGGAUUCUAAGGUUAGGUGAUCUACCUUUCCAUAACUCAUAAGGAGUUAAUCUUAACUUGUUUUAUUUAUUUGUUUACUUGGCUCUUUAUUUUAUUUUACUGUUUAAUAUUUAUUUUAUAUAUUAUUUAUAUCAAAAAGUUUUGAAUAAGAAUUUUAUGAAAAGGGAAAAACCACAAUUUUUAAUAACAAUCUAAAGCCUUUGUAGCCUCCCUACGUGCAGGUAAUGACGGUCUACAAGACUCCAAGAUACGACCCCAAUACACAGGCUUAAGAUCCGCUAUGAGCACGUUCACAGUCGGAUAGAAAACUCCAAGCCACAGAACUGUUGCCCAAAAAUAAUAUAGAAAGUAUGGAAUAUGUGAAAGUAUGAGAAUAGAGAAAUCUGAUUGUGGUAUAUGAAAUGUGAAGGAGGAGUGGCCUUUUAUAGGCAUCCAAAACUCGUAACCUCCAAACACAUUUAACCAUAAAAGUUGGUGGCAAUGAAUAGAAAAUAAAAACUGAAAAUUAAACAAUUUGUAACUCCUAUAAUAAAUAAAAGAAACCAACCAAAAAUUAAAACAGAAAAUAAAACGUUUUAAAAUUUAAAAUCCUUUCAAAUAAUAACAUUACCCACAUCCAAAUACUUCAAAGACCACAAGAGCCUUUCUUUGGAGGCCCACCAAAACCUUGAUUUGUUAGGCUUUGAUCUAAAUACACUCAAAAUUCCAACAGAGUGUGGCACAGAGAUCUUGAAACUGUCCAUCUCCCACGAGUUUUCUAGGCUUAUGUAUGAGAAUCCAACAUAGAACUUUUCAAGAGACUUCAAAUUACAAAUUUCGCUCGGAAGACCCAUGAGAUUUUUACAAUUUGUUACAUCCAGAAAAGUAAGGCCAACAAGAUGUCCUAUUGAUGAAGGUGAUUUCUUAAUGGGCGUCCCACUUAAAUUAAGCGUUGACAAAUUUUCCAUUUGUCCUGAAAAUUCUGGAAUCUUUUUCAGUUUUGAGCAAUUGCUAAGAUCGAAAGAUACAAGAGAAUCCAUUUCUACCUUACUUGGAAGACUCUUAACACUUUUGCAUCCAUCUAGUAUUAAUUCUGUAAGACAUUUGAGAUCUGCAACGAUGGGUGAAUCUCAACUAAAUUCUCACACCUUCCAAGAUUCAACACCUUGAGUUUUGGAAUGCCAGUGAAAAUUAGGGUUGUUACCAAGUUUUGAGAGCCACUAAGGUCCAUGUAUUUCAAAUUGGGCAACUCCUGUACAAUAUUACUUGAAAAAUAGUAGAAUAUAUAAUUAGCAACCAGAAAACUUAUACUCUUUUCGUUCAAAAAAUUUGUAAGAUGGCAUAUGGUCAAUAAUCUUACAAUUCUUUCAUCCCAGAGCUCAACUAGUUCACUGUCCUGCAUCUCAAGUGAAAUAAGUUUAUUCGGUUGAAAAUUUGAUGGGAGAUAUUUGGAAGCAUACCAAUUCCAUUUCAUAAUUCUUAAGGAAUUUGGAAGAAUUCUGGGGAUUGACAUUGAGGAAAUAAUCACAUUAUCAACUUCAAGAAAUUUCAGGUUAAUCAUCUUAGAGAAUGCUUCACAAUUCCAAUCCGCCUUUUCAACUUCUACCAUGUUUUUUUUUUUUUUUUGUUGAGAAAUUCUAUGAUUGCAUUCAUAAUUCAGCCAAAAAAGCCACUAGCCACAAAGGGCCAAUACAAACUAGCCACAAAAGGGCCAUUACAAUAACGGAGCGGUCUAAUAUCAAAAUUAAGAAAAUCAGGUAUGUCUCCACCAAUGAUCAGGCAAGAUCGAAGAAACUUUGGCAUAAGCAUCCCAACUAAGAUUGCAAACUUAGAAUAAUAAAAAGAGAUAAAGCUUGAAAAAAACAAGCCAUAACAAUACAAAUAAAACUCUCACCAAGGAGAGAUGAAAAGCUCUCACAAAGGAGAGAUGAAAAGCUCUCACAAAGGGGAGAUGAAAAACUCUCACAAAAGGAGAGGUGAAAACUACACAGAGAAUUCAAAGAGUCUCUGCAACUUAUUCCAAACAUAAAGAAAUUGCAAAAAAGAUGGUGGUGGAGAUCUGACGCCGAAAUGCAGGUGAAGAUCAGACGCUGAACCGCAGCCGCCAAUAAUGGUUGGAUGAAAAUCAUAACAAAACUAAGACAAAUAGGGAAAACCCUUUGUCUCUGAAAAUGGGGGAAUAGUUCUACCAUGUUUAAGGCAAUGCCUUGAAUUUUGUUAGUUGCCUGUAAUAAAUAAUAGAAAAAGGAAAAGUUAAUUCCACGUUUAAGUCCAAUAUUGAGUUAAAAAGAAAUCAUAUAUAUAUAUAUUUAAAAAAGGGUAUUUUCUACAUAACUUCUUACCGUAUUGUUUAUUAAUACAUCAAUGAUGUCAUUCGGAUGACACAAUCAACUGCAUCUACCGGGCUCUUCAGGAGACUCUUGACGAACAAUUUGAAAUGCCAUUUCUUGUAUCAAAUCAUGCAUCCAAACAAGGUUGGUUGAAAUAUCAAUAGUUAAGAGCGACUUCUCAACCAGAGCAUUUAUCCCACCACAACGGUCACAACUGUUUAGUAUUUCAAUUACUUUAUUCUUGUUCUCCCCCUUAUGGAAAAAUGCAACAUCAAGAAAUAUAUUCUUGUUCAUCUCAUCUAGUCUAUCAAAACUGAUUUUGAGCAAAUCGAAAAUUUCUGUCUCAGGAAUUUUCCGUAGCUUAUCCAAUUCAUUUUUCCACUCAUCUCGAUCUCUUUUAUACACAGAGCAUCCCAAAAUUUUAAGAGCUAAUGGAAGGCCUCCAGCAUAAUUUACAAAGCACUUGGACAAUUCCCAAAAACCUUCCUCAGGCUCAAAUUUUUUAAAGGCGUUCAGACUAAAGAGCUCAAGAGCCUCAUCACCACCUAAUCCCUCAACCUUAUAUGAUAUCUCCAUAUCAUGCUUUUUAACCAACCGCUCAUCUCUAGUUGUAAUGAUGAUUAUACUCCCCUUACCAAACCAAUCCUUUUCCUUAGCAAAUUUCUUUAGUUGGUUUGAUGCAUUCACUUCAUCAAGAAUGAGAAGAACCUUUUUAUUACAUAAACAAUUCUUAAUGAAAUGGGUCCCCCAGUCUUUAUUCAAAACUUGAGCAAUUUGUUCCUUCAAGAUAGGGAAAAGAAGUUGUUUUUGUAGAUCAACAAGACGAUUACCUUCAGAAGCCUCUCUAACAUUAGCAAGAAAGCAGCUAACUUCAAAAUGAAAAGAAAUGCUUUCAUGAACAAGCCUAGCAAUGGUUGUCUUGCCAAUGCCUCCCAUCCCCCAUAUCCCUACAAAGCGAACAUCAUCUGUAGGAUCUAAAAGCAAAUCCAUUUGCUCACGUGUAAACUUAAUUCCCUGAAUCUAACAAAUUGAAUGUGCUAUGCACUUUCCCCCACACCCAUUCAACAAUCUUUUCAAUGAGCUUUCUUUCACACCUACAAGGAAGAACAAUGAUUAUGUCAUAGAUAUAACUGUUAGAAUUUGGUAUUUAGCUUGCUGGUUUUUGUUAACAGAUCCACUGAACAAAAUAAACCUAUUUAUGAAACGUAUGCAGAGAGGAAAAAACUCAGAGAGGAGAGAAUGUUUCAGUAUGUAUUUCUUGUAUUGCAUCAGAGCCAAAAACACUCUAUAUGCAUGACACAAGCUGCCAAAAACAGAUCCUAAAAACUAGGACACAAGGACUCAUCUCCAGCCAUUCAAGGUCAUUGGAGGCUAUGAUUCUUACACCUAGGCUACAAAUCAUUACAGCAGAAAGGACUAAGAACAACUGUCAUUCUUAGUUGUAGAGUUUCUCAAAAUAGUAAGAAAACUAGCCGUUGGAUAUAUCCUAACAGCUAUUACUAUAAAAGGAAAGUUCUUCAGCUCAUUCGAUUCUUCAUCCUCUUCACUGUUAAUCUGCAGGAUUAACUUCUGCAGCUUGAUUCAAGACUAGUAUGCAGCUUAACUCUCAACAGCCUCUCCUAAGCUGCUUACUGGUUUAACUCCAAGCUUCAACCUCAAAUAAUUGAAUCGAUCUUUGGGCAGAGCUUUUGUAAAAAUGUCUGCCAACUGUUCUUCACUUCUGCAGAAUCUCAUGUCAAUCACCCCUUCUUGUAAAGCUUCCCUUAUGAAAUGAUACCUUCGAUUUAUGUGCCUUGUUUUCUGAUGGAAAACAGGGUUUUUGACCAUUGAUAUUGCUGACAUGUUGUCACAAAACAAUGGUGUUGCAUCAGGUUGCAUUUCACCAAAAUCAUCCAACACAAACCUUAGCCAGAUAGCUUGACCAGUUGCCUCAGCAGCUGAGACGUAUUCUGCUUCUGCAGUUGACAAUGCAACUGUGUUUUGCUUGACUGAAGCCCAUGAAAAAACUCCACUACCAAAACUGAAUGCAUAUCCAGAUGUGCUUCUACUGUCAUCUUCAUUGCUAGCCCAAUCAGAACAGCAUUCAUGUCCCUUGUAAAUUCAAUGCCAUAGCUGAGAGUGCCUUGAAUGUAUCUGAGAACCCUUUUUGCAAUUCCCAUGUGCUUCUUUGUGGGGCUAUGCAUGAAUCUUGAUAGCAAACUGGCUGCAAACACUAUAUCAGGCCUGGUUUCAGUCAGAUACAACAGGCUGGCAACAAUUUUUCUAAACAAACUACAUCAGCCAACUGACUUCCAUCAACUUUCUUUAGUUUCUCACCAGUGGGUAGAGGAAUUGUUACUGACUUACAAUCCUCGAGACCAAACUUCACAAGCAAGGACUUUGCAUACUUGCUUUGAUGAAUAAACACCCCAUUUUCUGUUUGUAGAACUCCCAUUCCCAAGAAAUGAUGUAGGAGUCCUAAAUCAGUCAUUUCAUACUUCUGCAUCAUGUCCCUUUUAAACUCACUGAGCAAAGCAUUACUGUUUCCAGUAUAAACUAUAUCAUCAACAUAUAUAGAGACAAUGAUCAGUUUUCCUUCUUCAUCAGUUCUGGUAUAUAAGGUGGCCUCACUGGUGCUUCUUUUGAAAUUGCAGCUAGUUAGAUAUGUGUCAAUUUCACUGUACCAGGCUCUGGGAGCCUGCUUCAAACCAUAGAGAGCCUUCUUCAAUUUAUAGACCUUAUGACUUGCUGUUUUCACUUCAAACCCCUCUGGUUGCUCAGUAUAAACCUCCUCCUCAAGUACUCCAUUCAAGAAGGCUGACUUAACAUCUAAUUGGAACAACUUCCAACCCUUUUGUGCUGCAAGUGCAAUCAAAGUUCUAAUUGUAUCUAACCUUGCCACAGGGCAAAGGUUUCAUUGUAAUCAAUACCAGGUUUCUGAGCAUACCCUUUAGCUACAAGCCUAGCCUUGUGUUUUUGAACUGUUCCAUCAAGACUUAGCUUGGUUUUGAACACCCAUUUGACUCAUAUGACUGGUUUAUCUGUAGGCCUUUCCACUAGCUCCCAAGUUCCAUUCUUUUCAAUAGUUUCAAUCUCAGCAUCCAUUGCUUCCUUCCAUGCUUUGUCUUCAACAGCUUCAUAAUAAGUUUCAGGUUCAAUAAUGGUCAUGUGACAUCUUGCAUAAAUGUCCUCCAAACUUUUCAGCUUUAUUGGUGUAUUGCUUGGAGUUAACCCUUGACUGGUACCACUGCCAUUGCUUUCAGAGACAUGUUCAUCAUCUGAGAUUAAUUGAUUCAGAUUUGGUGAAGCAAUGCUGUGAGUUUCAUGAAAGAUUCCUUCUGGUUCAGUUAUCUCAGAACCUCCAUUUUCAAAGAUGGAAGUCACAUGGACAGUUUCAUCUUGCUUGCUUUCCCAAUUCCAGGAUUUGUUCUCAUCAAAAACAACACUUCUAGAGAGUAUGAUCUUCUCAGUUUGGAGAUUAUAGAUCUUGUAACCCUUCUCACAGCUGCCAUAACCCAUAAAAAUUCAUUUGCUUGCUUUGUCAUCAAACUUCUGUCUAAGAUUUGAUGGAAUGUGACUGUAACAGAUACUUCCAAACACUCUCAGGUGUUUUACACCUGGUUUUCUUCCUGUGAAAGCUUCAAAUGGGGUUUUGUCUGUAACUGAAGUGAUAUAGCACCUGUUUUGCAGAUACACAGCAGUACCAACUGCUUCAGCCCAGAACUUUACAGGAAGUUUCUUCUCAGUCAUCAUUGAUCUUGCCAUUUCACAAAUGGUUCUGUUUCUUCAGCAAUCCCAUUUUGCUGAGGUGAGUAGGCAAUAGUCAAUUGCCUCUCCAUGCCAAGAUCACUGCAAUACUCAAGGAAUUCAUGUGAAGUGUAUUAUCCACCUCUGUCACUUCUUAGUUUCUUUAAAUUGAAUCCACUUUGUAGCUCAACAAAAACUUUGAACUUUUUGAACACACUUAUCACACUUGACUUGUUUCUGAGAAAAUAUACCCAACACAUUCUUGAAUAGUCAUCAAUGAAUGUGAUGAAGUAUUUAUUUCCUCCAAUGGACUCAUUUUGCAUUGGGCCACAUACAUCCGUGUGUAUCAACUCAAGUGGAUUCUUAGCUCUCCAAGGCUUCUCAUUCUCAAAUGGUUCUCUGUGGCUUUUACCAUACCCACAGCCUUCACAUACACCUUCUUUUUCUGAGAAAUUAGGUAAGCCUAAUACCAUUUGUGUUUGCUGCAUUUUUUUCAUGCUUGCAAAAUUCAAAUGCCCCAAUCUUCUAUGCCAAAUCCAUGGAUCUUCUUGUACUGCUGCUUUAAUUCCCAUUGAGCAGAUAGAUUCCAUAGACAAUGGAAAACAUCUAUUUCCAGCCAUUGCUACUUUGGCAACAACAUUGUCAAGGCUGCUGUCAUCACAUAUUAAUGCAUAGUUUCCUCCAAAUAGAAUGUAGUACCCAUGCUCCAUCAUUUGUCCUAUACUUAACAAGUUCUCAUCUAGACCAGGGACUAACAGCACCUCAUUUAUAUAUCUUCUCCCUUUUCUUGUCUCAACUACAAGUGUCCCUUUUCCUGUGGCUUGAACCAGAUCACCAGUGCCCAUUUUCACUUUGCAGGUCACUGAUUUAUCAAGAUUGAUCAACAAGGACUCUUGAGAGGUUAUGUGGUUGCUGCAAGCACUGUCAACAAACCACACAGACUUGCUUGAUGCAAUUGAACUUGCAUGACAAGCAUAGAACAUUGUUCCUGUCGUUACCUCUUCCUCCUUUGCACAGUUUGCAACUUGUUUGCCAUUGUCACAGUCCUUAGUUAAAUGACCAAACCUAUUGCAUUUUCCACAUCUAGGUUUGCCUUUGUGCCUGCAAACUCCAAAAUGAAACUUCUGACAGACUUGGCACUGUGGUUUCACACCUCCUUGACUGCUACUUCCUUGCUUGUUUUGUGAAUUGAGGCUGUUGUUCCAAUUCCCUCCAGAGCCAUUAUUCCAAUUUGAGCCAUUAUUGUUGUUAAAGUUUCCACCUUGAGACCAAUUUGAACCCUUUUUGUUCUGUCCUUGCAAUUUUUGAUUUUGCUUUCCCUGAGAACUUUUGUUAGCUCCAGAAGCUUGAUUAUUUCCAACUCUAAGACUGCUAAAAGCUUUCUCAGUUCCUGCCAAUUUAUCCCUUUCAUCAUGUAGAUCCUCUCUCUUAUCAUAGACUUUGACAGAUGCAAGAAUUUCUUCAACUCUAAUAGUGUCAAGGUCUCUGGUUUCUUCAAUGAUUGACACUAUGGACUUGUACCUCCUACUUAGACUCAUCAACAAUUUUUGAACAAUCCUUUUCUCUGUUACAUCUUCUCCUAGAGAUUUCAGGUUGUUUACAGUUUCAAAAAAUCGAGCCAAGUAGUCAUCCAGAGAUUCAACAUCAUUCAUUCUCAAAUAUUCAAAAUCAGCUCUAAUAGCUUGUAGUUUCACAGCUCUUACCUUUUUAUCUCCUCUGAACUCACUUCUUAGAAUUUCCCAAGCACCUUUUGCAGUCUUCUCAUUUCUGAUGCGUGGAAAGAGUUCAUCUGUUAGUACUCCUUGAAUAAGACUCAAAGCCUUGGCAUUUUUGAUAUUAUCUUCUCUGGAGAUAGUAGGUGCUUCCACUGGAAUUUGCUCAGCCUCACUCUCUUCAUCUCCAGUGCCUUAAGAGCCUGCUUUCUGCUCAAUAAUCAGCUGUGGUUGUAUUCCACCUCCUUCUUUAGAGGCUCCCACUCCUUCAUUGCCCACCCCUCCUGUGGGGACCAAAUCUCAGGUAGAAUGGCUUAACCCAUAUGCCACAACUAGAAGACGUGGGAUGAUCGAACUUCCCUCCCACUAGAAAGGUGCGGAGCGAGGGAGACACGAUCAUUCAAUCCCAUUAUCAUGGAUUGGAGGACGGGAUGCGCAAAGCUAGGGAAGUGGGGCUAAACCCAAGAACUCGAAGCGCUAUAAAAACCCAGCUAGACCUCCAGCAAAGGUACGAGAAAUUCAAUUGAACACUAAGAGUACGCUGCACAAACACUGACUUGAGCGUCGGAGUGACUUUUGCAUGUACUCACCCCAUUUCUACCGUUCGACCUCGGGAAUGUAAUCCGGAGUUCUUUUUCAACCAUAGAAGCGUGUGGACUUCAGUCAAGAACCUGUGGAGGUAUUUCUUCUUGAAAGAAAUCCUGCUCCAACAGUUGGCGCUGUAUGUGGAAAUCUCGGAAAAAAUCAAUCAUAAACAUGAUUGAACCUGCACAGGGAACUCCAAACACCUCCAUCCCAGGGAAUGGCAUGUCCACUCCUUGACCUAGAAGCGCAAGGUCUACGCCCAGGAUGGGGAACUAAGCCUUGUGUUAUCCAGUUGAGGGAAAUCAUGAAAGAAUUGAGCAAAACAAGAAAGGUAGCAGAGAAAGCUCUGGAGAAGGUGCAGAACACUACUUGUCGUGAGGGAAAAGAGGGCAAGAGGAAGCAGAGACAUGAGGUCUCUGAGGGAGACUCCUCCAGCAGCACGCACUCGAGCGUUCGUGACAAGGCCACUGUAGGAGAUCAAGACAAAGAUCUCGACCUACAGAAAAUGGCGAAAAAGGGGAAAUACAUUAAUUUGUGCAAUCAGAUCGAGAAGAUUGUCAGAGGGUACAAGCCACAAAUGCCCGCGGAACUAGCUUUGGAGGUGGCGAAAGGAAUUUGCAAGUCGCCAUUCACAGACGACAUCCUGAAAGCCAAAAAGCCAGUUAAGUUCAGCCAACCUAAAUUUAAGCUGUUCGAGGGCACGACUGUUCCCAUUGAACAUAUCUAUCACUUCCAACAACAAAUGGUUCUCGAAGGAGAUGACGAGGCCCUGCUGUGUAAGUUGUUCCCCUCAAGUUUGUCAGGAUCGGCCCUGAUUUGGUUCAGACAGCUGAAACCAAGGUCUAUUGGCGGUUUCACCCAACUUUGUGAAAUGUUCAUAUCUCAAUACAUUUGCAAUCAAAAGAGGAGAAAUGACGUCACGAUCCUAUUCAGCACGAAGCAAAGUGUCGGAGAAAGCCUUAAAAACUAUUUGAGGCAUUUUACGGAGGAAAUGUCUACUCUUGAGGAGUGCGAUUCUCAUACUGCUUCGCUGACGUUUCGCGAGGGGGUCAUACUUGGGACAAAAAUGCACAGAUCUUUAGUGACUCCACCAGUGGAUAUGAAGGAAGUGAUGGCCUGGGUGGGUGGAAUCAUCAGACUGGAAGAAGAGGAACUCACCCACUCAAAAUGGGCCACUUCCACCAUUGUGAUCCCACUGGAGCAAAAGGUGGAGACGAAGCGAUACUCCUCGAGACAAGACUUUAGCAAUGGAUCUAAGCAAAGCCGACCCUUCACUAGACUUACGGUGAGUUUGGCCAAACCUUUCCACGAGAGUAAGGGUAAAGGUAUAUUUCGAACACCACUUGCGAUCCGCGAAUCCCCAGAGAAGCAAGACAGAAACAAGAUGUGCGCCCAUCAUAACGACUUUGGGCACACUACCGAUGAGUGCCGAAGUCUCAGGUGGAAGCAAUGCUGAGAAAGGGAAUGUUAUCCCAGUACUGCGCUGAACCUGAGAACAGGGUAAGUGAAGAAGGUGGGUAGAAGACAAUGACAAGAAAUAUUGCAAAUGAAGAAUUGUUGGAGAUCAACACCAUCCAUGGUCGACUGAAUCCCGUGGAAGGAAAAGAGGCCCGAUCCCGGUUCGAAAAGAGGGGAGCUGAAAAGGUGAGACGCAUAAACGGGAUCGCAUUUGCGCCCGAGUUUGCCAAAGCCCUGGAAAAGGUUAGAGUCAUCUCGUUCACGCAGAAAAGAAUGAAGUUGUGCAGACGUGUUAUUCUGGAGCACCUUCAAAAGAAUGAAGUUGGAUGAAAAAGAGAUUCAACCAAACCCAACACCGAUCUACGCGUUCGAAGGGACAAAAGCACAACCAAUCGGAGACGUGACUCUGCCGGUUAUUGCCGCAGGUAAGACCUUAUUCUUUACUUUCGUAAUUGUGGAUGCGUCGAGCGCGUAUAACGCUAUAAUGAGAAGGAAUUGGAUUCAUCGAAUGGAUAGUGAAGCAUCGACACGUUGCCAAGUGAUGAGGUGCCUAUCUGAAGAUAGGAGAACCAUAGUUGAUAUCAAGGGGGAUCAAAUGGAGGCCAGAAGAUGCUACAACAUAGCAACUAGCCUUAAGGCUUCGACUUCGCAGCAGGGCGAGGAUUUAUAGCAAUUAACAGAGGACCCACGAGAGCAAGAGGAGGAGGAUAACUCAGAGCUUCCGACAAUUGAGCCACUCAAGGAGGAAGUUCUGAAUCCUUCUUAUCCUGAUAGAAAAGUGUUGGUGGGCUCCCUCCUACAUGAAGAUGAGGUAGAGCAACUAAUGAAGUUAUUAAGAGAGAAUAAGGACGCGUUCGCGUGGUCACGUACAGACAUACUGGGGAUUGACCUAGAGAUUGCGUGUCAUCGGCUGAACGAUGACCCAAACCAUCCCCCGUACCAGCAUAAGUAGAGGAGGUUCGCACCUUAGCGGAACCAAAUUAUUAGCGAUGAAGUGGUCCGAUUGCUCGAGGCAAGAUUCAUUCGAGAAGUAUGGUGUCCAAUCUGGGUCUCAAACGUGGUGGUAGUAAGUAAAAGGGAUGAGAGAUGGCAUGUGUGUGUACACUACAUCAACUUGAAUAAAGCAUGUUCGAAAGAUUGUUAUUCGAUACCAAAGAUUGAUCAAAUGUUAGAUUCUACCACCAGGUAUGAACUUCUCUAAUUCCUAGACGCUUAUUCGGGAUAUAAUCAAAUCCCAAUGGCAAUUGAGGACCAGGAAAAGACGGCCUUCAUCACCGAGUGAGGCUUGUAUUGUUACACAGUGAUACCAUUCGGGCUGAAAAACGUAGGGUCGACAUAUCAAAGAUUAGUGAACAAGAUGUUCAAAAGCCAAAUUGGCAAAACGAUGGAGGUUUACAUCGAUGACAUGGUCGUCAAGAGCCAGGAAAAAUCCCAACAUGUCAGGCACCUGGAAGAAGUCUUCAACAUACUGAGAAGAUACCGCAUACGACUUAACCCGAAGAAGUGCACAUUCGAUGUUUCGUCAAGACAGUUCUUGGGGUAAAUAGUGAACAAACGAGGCAUCGAGUCCAGCCCAUUGAAGGUGGAGGUGCUGCAGAAUAUGCCUGAUCUAAGAACGCCUAGAGAUGUGCAGGUUCUGACUGGGCGAAUAGCGGCUCUUAGCCGAUUCAUUUCAAGAUUGUCAGACCGUUGUAAGCCAUUCUUCCAGGCAAUUCGAAACAAGGACAGAAACAUAUGGGGGCCAGAACAAAGAGAAGCCUUUGAGCAGCGAAAAAAGUAUCUCGCCAGUCCCUUGACCAUGACUAUUCCAAAGUAGGGUGAACCUUUAUACCUAUACAUGGCUGUCACUGAGAGCAGCGAAAAAAGUAUCUCGCCAGUCCCUUGACCAUGACUAUUCCAAAGUAGGGUGAACCUUUAUACCUAUACAUGGCUGUCACUGACAUUGCUGUCAGUGCUAGCGAAGGGAGGAAAAUUCAAUCCAGCAGCCCAUAUUUUAUGCGAGCAAGACCUUAAUUGAGGCUGAGAAAAGAUAUCCACUAGCUGAGAAACUCGUGUUAGCUUUAGUGACGACCAAGCAGAAACUUUGACAAUACUUCGAGACACACACGAUUAUCGUAUUGACGAUCCAACCAAUCAGGGCGGUCAUGUCCAAGCCAGGCCUCUCAGGAAGAGUUACAAAGUGGGCCAUCGAGCUCAGAGCAUUCGAAAUUAGAUAUCAACCUCGGACAACCCAGAAAGGCCAGGUAAUUAUCGAUUUCCUGGUAGAAUGCUAUCCACAUGACAAACAACAGGAAAACCAUGAUGAAAUCAAGGAGACACCGGAUUUGGACGAGGCCCAAUGGGGACUCUAUGUGGAUGGAUCAUCUAAUCAGACAGGAGCAGGAGUGGGAAUCAUCCUCUCGUCACCCGAAGGAGUAGACCUAGAGUACUCCGUCCGAUUAGACUUCCUCGCCUCAAAUAACGUGGUAGAAUACGAAGCCUUAGUGUUAGGACUCCAACUAGCCAGGAUGUUGAAGGUAGGACGCUUAGUUGUCCACAGCGACUCUCGCCUCAUAGUCUGCCAGACAACUGAGGAAUACGCGACUAAGGAUGAACGAAUGGGGGCAUAUCAAAGGCUGGUAAAGGAUUUAGCCAGUAGGUUAGAAAAAAUAGAGUUUGAGCGAAUACCGAGAGAAAUGAACGGUCAGGCAGAUCGCUUGGCUCAUGUCACAUCAACGUCGGUGGAAGAUAUGAGGGUCGCCCCGGUGGAACUCUUAUUGAAUCCCAGUAUACCAAUCCACCCUAGAGUUAUGCAGAUUGAUUCCGAAGAAGAAACAUGGAUGAUUUGAAUCAUGAACUAUCUCAUGAAGGGAAUCCAACCCGAUGAUCCGAUUGAGGCAAGAUAAUUACGAAUAAAGGUUGCAAGGUAUGCAAUUAUAGAUGAUACGCUUUUUCGUAAGUCUUUUUCAGGGCCAUACCUCAGAUGCCUAGAUCUACAUGAAGUCGAAUGGGUGAUAAAAGAAAUACACCAAGGGACAUGUGGGAACCACACGGGUAGGAAGAGCUUAGCCUACAAAGCGCUGACCCAAGGAUAUUUUUGGUCUUACAUGGCCUGCGAUGCAGAACAAUUUUCAUGAAAAUGUGAUAAAUGUUAGAGGCAUGCACCUCUUAUUAGACAACCAGCCGAGGAACUUAACCAUGUUGUAGGACCCUGGCUAUUCGCCCGUUGGGGGAUGGACAUCGUGGGACCAUUACCCACUGCAGUGGGGAGCAAGAAGUUCGUCCUUUUGGUCACUGACUACUUCACCAAGUGGGUGGAAGCCAAGGCUUACAAGACGGUGACCCAAACAAAUGUGGUAAGAUUUGUAUGGCACAAUAUAAUUGUAAAUUCAAAAGUUACUGCGAGGAAAAAAGGAACAUUCAGCAGUUCUCGUCCCGAAGUUACCCUCAAGGAAACGAGCAAGUAGAGAAAACUAAUCUUACGAUCUUUGAUUGUCUGAAGAGAAAACUAAUCAAACGUAUUAUGGGCAUACCGCACUACCAAAAGGAAACCAAUUGGCAAAAGCCUUUUUUCCUUGGCUUAUGGAACUGAAGUCGUCAUCCCCACAGAAAUUGGACUACCCAUAGUCAGGACAUUGAUGAUAGAAAGCCAUGAUAAUGAAUAGCAGCUAGCUCACAACCUUGACAUGCUUGAAGAACAUCGAGAAGCUGCAGCAUUACGACUUGCAAACUACCAGAACCAGGCAACCAAUUACUUCAAUAAACGAGUACGACAGAGGAAAUUCAAAGUAGGCGAGUGGGUACUCAGAAAGGUCAUGGAGAAUACCAAGGACCUGAACGCAGGAAAAUUUGGACGAACAUGGGAAAGACUGUAUGAGGUAACGGAAGCUUAUGGAAAAUGGGACUGUAUGCUGAGGCAUAUCGAGAGCGGUCAAUAUGUUCCACGCCCUUGGAAUGCUAUUCAUUUGAAUAAGUAUUUCAUUUGAUUUUAUAGUUUUCAUUCCUUUGUUGCUUUCAUUUUUUUGCUCAUUUGUGAAUUUUCCCUAAAUUGUCCAUCGUUCAAUGAACACUUAAUGGAACACAUGUUUUCUUCACAUUCGAAAUGUUUGGUCGAAGGCCAUGUCUGUUUAAAUUAGCAUCACCUGAAUACAUGGGCACAGAAUGUGCUUGACCAAAAGGCUAAAAAGUACGAUUGAAGAUCGCAAUCAAGACGUGGUCGAAGACCACGCAUAAAGAAGUGAUUGGAGAUCGCGUUCGCGCAUAAAGAAGUGAUCGAAGAUUACGACAUGAUCGGAGACCAUGACAUGGUUAGAGAUAAAGCAACAUGAUAAAUGCAUGUGACAAGGUUGAAGACCACAUGAUCAAACAUAAUAAUAAAAUUAGGCUCUUAUGGCCAUAAAAGGGAAAAACAUGAAAUGUUCACAGGAGAAAGGCCUCUGAAUGAUUCAAAGCUGGAAAGUACAUAAAAACUACUGACUCUACAGGUGCGAACCCAUAAGUAACAUAGGCUAGUCUGAUGACAAGGGGAUACGGUCCCAAUCCACGUAAGGGUAAACCAUUUUGGCCUUGACAUGGAAGUGGUGGAUACCCUGUUUAAAUCCGUUGCGUAUGCCGUCAGAAUGAGUGGCUGACACAGUGCGAUCCGCAUCAGCAAGAUCACUCCGGAGGUGAGUCACUUGGGCACUGACACAUGCCAGAUCCUCCUUGAGUAAGUCGUGUUCUGCCAACAGCAUGUUGUGAUCGAAGUGACAAGAGCAGCGGGAACGCAAGACGGACCAGACCUGGAAGGAUGACUUGCGCUCGGGAUGUGCCUUCUCAUAGUAGUCUUUCCUCCACCUCUGGCAUCACCAGAUUGGGACCUAGACCCACGGAGUGAGUCGGGGACCGCCGAGUAAUAUGAAGCAUUCGUUAGAGAGUUGGCAGAAGAAUCCUAUGAGCAUAUUUCAAUGAUUCCGUUAGGGCUCUUGGAAUCUUGCUGCGGGGACUCUCUCAUUGACAGAGAUGAAGUCCUCCUCCUCGGAGAAUCUCCUUUCUUUGGAACAUUUGGCAAAGGCAGAAGUGGAGCUUUAACUUGCGUCUAUGAGCCAUGAGUGGGAGAGGUAUGUUCACAUAAAAAUCAAAUUACCCUUUAUAUAGAGGCUUACCGAGAGACAUAGCUCACUAAAGGACGCCUGAUAUGGUCAUAAUGCGGAGACGAUAGGAUAUCCAAUCCCUUGUUUUUUGAAUUUGAAAAUAGUGAUUCAUCCCAGGAAGACCUUGGCCAAGUUUGAAAAACCAUUACGUUAAGCCUCAAGUACUUACGUUAGGGUUAAAAUUUAAAUCAAGUGGAUAACACAUAAAGUCUGAUAAAGUAAGUCAAGAAUUCUGGGAAUGGGCCCAAGAUAGUUGAGUACAUCAAAAUCAAAACAAAGCCGAAAAGAAAAUACAACAAGUGGUGAGCGAAUCAAAGCAACCUAGGGCGCGUCAUCAAGUGGGUCAGGAAUGGUCUCCGAGGUAGGCCCAGCACAAGUGGAGAAUCCAGCAGGUGAGGUGUUGGCCCAUGAAAGAUGCAACAUUAGCACUAGGGACAACAGUCCCAACCGACCCAGAAGGGGUUGGCCCAUAGAAAGCUGCUGGCGGGGUCCUGCGAUGGGGGACGUAGCCCGUCGGAGGACGAUCAUCAGGGUGCAUACCCUGAAAAAGUUCGUAGCCAGCAGGGUCAAAUUCCAACUCAUUGUCAUAGUCAUUUGGGCCCGCCACAAACCGGUACUCCGGGAGCUGCCGACCUUGAACCUAACCGUAUCUGAAUUGCCUGGCCACCUCAACCCUGAUAUGCUUGGUGUUGGCUUGAUACUCCUCAUCCCUAUUGCAUGCGGCAUCCACCAGCUUCUGCUUGAGGCGGUCAACCUCCAUCCGUACAAUGCUUUGGCCGCUUCUCAGGUUUCGCAGCUCGCCCUGCUGCUGUUCGAGCUCAGUUUCACAUUCCUUAAUGCGCUUCCCGCUAAGUUCGAGGGUCGCCGUCUUUUCGCAUAUCUCGCAGCUCAUAGCAUGAAACCUUGCCAUUUGCGCGUUGCGAAUUCCAACCAUCUGCAAGAAAUAAAAAGUAGGCAUUACACAUGCAAUUAUGACAGGACAUGAUAAUUGGAUGACACCAACACAAGUCCCAAACAUACCGCAUUCAAGCACUGUGAUUGGUAGCCCCACAUCUGUUCGUCAAUCAUGGUCGUGAGUCGUUCUCACCCAGUGAGCUAGCAGGAGUGGGGGCACGAGGGACUUGCUGAGGUCAGGACGAAGUACUAGAAGCAGAUACAUUGGGUGAACCCAAACCCAAAAUGACCUGUGAAGCAUGACGGGACUUCUUCGCAGACCCGGAGUGCUCGGGCUCUUUUCCCGGUCCCUUUUCCCUGCAGCCUGGGAUCGACAAUGAGUGUGGCGCUGACAUAUCCAAUUGAUAAGAAUCAGACUCGGAGGCACAGUCCUAGGAGCUGCUGUGCUGAGCUAACUCAGCCUCCCUUUCUUGAAAGCUGGCCUGGAUAAGAGACGCUGAAUCCUCGGUACAACAAAGCUCAACGUCGACGGUACAAAUGUCCUUGAAUAAGUCUGUUUCGCGCAGGUUUGAAUCAGCCAAAGUGAACGGGAGGUAAGUUGCCGUACGACUAACAGAGGAGACACGACUGAGAGACGCAGGGUCGACGAAGCAUGUGAUAUCCCACGCCUGACCAGCCAAGUUCUCCUCCAACCAAGCAAUCCAGUCCUUAGGAAUGAGAUACCUUUUGUCGGAAGGAAGUACUGCCAAAAGAAGAGGUUAGUUAGACCCGCAAAAAUACAAUGAGCUUUAUUUCAAAGACAUAAAUAUGUAUACCAGGUUUUGGGCUAAAUGCCGACGGGAUAGGCAUGUUAGACAUCUAUGCGCCGCCCACUCUCCAGUGAUUAAGAGGUUGGUUUUUCCAGUACUUGGUCCAAGUUAGCUUACAAGUAAAUACCUUUUUACUGGGCCCAGACGUAAAAAAGAAAUAGUGACUUUCCCCCCGAACACAAGCCAAGUCGUAAAGGUAGAUGAAAUCCUUAAAACUAAGAGACACACCCCACUUCAAACCCAUGGCUAGAAACCCAGAUAUGAGAAGGUAAGAAGUCGGGUUUAGUUGUAUAGGGUGAAGACCCAAGAAGAACAGGAGCAUGUGAAAGAGGGGAAGGAGCAGAAACCUAAAAUGCUCUAAGUGGGUCGGCGAGAGAAUUAAAGAACCCCGAGGGAUACCGGCACCAGUGUACAUAUUCGACCAUAAAGGAAGAGGAUCGAUCCCCAAGUUGUCGGGAACACAUCCUUUAGUGCGAGCCUUAAGUAUCUCGUAGCUCGGUGGGACACCACUGGACUUAGGCCAAAUCUCGUGGCUCGACAUGAAAAUAGCAAAGAUGAAAAUAGUACUUACUAGGUGGUGGCAAGAAUAAAAGCCCUUCGGCGGAGUUCUCAAAUGCACAGAACACUUUCCUCUCCCUUUAGCUUAUAUAUGAAGAACAAAAGCAAUGUAUAAACGGUUUUACGAAUGGAUGUAUCCCUAUCGACUAAUCUUUUAUAGCAGGGGCAAGGAUUGGGAAAAUAAUUCACAGAAGUCACGGGAUAAAGUUUUUCAAAAGCAAAGAUAAGGUUCGAUGUGGCCGGCUCAGAUAUUUGCCUUAGGCUCUGGCAACAAAGCCUAGUCUGAUAUGACCAGUCGAAAUUAUUUCGACCCAACGCAUGCGCUUCUUUGACAAAAAGCUGCACGCACUUCGAUAAAAGACGAAGAAGAGCAAUGGAUAUAAGCAAUAAGUCAUGCAAGGUAGUAAGUACACCUACGGAGCUAGGCUUGUUCACCUCCUCACGCAAAGACUGGAUUUGGAUGGAUAACUAAGGGGUAUUGGGGCCCGCAUGGAUAGCUCAAGUGCAAGGGAAAAAGAAAGAAGAAAAAAAGAAAAAAAGAAAGUCGUGAAUACCUUGGAUCAGCUGAGAGACGAAAGGCGCACGGCUCUAGAUGGACAAUUAAGGGGUAUUGGGGCCCGCAUGGACUGUAAGAACCCAAAACAAACCAAAACAAAAUAUCUAAAAAGAAAGAAAAUAUCUAAAAAGUAAGGAAAAUAUCUUCUAGCGAAAAGACUAUUUUGCCCUCGCAUUAUUUAAUUGGGGGAAAAUUGACUUUUUAGUCGAGAAAGAAUUUGGGCAUUCCUCUUACGCCAUUGCGUAGAGCGCGGCGAAACGCGUUCGUGGACACGGAGUAGACCCGGAUCGGAGCUGUAACGAAGAAGAUAUGGUCUAAAAACCGCGAAGGGCAAAACGGUAAUUUGGUCAAAAAGUCAGAUUUUUAUAUCUCUCUCUCUCCUCUCCCUCGUCAGUUCUCUCUCUCUCCUCUCUCUCUCCUUCCGCGCGACUUGGCCGUGCGACCCUUCGCCUUCUCGGCGACGGCCCGGCCACCACAGGCGGAGCUGAUCUCCGCCGUGGGUACCAUCGGGUCCGCCUCCCUCUCGCCGUCAAAACCUGACCGACCUCCACCCUUGGGCCGCUCGGAGUUGAUCGGAAAACCAUGUUUUCCGACGGAGAUUCGUCCGAAACCACCCGAACUUCCAGCUCGAUUUUCUCCUUCAAUUUUCCACCAAAUCGGUCGAGUAAGGUAUGGUUUCUCAGCUAUUUUUCACGUUCUAGUGAUGGAUGUACGGGUUUCGAUCGAUUUUAGUCCUAAAGCGAUCAUUUUUUGACUUGAAAUCUGGCCGAAACUUCGGCCGCCUAGAACUACUGUUUCUGGUCACUUUUUGGGGUUUGUCCAAGAACAAAAGUGACUCCAAAUGGGGUGUUCUACCUAGGAUAGGAAUUUGGAGUCUUGGUUCCGAGAUUUUUCGGCCACCCGAAAACGCUUAAGACAACCAAAUCUGACCGCGCGUGCUGGGACGCGUGGGCGAGGGUGGUGGAGUAAUUCUGUGCAGUUUUGUGACCCUCGUGUCGUCACGAGCGCGUAGGAUUUCGCGGAUCUAGAUUCGGAGUCCGUUUGAGCCCCGAACGGAUUUUUCAUAUCGCGCGAUCCGUGGGUGCAGUGUCGUCAAAUAAUUGGAUCGCGCUGGAUUCCGGAUAUGUCGGUCUACAUGAUCUCAGGAUCGUGUAGGAUUCAACGGAUUGCGAAUCGGAGUCCCGGAUACUCCGAAAUCGCGAACCCUGGGGCUAGGGUUUGGAUUUUAAGCGAUAACGCGAUUUUGGCUAAUCCGACCGUCCGUUUCGGACCAAAAUCGCAGAACAUGGUUCCUUCUCUGUAAGGAACCUUCAGAGGAGCCCAGAUUGGCCAUCGGAGGCCGUGGACCCACGGGGUCCCUGAUCGGCCGAUCUGGCAGCUUACCGCUUAUUUAGGUUUCGGGUCUCUUAAGGCCGGUCUAACUGUCCCAAAAAGCUAAGGUGGGCAUAGAAGUAACCUGAAACGAGUGCACGUAUUUCUAGGAGCCGGGGCAGGGUUUUUAGUUGAAAUUCUUUUUAUUCAGCAGUUUAUUAAUUUAACCUUUAUGGGUAAUCAGGCACCAGGAGCCCGACAGGAUUGCAAAAGAGACCUUCGAAGGGUCAAAGUAGCUCGGACCAUCUGUGAGUGGACUUUCAUUCAUGAAUUAUUUUAUAUAAAUGAGUUAUAUAGAGGUUUUCCAUAAAUAAGAUUUUAUAAGUGAUUUUAUAUUGAUUUUAUAUAAAAGAGUUUUUAUAAACGGGUUUAUUUGACUAAAUUCCUUAUUUGAUCUUGAGUAAGCUUUAUUGUGUUUCCGAGCAUGAUUAAUACAGAAAUAGUUCUAUGAGUUGUGUGCUGCUUACUUUUACAUGCUUAAGAGUUAUAGAAAACAGAUUUUGAGGCUUAUGGCAGAUGAAAUAGCAGCACAAUUUGAGAUUUCAGUUAUUAAUCAGAUUUUUCUAAAGGAAUUUAUUUUAAAACCACCUCGUGCCCAUUUAUUUAUGGUGAUUACCCAGAGUUGGACCGAUGUCUACGGACAUCCAGUCCGAUUUCAGUUUAUGUCAGUGCACUUGACUUUGCCUCACGAGUUACGGGGACGCUCGGACCGUGAGUGCCAGGAUUUGCGGCUCGGCAGACUUGGUGUCCCGAGACCUGCCAGGAUUGCGGCUCGGCUGACUCUGUGUCCCCGAGACCUGCCAGGAUUGCGUAUCAGGCUGACUACGGUCCCCUGCAUCCUGCCAGAGCGACUCGAGCUGACUUGGUGUCAUCGAGGAAUCUGCCGGCAAGAUCAGGCUGAUCAUAGUCCCCUGAUUUCGCCAGUUUGCGGCUCGGGUGGACUGCGUGGCGCCCGGACCUGCCAGGGGAAUUGACGGUUAUGACAGGGGUACAAGUAGGUGGUAUUUUCAAAGGAUUUUCAACUCUUUUAUUCAGUUAUGAUUUUCAACUAUUUCAAACCAGUUAUUUUGAUAUUUGCGCCUUUUGUAUCUUUAUAUAAUUGUUCAGUGUUACGAAGCUAUAGGCUUACGAUUAUAUUUAUUUUCAGAUGAAAACCUUAUAUUAAACACAGGUGAACCUUAGCCUUACUUAUCAAGUUAUUGUUAUGGGGGUUAUUAUGCUUAUAAAAAUUGUUUUCAAGAACAUUAUUUUUGUCCACUCACAUUUUCAAUCUGUUUUACGCCCCCAGGCCGUAGAAGUACGCGGGAUCCACCACCGGGCAUACAUAGCUUCCGCGCCAUCAAGAAAGGUAGAGUUUUGAAGAAAAUCCUUGAAACCUCGAAAGCCUUAGAAAAUGCUCUGAUAUCUAGUUGAAAUUGAGAAACUAGAGUUGAGAAUGGUUACUUGAGAUAUUCUGGCAGUUGGUGUGAAUUUAUUGACUGUUUAACAGGCGGAAGAAUUUGGGAUUUGUCAAAAUACAGGGGAGACUCUGCCGAAUUUUCGGCAGAAGUCUAAGGGAAAUUUGGAAAGAAUUUGAAACGAGAAGGGUAAAAAGGUCUUUUGUGCCCGACAUUAGCCAGAUGUCGGACACGCACAGGAUUCGACUCGGAUUUCAAAGCGGAAAUUGCGUCGGGUCCUGUCAUGGACAGCUCAAGCGCAAGGGAAAAAGAAAGAAAGAAAAAAAAAAGGUCGUGAACACCUUGGAUCGGCUGAGAGACCAAAGGUGCACGGCUCCGGAUGGACAACUAAGGGAUGUUGGGGCCCUCACGGAUAACUCAAGUGCAAGGGAAAAAGAAAGAAGAAAAAAAGAAAGUUCGUGAACACCUUGGAUCGGCUGAGAGACCAAAGGCGCACGGCUCCGGAUGGACAGCUAAGGGGUAUUGGGGCCCGCAUGGAUAGCUUAAACACCAAGGGGCAUGGGACCCACGGGGUUGGCAAAAAUUCAAAGCUUGGGAUCGGCUAGCAAAGAGAAAUCAAGAGGCAUCAAACUACCGGGUUGGCAAAAGCUCAAAGCUUGGGAUCAGCUAGCAAAGAGAAACUAAGAGGCAUGGGACCGAUCGGGUUGGCAAAUCGGCUAGCAAAGAGAAACCAAGGGGCAUGGGACCUACCGGGUUGGCAAAAGCUCAAAGCUUGGGAUCAGCUAGCAAAGAGAAACCAAGAGGCAUGGGACCCACCGGAUUGGCAAAAGCUCAAAGCUUGGGAUCAGCUAGCAAAGAGAAACCAAGAGGCAUGGGACCUACUGGAUUGGCAAAAGCUCAAAGCUUGGGAUCGGCUAGCAAAGAGAAACCAAGAGGCAUGGGACCCACCGGGUUGGCAAAAGCUCAAAGCUUGGGAUCGGCUAGCAAAGAGAAACCAAAAGGCAUGGGACCCACUGGAUUGGCAAAAGCUUAAAACCAGGCACACCCCAAUCCAUUUGGGAUCGGCUAGGAAAGAGAAAGCAAGGAUCAUGGGACCCACCGGAUUGGCAAAAGCUUAAGGCUAAGCGCACCCCAGUGGUUAGCAAAGAGAAAAAUGCGCAUGGGCCCAUCAGAUCGGCAAAGGUGUAGAAAUCCAAAAUAAAGAAAAGGCUCCACUUUCACAAGGGAUUGGCUGUUCGCACUUGGAUACUCCACAUGGGGAUAACAGCCCACAGUUGAAACUUGAAAAGCGUGCAUGAGAAUUCAUGUUUGGACAUUUCACAUGCAAGGUGUGAAAGUAACGUGCAUGGGUUGGUGAUAGGCUAAUAGGAAUCAUAUUUCUGGGUUUGACCAGCAAACCUAAGAAGGGAAACGUAUAGCUUGUUGAGCCCACCAUGACGACAUGCGCUCAAUCCAAAGAAAUCAUGUUCCAAAGUCCCACUUAAAUCAUUUUUUCCCUCUCCACCCGCGAAGCGUGUAGAGAGGAAAAAAGGGGGGCACUGUGGGGACCAAAUUUCACGUAUCAUAGCUUAACCCAUAUGCCACAACUAGAAGACGUGGGAUGAUCGAACUUUCCUUCCACUAGAAAGGUGCGGAGCAAGGGAGACACGAUCAUCCGAUCCCAUUACCAUGAAUUGGAGGAUGGGAUGCGCAAAGCUAGGGAAGUGGGGCUAAACCCAAGAACUUGAAGCGCUAUAAAAACCCAACUAGACCUCCAGCAAAGGUACGAGAAAUUCAAUUGAACACUAAGAGUACACUGCAUAAACAUUGACUUGAGCGUUGGAGUGACUUUUGCAGGUACUCACCCCAUUUCCACCGUUCGACCUUGGGAAUGUAAUCCAGAGUUAUCUUUCAACCAAGGAAGUGUGCGGACUUCAGUCAAGAACCUGUGGAGGUAUUUCUUCUUCAAAGAAAUCCUGCUCCAACAUCCACCACCUCAUCCCCCUUCUCAUGUUGUUACCCGUUCUCAAAAUAAUAUCUUUAAACCUAAACAGCUCCACACCACCACUAAACAGUCCACAACCCAACAUCCCCUUCCCCUCACCCUUGAACCUACCUGUGUUUCUCAUGCCAUCAAAGACAGCAAGUGCCGCUCUGCCAUGUCUGAUGAGUUUACUGCUUUGGUCUGGAAUGGAACUUGGGAGCUUGUUCCCUCUCGUCCUAAUCAAAAUUUAGUUGGGUGCAAGUGGGUGUUUCGCAUCAAGCGUCAUCUUGAUGGAAGUAUUGACAGGUACAAGGCCCAUUUGGUGGCAAAAAGGUUCCAUCAGUGCCCUAGCAUUGACUUCUAUGAGACGUUCAGUUAGGUGGUCAAACCCACCACUAUACGGGUUGUCCUCCACCUUGCCCUUACUCGUGGCUGGCCCAUUCGACAGCUUGAUGUUAAUAACGCUUUUCUUCAUGGAACUCUUCACGAGGAAGUGUUUAUGUCUCAGCCUCCUGGUUUUGUUGAUUCCGCUUUUCCUUCUCGUGUGUGCAAGCUCCGCAAGGCCUUUCAUGGCCUUAAACAGGCACCCCAGGCGUGGUACAAGGAGUUGAGCUCUUUCUUAGUUUCUUAUGGUUUUCAUCUAACGCUUCUCUUUUUGUUUCUCACCACGGUUCUAUUGUGGCUUACUUUCUUGUCUAUGUCAAUGAUCUAAUUGUGACUGGCAGUGACAGGUUGUUCAUCACCAAAUUUCUUGAUACUCUUGCUCAACGCUUCUCUCCCAAGGACUUGGGUUCUCUAUAUUUUUUUCUGGGUGUUGAAGUUAUUCCUACACGAUCCGGCUUGUUCUUAUCACAACACAAGUACAUCCGAGAUCUACUCUUUCGUGCUCACAUGGAAGGUGCCAAGGAUGUUUCAACGCCCUUGUUUACCACCACUGUCCUCGUGUUCAACGAUGGUGCAACCCCUAUUGAUGCCACUCCUUUUCACAGUCUUAUUUGUGGUUUUCAAUAUUUGAGUCUUACUCGUUCGGACAUUGCCUUUGCAGUCAACAAACUCUCUCAAUUCAUGCACUAGCCUUCUGAACUGCAUUUGGGCUGCUCUCAAACGCCUGCUCCUCUAUCUCAAAGGUACCAUUUAUCAUGGUCUUCAUCUUCAUCGCAGCACCACUCUCUCUCUCCAUGCCUUCUCUGAUGCGAAUUGGGCUGGUAAUCCUAACGAUCGCACAUCAACCACUGCUUAUACCAUUUUUCUUGGUGGCAAUUUGAUAUCAUGGAGUUUCCGCAAACAACACUCUGUUGCUCGCUCCUCUACUAAAGCCGAGUAUCGUGUUGUUGCUUGCACUGCUGUCGAGCUCUGUUGGUUACAAAAUUUACUUCGUGAAUUGGGUGUUUUGCUUCCUUCACCCCCUAUUAUUGCCUGCGACAACAUUGAUGCUACCUUUUUCUGUGCAAAUCCUGUUCUCCAUUCCCGCAUGAAACAUAUUGCCAUUGAUAUUCACUUUGUUCGUGAUCUUGUAGCUCAAGGCCUUCUCAAGGUUGCUCAUGUUUCCACUAUUGAUCAGUUAGUCGAUGCCUUGACGAAACCCCUUUCUCGCCAGUGCUUCCAUUUACUUCGUUCCAAGAUUGAAGUCACCGACGGUGGCUCCAUCUUGCGGGGGCGUAUAGGGAAGCUGUAAUUUCUCCUCCACUAUAGUCGUAUCACAAUCAAGUAAAAUAGCUGUAUGCUAUUAGUUUAGUUUCCUUGUAUGUAUUGUUGACUUAGAGUAUUCAAUUGUAAUUUAUUUUCUUUCCUUCUUAGAUACAGAAAUCUCUGUAUAUAUGUUAAGGGUUUUGCCCACUCAAAUUAUCAAUUGAAAUUAUAUUCUCCUACACCCUGUUUCCUUCAUUUCCCUUUCAUUUUUUAAUGAAAGUGUGUUUCGAUAAAAAGAGAGAAACCAGCCGCUCGGCUAUAAUCUGAGAAAGGGAUUUAUCGGCCGCACGGCUAUACUCCUUUUUUCUAAAUUUUUUAAACAAAAAUAGCAUAGGCGCACGGCGGUACUUUUUUGACACGUGGCGCAUAGGCGCUGGGCGUGUCUUUAUAUACAUAUAUAAAUAGUAUCGCCGGCCGGCUAUACUAGAUUUUUUUUUGUAUUUUUAAAAGAAAUUGUAUCGCCGUGCGGCUAUACUCGUUUUCCUUUAUAAAAAACCUGUUUUGACACGUGACACCUAUGCGCUGGGCGCGUCCUUUUUUAAAUAUAUAAAUAGUAUAGCUACUCGGCCGUACUUUUUUAAAAUAAAAUUUUUUAAAACAUAUAUUUAGUUUCUUUACUUUUUUUUUUGGCCUACGUCUUUAAUUUAAUAUAUGUAAUUAAGUAAUAUCUUAGCCUUUUUGAAUCACUUUAAUUAGUAAUUAUAUUUUAAUUUAAAAAAAUUAGAGCCCAAAAGCCCUAUCCAUUACUAUCUAUUGUCCCUUUUUCAUUUUUUACUUUUCCAGAGUUAUUACCCAUAUAAAGAUUCUAGCACCUUCACGUUAAUAUAUUAUACACGUAUGCAUGUAUUUCUCAUGUUUAAUACAGCUACUUUUUACAAAAAUUUCAAUAAGACACAUAAAAUUCACGUAUUAUACACGAGCGGUUAUAGUCUUUUACAUAUAUAUACAUAUGUGUAUAUAUAUAUAUGUACAUACAUAUUUUUCAAUAAUACAUUCGUGUUCUAACUCCUAUAUGCGUCUCACGUUUUUUAAAAAGCAAAUACAUAAUAGCCGUAUUGUACAUGUACGUACGUAUUUCAAAUAUUUUAUACACGUAUUUUUUACAAAAUUUUCAGUAAGACACACAAAAUUAACAUAUUAUACAAAUAAUUCUCACAUAUUAUUGAAUAAGAAUAACAUGUGUUAUAAAAAUUAUAUUAAAAUAUCAUAUAAUGGAAGAUUAAUUUCUACUUUGGAUAUGUUGAAACUAGCAAAAUAAUAUUUAUAAGGUACAAACUAAUGCACUAGGAGGCUCCUUUUUUAUUUUUUAUUUUUAUUUUUUAUGUAUGAAAUGUGGCUAUACGUAUUUUUUUUGACGUGUGGAGCCUAAUCGAUAGAGUCUCGUUUUAAAAUUUAAAAAAAAGGCACAGCCGCACGGCUAUACUCCGUGUUUUUAAAUUUUUUUUUUUAAACAAAAUUUGACUAGUGUUAAAAAAAAAAAAAAAAAAAAAAAAAAAAAACUUAUCCCCACCCACAGACCCCUAAAACAAAUAAUAAUCCUUUGUUCUGCAGCUCGAUUCUUCUUCUUCCUCCUGCUGCUUGAUUCUUCUUUGACCCCUAGCUCCCUACUUUGUUAUCUCCAUACCCGCCACAAAAAAUCCAACCCCCAGCUUUAAACAAUUCGCAACACCUAGCUCCCUACUCUGUCAUCUCCACUCCAGCCACAAAAAAUCGAAUCCCCAGCUUCCCCACCAAAACAAAAUCAAAUCUUAAAGAGGGAGAUGUGUGGAGGUAGCGAAUCUCUAAACCCAAAUAUGAACUCAAACCCAAAUUUGCCAAGAAUAACUCAACGCUGUCAGCAUCCUAAGCCCAAAUCGUGAUGAAAUUUAAGAGAGAGAGAAAGAGGUAGAGAGACAGAGAGACAGAUAUGGCAGGUGAGGUUUUUAUUUUUAUUUAUAUAUAUAUUUUUUAUAACUUUACUUCUAUUAUUAUUAUUUCAAAUUUCAAAUUAUUUUAUUUUAUUUUCACGUAGAAAUAAUCAAUUUACCCUCAUAUUUAACUGCGAAUUAAAUGAAAUGUUGAGGAUUUAGAUGACAUGGGUGAAAUUGAAGAAAAAAAAGUUCAUAUCCUUAAUUUUCUAAAAAAAAGGGAUAAGGGGCUAGUUGAAAGUGAGCUACAAGUUCAGGGGGUGUUUUAGUAGUAAACCCGUAUAUAUAGCUAUACUAUAUUUCUUUGAAUUUUUUAAAAAAAUAGGCUUUACUAUUUUGACACGUGGCACCCAGGUGUUGGGAGCAUUCUUUUAUUUUUUAUUUUUAAUAUUUUAAAAAUAUAAAAUUUGUUUCUUUACUUUUUUAUUUUGGCGUACUUCUUUAAUUUAAUAUAUGUAAUUAAGUAAUAUCUUAGCCUUUUUGAAUCACUUUAAUUAGUAAUUAUAUUUUAAUAUAAAAAAUUAUAAAAAAAGUCCACAAAAUAAUUGAUUUCUAUUUACCAAGUCUUUUGUGUAAUCGUUUGGGUGUCCUAAUUAAAUUUCUCUAUAUAGCCCAAGAGCCCUAUCCAUUACUAUUAGGUCAUUACUCGAGUAUCUAUUGUCCCUUUUUAAUUUUUAAUUUUUUAGAGUUAUUAGCUGUAUAAAGAAUCUGGCACAUUCACGUUUAAUAAUGUAUUGUACACGUAUGCAUGUAUUUCUCAAGUUUAAUUAUUUUUUACAAAAAUUUCAAUAAGAUACACAAAAUUCACGUAUUAUACACAUAAUUCUCACAUUACAUGAUAAACUUAAGUGGACUACAUGUAAACCAAUGACCCAUGUAUUUUAACUCACAGGUUCAAGCUAGCAGAGGAAUUGCGCAUUACUAUUGCUUGCUUGCCUCUGGAGGAAGAUAUGAAGGUAUUUACAUAUUACAUGGUUUGUUCAUACUGAGCUUGAUGCUUUAAAAAAGAACAGGAGGAAAUAUGAUUACAACGUAAGACAUAAAGCUACUAGUGUCAUUUUAUGGACCACGCUUAUUUAGUUGUACAGCUGAUACAAUUUUCACAUGUGCCAUCUGGUAAUCGUUAUUUGCCAGGCAAAAAAUUAAUAUUUGUCAUGGCAUUCAACAUCAAAUAUUUUCUCCUUCCAAAGAAUGCCUAGCGAUUUUAGUGAAUUGCUUGUGUCUCCUUAUUAUUGGGGUAUGAAAUGAGAGGAUGUGGUGUGGAUGUUUUUACCUUGUAUCUGUAAUUUUCUUUCUGGGUGUAACUGCACGGCUCUCUUUGGUAAGGGAACUUAUUUUCUUACAAAGAAGGGGGAUCAUAGAAGGAUUUUUCUGCCCUAGUAAGUAAAGGCCAAGAGCUAUUUGACCAAUUGACACAUGAGGACUAUAAGGACUUUUUGAAACAAGUUUUUAUGUAUGUAUGCGUGUAAUUGUAAUUCUAUUAUGGUUGCCCAUCUUAAGAUGGCUAUUUGAUGCCCCAUUUUUCGUUUGGUUUUACUGGCUGCGUGCAGUCACAGCUACUGCCCCUGGGUACACUGGCGGACCCAGGAAUUUUUUUAGUGGAGGUGCAAAUUUGAAUGGCUAAAAACUCUGAAUUGAACAUCUAAGACUUUUUACCUAGAUUGACCUUAGGUCCCUUUAUUCAUUCAUAUCAUACAUGAAAAACUGUUUUAUGUAAAAAUAUUGACCAAGUAUGAAAAAUGGUUUUUUGCAAGAAUCAUUUUCUCAAGAUAAUUUUUGGCGGCUCAUCAAUUAAGAAAAUUUGAUUUUACGGGAUUUUAUUAUGAUGUAUAUAUUGACUUAAUGAGCCAUCAUUUUUAGCCUAAAUCGUAUUUUGCACUAAGAUCGAUUUUUCAUAUUUUGAUUUGGUGGGAAUUUGAUUUUCUAGUAUUUUUAUUUGAAUCCAAAUGGAGGGUACUUCCUUAUUUACAUUGUAAACUUAAGUAAAUGGAGUAAUAUAAAUUUACUUUCAUUUAUUUUUAUAUUACUCUAUUUACUUAAAUGUUGAAAAUGGAAAUAAGGUAAUCUGAACAAAGGGGCAAUUUGAAGCACCAACAAUAGUUUUUCCGGCAAUGAGAGGUGCAGAUGCACCUCCUUGCGCCUUAAUAGAUCCGCCACUGCCUGGGUACAAAUCAAAGACAACAGGUAUCUGGUUGGACAAAGCAGGCACAAAUGUAGAUUUUGUUCUCGACCCUAAUGUCAAUCGCGGAGGAAUUCCACUUCGAAGUGCAUGUGAAUGCAGAUGGGGCACUAGGAGUGUCAUUUGGGAUACCUAUUUGGAAGUAUACUUGCUUUUGAUUGUUAUUGUGGGAUUCCUUUUGUUUUUAUGCAAGAGGACAUACAGCCGAUUAAAACAGAGGCAGUUGGCAGGACCAAAAAGGCCAGUUGUGGUUUGAGGAUUGAUUUUCUACUUGUAUGGAUGUCCUUUAUUUUUGGGAGUCAGAAGGAAGCUUCAUUUGUUAAGAAGAAAGAAACCUUAGGAUCAUAAAAAGACAAUAACAAAGAAAAGCAUACCCUUGCAAACUCAACGCUGCAAAUUUGCACCUUUGCAACGGGCAGUUCUUAAAGCACCUCAUUUUUGUACAUAAACAUGAGGCAAGGUCCAGGUUCUAUUACUUGUGUAGAUGAUAGUUGUGUAUUAUUUGGAUGUAUUUUCCAUUAGGAAGACUAGAAACCCUGAUUGUACUUAUUGUAUCUCAAGGUUCUUGGUUAUUAUCCAUACAUCUGGUAGCAAUAUUUGACCUUUACAUGGAGGUCUUGCGCAUGAUCUUGGAAUGAUUUUUUUGUUUUCUGUUUUUUGUUUUUUUUCCCUUUUGUGGACUGACAUGAGCUUGGAUCUUAUUUUUAGUUUAAUGUAGCUAGUUCCUUUUCAUAAGAUGCCCUGUUUUGUAAAUGUUAUUUCUCAAAUUUGUUGCACAUUUUUGGAGAGGUAGUCCCAACAUAUGUUCUUAGACUUCGUAUUUUCCUUUUUGUCUAUUCACAUUGGAUUUUGAUGAAGUUAAGUGGACUUGGAUCCCUCGUAAGAAGAAUUGAGCAGCUCAUGUAGCGGCGUCUUUCUGAAUCAUCAGAAUAUCCGGACUCAUUUCGCCUCUUUGAAUAGAGGAUAUAGUAAUUUCUCUUGGAUUUAUCAGUCUAAGCAGGAGACAAUAUACUUUGAUGUUAUUGCUUAUUUUUUUAUUUAAAGAAUCAUCCCAUCUCAAUUGAAAAUGCAAAUACCUUUUUAGCUACUAGGGGCGAGUCUAUUACAGGAAUAGCGUCUGGUACGCCUGUUACAAUUUUUACUGCCUAAUAACCAAUUUGGUCCCGAGAUAAGGAAUAACCAGUUACACCAAAAGAUGCGGUCAAUACACCCAAAACCACACCUGUAACCCAAGUCAAUUCGCGAGGUUUUUUAAAGCCACCGGUUAGAUACACACGCGUCGAUAUAAAACACAAUUUACAUGGCCAUGUGUAUCACUAGACUGAUGGAAAAUCACAUGAAAAUCUCAGUAUGUAAAAUUAGAUACUAAAUAUAAUGAUUUGUACUCUAUAAUAUCUGAUUGAUGCAUAAGAUUGUAUAACUUCGAAUUAACAUCAUCAUGUAAUUUUGGAUUCAAACUUACGCCUUCUUCUAACAUUAGGAAAAGAAAUACCACUAUACUAAAACGUUAAUUAUUUUGAACAUGGGGAUACAAUGAUGCACUAGUAGCGCUCCCGUAUUUUCAAAACGUUUCUGUGUACAUACAUAGACCUACUCGAAAAGAGUGGAUAAUUGGCUUCUAGUAAACAGGGGAUCAUUUCUCAUCAAAUCAUUUGCAUAGUCUUUAAGGCUGAGCCUGUACCUUACUUUCAAGAUUAAUUGGUAGAGCUACUACCUCUACGUGCAUAAAAAUUUGCUUCUUCUUGGAGCACUUGCAUAGCAAUCUUCAUCCUCUUCCCUCUCAUACUUCACCCAGUAAUAAGCAGCCUGCCUAAAGAACCAAAGCAAUGCCUGCCUAUUCAAAUGGGUAAGGUGUAGGGUGAACAAAAAUUCCCACUCAUGAAAUAAUGGCAAGACGACAAAACGAGAUGGCCUAUAUGUCUGAUCAUAAUUGAAUAAAGAUAAGAAAAGAUAGGAAAAAGUGAGGGAAUCCAAUAAAGUGAUAUAAAGAUAGAUGGACAAGGAUUCAGAACAUGAUUGAAACAAGAUAAUGUUAAUUUUAGAGAGACGCGCCAUCGGCCCACUACUAGCAACACCAAUAUUGUCCCGAACUUAACCACCUACAAAGCCCAAUAGGUGUGAGAUUUUAUCACAAAAGGCCUCAGUAAUAUUAGUAAUGGAACCAUUCAUUAUAUGUUGUAUUUUAUUUAGUCAAGUUUCCAAUGUGAGACUUUAUAUUCUUCAACACGCCCUCUCAUGUGUGACCACCACAUAAUGGGCCACACGUGGAUCCAAGUCCACAUCGGAGUUAAUCAUUCAAGCCCAACACGUGAAGACUACGUAUUGAGUAAGGGGUAAAGAUAAACAUUCAAGCCCAACAUGUGAACACUAUAUAUUGGGUAAGGGUAAAGGCCCAAUUAAGGCCCAGUCAAUUAAAUUUCAGAGAAACGGGCCAGCGGCCCACUAAUAGCAACACCGAUAUUGUCCCAAACUUAACCACCUAUAAAGCCCAAUACGUGUGAGGUUUUAUCACAAAGGCCUCGGUAAUAUUAGUAGUGGAAACAUUCACUAUAUGUUGUAUUUUAUUUAGUCAAGUUUCCGAUGUGCGAAUUACAGACAACAGAAGAUGAGUAAUGGUUUAGAAAAUAAUUGAAGUAGACAAGUGAAGAUGGGUAAGGGUUCAGAAAAUAAUUAAAGGAGGAUAAAGGAAUCCAAUGAAGAAUUGUCCUAUUGUGAAGAAUGUGUCAUGUCCUAUUGUGUGCAAGUGCAACCUCCUAGUCUGUUCAACCAUGCGAAGAAUGUCUAUUGGAGAAACUCCUUGCUUAUUGCCUAAUCUCUUUUUGAAAAUCUUGGUAAAAUGUCUUCCAAAAAUACUCCCUAUUUUUCACGUAUCACCUUUUUAACACUCUGUUUCUCUGCAUCAGCUACUUUGAUCUUCCCUAUUGUCUCCCUCUCAUGUAUCACUUGUCACACUUUGCUUCAUCGUCUUCUUCACUUGUACACUCUCACCAACUGAACAUGGCCACUGACGACAGACCACCCUUUUUCCUUCAUUUGUUUUGGCUACUGAAUGUUACUGAUCAUAAAAGAGGGAACUUGGACUCUUUUUUCAAGAUUUGGUUCUCUCUUGUAUUAAGAUUGAAUUAAUUUGCAAUUUUUUACUAGUACUUCUUGUUUAUUUUCCCCCAUCUGAUUCCUGUAUGGUGCUUGGCCAUAAGUGAGUUAUAAACUUUUAGACUUUAAGCUCAAGCAGAAAUUGUAUAUUGGAGGUGGCUGAAGAUUCUCAUGGUGCUGCAAUAAAAAAAAAUCGGAGGAAUUGAUUUGAGUUAUUUCUACUGAAAGUGGGUGAUACAUUGCAUGGGUUGGGAAAUGCUUGUUGAUGUUGCUUGCUUAUAAUAAUUUUCAAGAUAAACUUCUCAGAAAGUACAAGUAAUUUUUUUGUCAUAUCUGGAUGAAGAAUUGUAUAUUGUCUCUGGUGCUUUUGGAAGAUUAUUAUGUCUCAAGUGGGGGAGCUCCAUGCGUUGAUUGGAAGUGUUGGCUUGCCAUUUCUAGCGUGCAAGAAGCUGGAAUUGGUUAUAAAUGACAAUGGGCAAACAUUUGUAAUCAAGUAAAGACACAGAACAGAAGAUCACAUGCAAGUGAUCACAGGGGGUUGUGAGAUCACAGGCAUGUGAGGCUAGAGAAUGCCCUGAGCAGUCUGUGAUUCAUGCAUGAGCAAUCUGUCAAGAGGAUCUCCUGUACCUUUUGUCUUUUUACCCUCGCAUUUCCUUCUAAAAGGCAAACAAAUUGCUUUUCUCCCAUGUAAGGGAAUGCUCUGCAGUUGGACUGUUUUACAAUUUAUUUGCCACAAGUUUCUUUGAUAUGCCUUGUGUUGCAGACAGUGGAAUGUUGCAUUGACAUGUUAUGUGAUGCGCCUUUUGGUGGUAUUAUGUCAAACAAAGUGGGGCAAAUAUUCAGUUAUGCUAAGAUAUGCUCAUAUUAUUAUUAUUCUUUAAUAUAGAGGUAUUUAUACAAGUACAAAGAUGUGUUAACCCUAAAUAAAAUAGGAAAUAUAUCUAAAUUACAAUAGGAAAUAAAUCUCUAUUACAAUAGGACUAAAUAAUAAUUGGUAAGUAACCAAAAUUUUAAUUAAAUAAGGAACCAAAAUCCUAACUAAGUAAGGACUCGCCAACACUCCCCCUCAAGUUGGGGCAAAGAUAUUUCACAUACCCAACUUGACAAGCGAGUCGCAGAACACCAUACUUGAGAAGCAACAAUUGUAGAGAAGGUCUUUUCGUCAACCAAGAGUGAAACAAGUGACAAAUUAAAGCAAAGUUCGCAGCGAAAACAUAAGAGCAAACCCUAAAAACUAGGGCACAUAGAAGAACACAUAAAAGCAGAACACAGAAACCAUGUGAACACGGCAGUAAAUAAGGCAUAACACAGAAACCCUGUGAGCACGGCAGUAGAUAAGACAGAACACAUGUGAGCACAGAAGUAGAUAAGAUAGAACACAGAAACCCUGUGAGAACGACAGUAGGUAAGCUAGAACACAGAAAUCCUAUGAGCACGACAGUAGAUAAGGCAGAACACAGAUACCCUUUGAGCACGGUAGUAGGUAAAGCAGAACAUAGAAACCCUAUGAGUAGGGCAGUAGAUAAGGCAGAACACAAAUACCCUGUGAGCACAGCAAUAGAUGAAGUUGAACCAGAAGCAAGUGAAGAAAUAAAGGCAUCAACAUUAGGCAUGGUGAUGAAUGGUGGGGAGGCGACGACGACAGUAGCAAGGUAGACAGCGGCGGCAGGCUAGGAUUAUAGGCUAAGUGUAUAGUGCAGCUAAAAUAGGUAGUGUCUAGGGUUAAGGAAGAGACAGAUAAAAAACAUAGCAACAUCAUCAGCAAUAACCAUAGCAACGGAGCGAAGCAAACAAAGGCAAGGUCAAUGGUUAUGAUCGCAGCAGAAAAACACACCAGCAAAGGCACGAACACGAUAGAAGCAACAACAACAAUGUCCCCAACAAGAGACAAUAAUAUUGACAGUAGCAAGAGCAACACAAGGCACUGGCACCAGCAAGAGCAAUAUAAGGCACUGGCACCAGCAAGACAAGGCAGGGCAAACAACUGUGGCAGCAACAACAAUAGAGACAACUUCUCUUCACUCUCCCUCUCGCCCUGAAGAGAAGGGGUCGAUAGAGCCAUAUGAUUAGUGGUACUUGAGAAACAGGCACGGACAAUCAGCCAUGAUAGAUAGGUAGGUGAAUUGCAAUGGAAUAGAUGAGCAGCAGUGUCACUCCCACUCAAGUUCGACGAUGUAUGAGAGUCGAGAUUUGGAGAAAGUAACACCCAAAUUAACAGAGAGACAAAGGCCAACUAGGAGAAGGCUCGGCGAGCGGUGACGAGGCUUGCAGAGGUUUGAGAUGGCUCGGUGAGCGGUGACGAGGCUCAUGGAGGAAAGAGAUCAGGCCAUCAAUGGCCAAGGGGCGUGUUGCCCAUAUGGUAUACAUUUAAAAGAGAGGCUCGGUUGUGAGCGCAGGAGACUGAAACUAACAUGGGCUCAAUCUUAUUUUAACAGAAAGCAAGCUCAUAGAGAGAUGAAAAGUAAGAGAAAAAAGGCAGCAGUAGGCAUAUGUAGAGAAAAAGAAAGGUAAUGACUCAACAUAAACACGGCAAGGACAGAGACAAGGGUAAAAUUACAGAAAUGUGUGGUUAUGGCUAAGGCAUAAGAAAUAUAUGUUGAUUAUUAAGGAAAGGAGAAACAGGGAUUUACAGCAAGGUGAGGACCGAUGAUGUGUUAGGAAUGAGGAACGCCAACGACUCUCAAUUUGUCAGAGGAUCUCAAGGAUUAGCAACCAGGCUCUGAUACCAUGUCAAACAAAGUAGGGCAAAUAUUCAAUUAUGCUAAGAUAUGCUCAUAUUAUUAUUCUUCUCCAAUAUGGAGGUAUUUAUACAAGUACAAAGAUGUGUUAACCCUAAAUAAAAUAGGAAAUAUAUCUAAAUUACAAUAGGAAAUAAAUCUCUAUUACAAUAGGACUAAAUAAUAAUUGGUAAGUAACCAAAAUUCUAAUUAAAUAAGGAACCAAAAUCCAAAGUAAGUAAGGGCUUGCCAACAGUUUUGGUACUGAAUUCUUCUCUAAAAGCAGGAUUCCUUGAUCCAACCGGUGACGAAAAGCUUGCUUGGAGUAGCUUUAUAACCGUCCUAAUAACCUUGGUUCUGAAGGAUCCUUCAUAGUGGGUCCAAAUUGAACAUUUCUGGCGGGAAUUUUCCUCAGUGGAUCAUUACUCUGGUGGUAAAAGUUUUUACUUGGAUGAGGAAGAGAACCAGAGAAUAAUUUGCUAAAAAGUAUGGUUGGUUGAAAGGCGCCAUUGUUGCUUUCCCUUGUAAGGCCUUUUUGUUUCUCAAAUUUUGUUAAAAAGAAUUUGAUUCAGUAUCAUCUGAAUUUUGACGAUGAAGCAAGUGGUGCUCAUCUGGACGUCGUCAUAACUGUAAUUGGCAACAAGCUAAACUCAAAGAUAAAUUGAUUAGCAACAAACUUAAAUUGGGUCUAAAAUACCAAACAUCGGAAACAACAUUCCUAAGAUCAUCUUGUUGCAACAUUAAGAUUCGAAACAAUAGAUUAAUAAAUGGGUGAUUAACAACAUUCCUACAUAGUUACUUUAUUUUUCAAUUAUUUUUUUCCUAUGUAUAUAGUGGUAUUGUGAAACAUAUUUCUACUACUUGAUGCCUUAGAUGCCUUUAGCUUAUAGGACUUAAUAAAACAACAUAAAGAGUGCUAGCUUUUUUCUUCUCUUGGUACUUUGAUUCAAGUACAUAUUAGCUAAAUCUGCCUCAAUCUUUAACGUUUGAAGUUUUAUGAUCUUCCACAAUACAAUCCUACUUGGAUCUCUAUUUUCGUUCUUAAUUGUGUGUGUAUAUAUAGAAGACAAUGGCAUUAAAAUCACCGUCAACUUUUGGAUCCAUGAAAAAACAAAUUUUUUCAUUGGAUGGAAAAUCAUAACUGCUGGUUUGAAUUACAUUGGAUGUUUGUUUGGAUGAGUGUGUUGCGUCUAUCCAAGUGCAAGUAGUCACACGUAGUAAUAAUCUUGGAAGUCCAAGUAUCGUAUCCUCAAGGAGCAGGUAGGCAAAUAUCUGCACACAAAGAAAUAACUAAACGUACCACAAUAAAAGUCACAAGCAAAAUGGAAAAGUAAUUUGAUUUGAUUGUUGUGGAAAUUGAGUUUAAAAAUGAAAUAUCAAUAAUGGAAAAGCUAAGGCAUCCAGGUUCAAUUCUUUAAGCAAAAUAUGUUUCAUGCUCUUUAAUCCAAAUUAUAACUCGAUUAAAAUUAUCAUUGAGAAACUUUAACCGGAAGAUAUAAAGAAAUUAAAACCAAUUUAAUUUUUCAAUGUUAUCUUUUCUUAGUGAUUGUUCAGAAAAUGGAAUUGCUUAAUAUCUACUCUUUUAAUUUAAAAGCAUGCUAAGUCAGUUCUUAACAAUGAGAAAAAUAUAAUUGAACUCAUGAAAAGAUAGUAGCACUUAACAUCAAUCAAAAUAAAAGGAUAUGAAAAUAUUGAACAACCAAAAAUAAAAGAAUUUAGCAAUUCAUACCGUAUAUUGGAUUAAAGAAUAAUUCACAAACUUACUCAAAAAACAUUCCCUUUAGCCUUAGCUAGAGUUCUAGCAACUCAUUUCAAAGGAAAAUAUAAAUUAAAUUUUGAAUGAAAUGGAUAAAGAAAUCUGUCGUAGUGGUGCCCUUGCCAAAUAUGUUGAUCGGUGAUUUAUAGUAGCCAAUGAGGUGAGUGGGAAGUUAAUACAUUCGUGGUGGGUAAUGAAGGGUUUAAGUGAGAGAUUAAUUGGAUUAAACAUGUGUUGAUGGUGGAGAGUUAGUGGAAAAGAAAUAACGGUGAGGUAGUGGGCAUUAAAUGGCUAUGAAUGACAUGAAAUAGGCUCUUUAGCUUCAACGGUGUUGUCUUCUCUUCUCCCUUUUUACUUCUCUUUAUAAUCACAAUCAAUUCUUCAAUAAAAUCCGCCAGCAAGUCUCUUCACACCUGGCUUGAACUUGAAAAAAUGUAUGUCUUCAUCUUUUGUGUAACACCCCGACUCCAAAUUUAAUUCCUUAUUUAAUUUAUUUAAGUGAAAUUAAUAAAUUACCCUUGGGGUAGGGGUAUUUUAGUCAUUUUCUCAUUCGAAAAGAGUUUGGGACAGUGACUAGUAUUUUUGGGUUGGUCGUACUGAGACGAGUCUGUAGACACGCAGUAGGCUUGAAUCGGAAUUGUAACGAAGAAGUUACGAUCAAAAGAAACUCAGUGGCACGAUCGUAAUUAUUUCGAAAAGAGUUAGGGUAAAAAUCUAAUUUUUCACUUUCUACCUCUCUCUCUCUCUCUCUCUCUCUCUCUCUCUCUCUAUCCCUCUGCGCGCAACCCCUCUCCCAUGCUAUUGUUCACCGAGACCAGAAACCACCACACCGCCACCACGUCCGGCCAACCCAUACGACGAGAUUGGUCCCGAUCGACUCCUCUUGAAGCCCCGAACCCAAACCACUAGUUUUCCCGACUGGAAAACCAGAGUUUCGUCAGCAAUUGCGAUUGGUUCGCAUCCGGUUUUCUUCCGUCGUUGCGCCGCCGCCUCACCCGCUCAAUUCCGGUGAAACCGGUGGGGUUAUUAUGUUGUUUUAAAUGCAAACUUUGUUUUUGUCCACUCACAUAUUUUCUGUUUUGCGCCCCUCAGCCAGUAGUCGCUCAAGGAGAUUUGCAAGCCAUGUUCGAGGCCAUGUAUCGUGAACCGCUGUAGAUUAGGCUUUGAGUAAUUUUUUUCUACUCAACUUGUUCUUGUAAAUUAAAUCUGUUAGGUGCUCUGUUAUUGCCCAUGUUAGGUUUUACUUGAGGCCGGAGGCCAUUUUACUAUGUUCUAUUGUAUGUUGAAAGCAUGCUGCUAGUUGAGAUUAUUGUUUUAUGAGCUUGUUGUGCAGGUGGAUUUUUGUUGGGAUUGUUCAAUUUACCAGGGAGACUCUGCCAAAAUUUUGGUAGAGAGUCUCGGUUUUUAGUAAGUGGGCCCGACAUAGGGGUGAUGUCGGCAAAAAGACGGGAUUCGUCCUGGUUUCCGAGGAAUUCCGAGGCAAGUCCUGUCAGGUUGGUAUUGAGCAUUAGGUUUAUUUUCCUUUGACUUUUGCAUUUUGUUGCAUUGUUGAGACUAAUGAUUCUGUGGUUUCUUUGUGUAGAACCAUGUCAGCUCGACGAGCUAGAACGAGGGGUCGCGUUCCUAGAUGGGGGCUGAAUCCGCCACCUCCAUCUCCACCUCCACCUCUACCACCACCUCCAUCACCACCACUACCUUCACCUCCGCCAUCUCCACAUGCUGGAGAGCAAGCCAGAGAAAAUGCUUUAGACUUCCGGCAAGUGCUCAGUUAGUUCACCCGCACUAUGACUACGGCCUUGCAGGGGAGGCAUAACACGGAGAGUUCGGAAAUAAAAAGGGUCAAGCAGCUAGGGGCAAGGGAGUUCCUUGGUGGUGCAGACCCAGCUGAAGCUGAAUCUUGGCUCUCCGAUGUGGAAAGGAUAUUUGAAGUGCUACAGUGUCCAGACAGUGACAGAGUCCGCUUGGCCACUUUUCUGCUGAAGGGUAAUGCAUAUCACUGGUGGAAAGCAGUCAGAAGAGGUUAUGGAAAUCAGGCUGCCAUUACUUGGGAGGAAUUUCGGCGGGUCUUCUUCGAACAAUUUUAUCCACGGUCCUAUCUAAAUGCCAAGAAGUCCGAAUUCCUAUAUCUGAAGUAGGGAGCCAUGUCGAUGUUGGAGUAUGAGCAUAAAUUUAAUGAAUUGUCUAGAUUUGCACCCGAACUAGUAGCCACCGAAAAGGAAAGAUGUAGACGCUUUGAGGAGGUCUAUGGUUGGAGAUCUAGGCAGUGGUUACUGCCAAUACUUACCCAAACAUGAGGGCUUUGGCCUAGGCAGCUGAAAGGGUGGCGAGGAAACUCAGUGUGAGUGCUGGCAGACGUCGCCGAGAUGCAUCAAGAUUUGGUGGGCCUAGUCAAGGUCCAUCAAAGAGGGGAGGAUCUAAUUUUGGUUCGGCUAGUAGUGGAUGGUCUGGAGGACGUGGAUCCAAUUUGGGUAGUGGGAGAUCAGGUUCUCGACCGCGUGGAAUCAAUAUUCUGGACAGCAGUCUACAGCCAGCACAGCCAGGGCUCCUUCAUGGCAGACGGGUUUGAUGUGCUAUAAUUGUGGGCAAAUCGGGCACUUUGCAAAGGAUUGUCCUAGCUACACUUAGGGAGGUGGACGGAAUCAGGGCAAUAGCGCGACUUGCUACUUUUGUGGACAAGUGGGGCAUACCAAGAGGAGCUGCCCAACUAUAUUCCCCAGAGAGACAGGAGUUCAGGGGACUGAAGCCUAGCAGAGGCAAGGUGGUAUGGGUCAGAACCAAAGUUAGAGUGGUGCCUCUUCCUUAACAGCAGGAUCAUCCAGUAGCGGGGCAUGGUCAUCUUCUAGGGGCAGGGGUGGUAGACACCCAAGGGGCCAGCCUGGAUGUUCUACUACUUAGGCUCGAGUGUUCUCAAUGACCCAGCAGGAAGCCCAUACCACUCUGGAUGUGAUCACUGGUAUGAUUCCUAUCUUUGGCUAUCUUGCACGUGUUCUAAUUGACCCGGGGGCCACACAUUCAUUCGUAGCACACAACUUCGUACCGUAUGUCAGUAUUAGACCCACACCCUUGACAUGAAGUUUUAGUAUUUCUUUACCUACGGGGGAAGUUCUGUUUGUGGACUGGGUGUUUAGAAAUUGUUAUGUCCAAGUAGGCGAUGCAUGGUUGGAAGCUGACUUGAUUCCUUUAGAUUUGGUGGAUUUUGAUAUUAUAUUGGGGAUGGAUUGGUUGAAGAAGCAUCAUGCAUCAGUGGAUUGUUUCCGGAAGGAAGUAAUGCUUAGGAGUCCAGGACAACCUGAAGUUAUCUUUCGUGGGGAGCGUGGAGUUCUCCUUACCUGUCUUAUUUCCUCUAUUACAGCUAAAAGGUUGCUCAAGAAAGGAUGUGAAGGAUAUUUGGCUCAUAUUAUCGACACUUGAGAGAUCACCUUGAAUCUGGAAGAUAUCCCCGGUGUUCAAGAUCUCCCAGAUGUCUUUCCAGAUGAUCUCCCAAGUUUGCCCCUUAAAAGGGAAAUCGAAUUCACUAUCGAACUUAUUCCAAGCACCAACCCUAUUUAUCAAACUCCUUAUAGGAUGGCACCAGUCGAGCUACGGGAGUUAAAGACUCAGUUGCAGGAACUGGUUGAUCUGGGGUUCAUCCGACCCAGUGUUUCUCAGUGGGGUGCACUAGUGUUGUUUGUGAGGAAGAAAGAUGGGACCAUGAGGCUAUGUAUUUAUUACUGGCAGUCAAAUAAGGUGACAGUACGUAAUAGGUAUCCUUUGCCUCGAAUUGAUGAUUUGUUCAAUUAGUUGAGGGGUGCUAAGUAUUUCUCUAAGAUUGACCUAAGAUCAGGGUAUCAUCAGUUGAGGAUUAGAGAAGAGGAUGUUCCCAAGACGGCCUUCAGAAUGCGGUAUGGUCAUUAUGAAUUUUUGGUGAUGCCUUUUGGACUGACGAAUGCCCCAACAGUAUUUAUGGAUCUCAUGAACAGAGUGUUCCGACCGUACUUGGAUCACUUUGUAAUUGUGUUCAUAGAUGAUAUCUUGGUUUACUCCAGGACGCUAGAAGGGCAUAAAAAGCAUAUGAGGUUAGUAUUGAGGACUUUGAGGAGGAAGCAGCUUUAUGCUAAAUUCAGUAAGUGUCAGUUCUGGCUAGACAGAGUGGUAUUCCUCGGACAUGUAAUUUCAGCUGAAGGGAUUUAUGUGGACCCGUAAAAAGUAGAGGCUAUUGUGAAUUGGGUACAACCCACAAGUAUGAUGGAAGUACGAAGUUUUCUGGGGUUAGCUGGCUACUAUCGUCGAUUCGUGGAAGGGUUCUCUUUGAUAGCAGCGCCUCUCAGGCAGUUGACAAGGAAAAAUGUUCAGUUUGUGUGGACAGAAGAGUGUGAACAGUGCUUCCAGGAACUAAAGAAACGGUUGACCACCACACCUGUUUUGACUCUUCCAGACAACUCGGGAAACUUUGUGAUCUACAGUGAUGCAUCUUUAUAAGGCUUGGGAUGUGUUCUGAUGCAACAUGAUCGGGUGAUUGCUUAUGCCUCUAGGCAACUCAAGAAGCAUGAGCAGAAUUAUCCUGUCAAUGAUUUGGAACUUGCUGCGGUAGUGUUUGCUCUCAAGAUUUGGCAUCAUUAUUUGUAUGGUGAGACAUGUCAGAUUUUCACGGAUCACAAGAGCUUCAAGUACCUUUUCACUCAGAAGGAAUUGAAUAUGAGACAACGGCGUUUGCUAGAAUUGAUCAAGGACUAUGACUGUACAAUUGAGUAUCAUCUAGGCCGAGCUAAUGUGGUUGCAGAUGCACUGAGUAGGAAGACUACUGGAGACUUAGCUCAUCUCAGAACGGCCUAUCUUCCGUUGUUGGUGGAACUAAGGAAGGAUGGAGUAGAAUUGGGAAUGAUUGAAAAGGGUGGAAUCCAUGCUAGCUUGCAUAUGAGACUGAUCCUGGUGGAGUGGGUAAUUGCAGCUCAAUUGGAGGAUCCGACACUCUGUAGGAUAAGGGGAGAAGUAGAAAAUGGUACACGAACGGAUUAUGCCAUAAGAGAAGAUGAGGCUUUGGUAACUAGUACUCGUCUUUCUGUGCCUAAGAACAAUGAUGACCUGAAAAGAGAAAUCAUGGAAGAAGUUCACUGUUCUGCUUAUACUAUGCAUCCGGGUAGUACCAAGAUGUAUCGGACGCUACGGGAACAUUAUUCAUGGCCGCAUAUGAAGGGAGACAUUGCCAAGUAUGUUAGCAGAUGCUUGAUUUGUGAGCAAGUGAAAGUAGAGCGACAGAAAUCAUCAGGACUUAUGCAACCACUUCCGAUUCCUGAAGGGAAGUAGGAACAUAUUACCAUGGAUUUUGUUUUCAAGCUUCCACGUACUUCUAAGGGACAUGAUGGAAUUUGGGUGAUAGUUGAUCGACUCACCAAAUCUGCCCAUUUCCUACCCAUCAAGGAGACCUAUUCUUUGUCAAGGUUGGCGAAACUUUUUGUGGAAGAAAUCGUGAGGUUGCAUGGAGCACCUGUGUCCAUUGUAUCGGACAGGGAUGCUAGGUUCACUUCUCAAUUCUGGAGGUGUUUACAGGAAGCUAUGGGUACUAAGUUACAAUUCAGUAUAGCUUUUCACCCACAGACUGAUGGGCAAUCGGAAAGGACUAUCCAGACUCUAGAGGAUAUGUUGAGGUCCUGUGUGUUACAGCUUAAGGAUGCGUAGGAUAGUCACCUUGCCUUGAUAGAAUUUGCCUAUAAUAACAGCUAUCAUUCAAGUAUUGAGAUGGCUUCAUAUGAGGCGUUGUAUGGGAGGCAGUGCACAACUCCUAUUUGCUGGAAUGAAGUGGGUGACAAGAAAUUGGAAAAAGUGGAUAGUAUACGGGCGACCACCGAGAAGGUGAAAAUGAUCAGAGAGAAAUUGAAGGCCGCCCAAGACCGAUAGAAGAGUUAUGCAGAUAACAGGUCUAAGGAUCUUGAGUUUGCAGUUAGGGAUUUGGUAUUCUUGAAGUUAUCCCCGUGGAAGGGUGUGAUGAGGUUUGGGAAACGUGGGAAGUUAAGCCCUCGUUAUAUCGGACCUUAUGAGAUCACAGAGCAGAUUGGACCUGAUGCUUAUAGAUUGGCCUUACCCACUGAACUAUCCCGAAUACACGUCAUGUUCCAUGUAUCUAUGUUACGGAGGUACAUGCCAGAUCCUUCCCAUGUUUUGGAGCAUCAACCUAUAGAGUUGAGAGAGGAUUUGUCAUAUGGGGAGCAACCUGUACAGAUCCCGGAUAGGAAAGAACAAAUGUUGCGCUCCAGAUCCAUUCUGUGGUAAAGGUUUUGUGGAGAAGCCAAACUGUGGAAGAAGCUACAUGGGAGCCCGAGGUGCAGAUGCGGGCCAAGUACCCUUAUCUAUUCUAUUGACAGGUAUGUGAAUUUUGAGAAUGAAAUUUUUAUAAGGGGGGUAGAUUGUAACACCUUGACUCUAAAUUUACUUCUUGUUCACCCGUUUUAUGUUUGUUCCUGUGAUGGAAGAGCAAAGUUCCCCAUUAGCUUGGAAACCAUUGAAUGGUCAAUAAGUCCACUUUCUUUGGUGUGCGAGCGUGCCACUGCUAGCAAUAAAAAUUCUAGCAAACUUCCUUAAAACAGAUAACUUGCGCCCCAAGUUAAUGAUUUCUAAACAAGCAAUUGUGAAUUUGGGUGAGGAAUAUCUCCCAAGUAAGUUCUUUUCCUGCCUCAGACAGGUGAGGACUUCACAAUUUAUCUCAGUACAAAAUUUGUAGUUCUGGCUACAAUAAUUGAUAAUAAAGUGGACUGUUUUAGACAGAACUGCCUUGUACAAAACUAGAAAGGAAAAAAUCAACUCUAGAAAGACAGAAAGAAAAGUUGGAGUUCCAUUUCUGCCUGGAUAGAAGUCUCUGAUCCAGGUUGGACUGGGUAAGCAUAUGCUGGACUGAACUAUCAACAACUUCAACUGCUGAGCUUCAGUUGUAAAUCGAUACCAAAGUUUGAGCUUGGCAGAGCUUUAAUUUAUUUCGAGCCCUGAACGGGCAGAAUUGUAGCCUCCUUAGUUUGAAAGGGGCAGAAGUGGCUGAAUUCGAGGAUUUACUGAGCCGAAACUGCACUAUAGUACCUGUUCUGCUUGAUCAGGGCUUUCCAUAAAUUUAUUGAGAUUUUUAUAUUUGUAAACACUCAAACUCUGCUUAUUUUGGCUCUUGCUGAACCAAAUUUGUAACUAGAGACGUCUCGUUUUGAAUGACUUAUUUCUCUAAGUCUGAACUGGAAGUUUUGAUUUAUGGCUGGCUUCUUUUGUGGCUUUGUCUUUGGUUGAUUUUUGGUUGUUUCAUUUGAUUGUCCUUCAACCUGUUCACCCUCUUCUAUAUUUAUAAGAAAUGUUUUUUUUUUGAAGUAGGGUUUCUAAUUCUUUUAACAAUGGGCGGCAAAAACUCUCAAAAGAUCUCUCAUCUUUAAUUGUGAAGAAAAGGGAUUCUAUCAGUUCUGGCAGAUAAGCCAUCAGUGGUCAAGUUUUUAAGACAAUCACUUUCCUGUUUUUCUCGAAAGAGAAUGUAACCCUUCUCUAAUUCCAACUGCCCCCCUGUGUGAGCUCAAACUGUGAUGGUUAGUGUGACUUUCCAUUUGAACAACUCUCUGUUACCUGCUUAUCCUUUUUUGAGAGUAUAGCCUGCGUAUCUUCUGAAAGAUGGUGGCUUCUCUGGAGCAGAAACAAUAUCUCUGAUUUAUAAAAAGAUUUUUGAUCUUUUAGCCCCAGAGUAAUUCCCUGCAAAUGACCUGCUUUCAUUUAAUUCCAAAUAAACUCUUUUGCGGAAAUUGUUGACUUUCUAAAUCGGGUAGUCACGUGGGUUCUAAGAAUAGUCUUUCCAAAACAUCUUGCUGACUCUGCACUCUGGGUUUUUGAGAUCAGUGGUGAGUCAGAAGCUGGGUCCAAUCCCAUUUUUUAUUGAUCUACUUCAGUGGUUGAUUGCCAUUUAAUCUUGAUGUUUUUACAACUCCGCCAGUUUUGUAAAAGACAUGGGCCUUCUGAUUUAGUUUUGGGUCUCCUCUUAUCUUUCGAAUCAAAGCCUAGUCCUCUGUUUUUUCUGUUUUGUGGGCCUUUGUGAAAAGUGGGCUGGCGUGCGUGGAUUUCUUUUUGGCCCAAACAAUGCCCCCUUAAGUCUGAAUCGUUUUAAAACGGUUUCAGACUUAAGGAUUGGCCAAUCAAUGAUGCGCGCCAUUUCCUGCCAUUGCACUAGCGCACGUCUGCCUAUUCGAUUAGGCUUCGUGGGGAAAUGGGUUCUAACGGCUAAUUAAAUCUGAGCAAAAACUCCUUCCUUCCUACUCUCCAAUGAUCUUCCUGCUCAGUUUAUAAAAUUCUUGCCGAACUUCAUUACUGUUCAUAAAAACCUAGCUCUGUCUCAGCUUUCAUUCCUUUCGAGACCUUCUGUUUUUUUCGGUUUUGUUCCUUCCAAUCUCCCUCUGUUCAUCUGAUUUCUGGAGAAAAGAAAAGAAAGAAAAAGAAAAUGUCUUCCCCAAACACUCGUGCCAAGAGUUCCUCUUCUUCGUGCUCUCCUGCAUUCCUUACUGGAGAUGGUGUUGAUAACCAUGCGAUAGAAGUUCGAAGCAGGCUGCAUCCUUUUGCGCAAAAGAAUCUGGACGAGAAUGUACUCCAUCUUUUCGAGAACACCCUUGUUCUGGGUCCUCAUUGGUUUGGUCCUGUACUGAAGGAGAUGACCAUUUUAUUCAAGGAUGAUGCUGAGGCCCCUCUGUGUCAUCAAAGUUCUACUUCUCUGGCCUCCUAUACCUGGGUUAGCAAGAAUCUGAGUCGCUCGUUUCCUUCAAGUGAAGUGAGGAAUAGCACAGUGAAAUGGUCAGACUGGAUUGAUAGGCUUCUUCCAAGGCACGGAGCUCAUUGGAAGAGGGCUGGUAUUUAUGAUGCAAUUCUUUUGUCCAGGCAUUCUAUUAACGGAGAUGAGAACCUUAUGGCUGCUGCUCUGUGUUUCUGGAAUUCUACCAGUAACACCUUUGACUUCCGUAUUGGCCCAAUGUCUCCAACUCUGCUGGACAUGGCUCAAAUUUUUGGUUUUAGGCCUUAUGGAAGGCCUGUGGAUGCAGUCGGAGAUUAUCACAUAAGAAAGAACCAAGAAAAAUUGGCGAAGCCCUUCAUUAUCCCUUCUGCCGCAAUUAACCAGAACUGCUCAUUCUCUAAUUACUUGAAGAAAUUUAGCUUAGAGAAGGACAAGGAUCAACAGCAUAUGCUGUUUCUUCUAUACUGGUGUUGAAAUAAAAAAAUUCAUUGACAGCAAAUUAAAUAUUGGCCCAAGUUUAAAGAAGUUGGGCUCAUAGCUAAAAUGGUUUUGUGGACUUGUUGCUAAAUUGUUUUAGGCCCAAAUGAAUUAAUAUUAAUAUUUUUACAAAGAAAAUAUUAACGUACUAAAAGCAGUAUCAGAACAUGUACGUUGAGGGGGUGACUGUAAUGGGAAGUUACUCCCACCCACACAAUACGUGAGGCCAUAACUGGCUCCACUAUGUCAGUUCCUCUAAGUCUAUAAAAAGGGACUAAAGGAGGCAAAGAACACAAAAGAGAAAAAGCACCAAAUUGCUGCAGAAAUACACAGAAGAGAAAAAAACACCGAACUGCUACAGAUAUCCAAAGAGUAUAAGCAAGAAAAAGAGAUACGAAGCUCUGUCACAAUACCACUAAGAAGGUAUAAACAAAUUCAUUUAAGUAUCCUUUAUGAACAAUUGACUUGCAGGUAAAAAAAUAUGUAUGUGAGGCCAUUGUACAGAAGCCUGAACUUCCUCCAUGUUUAAUAUCAAGAAAUGUAUCAUAUCAACAGAGACCUUAGCUGGGGAAAAAUGUGAACAAAUCCUCCCAAAUUGGCAAUAACUGUGCUACUUACACAAAGAGACACUACUACAAAAAGUGAAAAAGACGACCAGAAAACAACGACGGUCUAAGUGAAAACCGUCGUGGUUUAUAAAAAGACGACGGUUCUAAAAACACCGUCGUGUAAUACAACCUUAGACAACUAAAAAAUGGAGAUUCAAAUGGCUGUUAAAAAACAACGACGUACAUAAUUAAACAACCGACGUCUAUUUGAAACAGAUUUCCGCAGUGUAAAAUCAAUGCCAACAAAGAACGGCAGAAGUUAUGAAUCGACCGACGUAGAAAGUAAAGACGACGAUUUCAAUAAAAACUGCCGUUUUUACUCAUAAAAUAACACGACGAGGUUUUCGUAUAAGACGCCGUAUAAUUACAAACAAAUCCACGGCUUUAAAAUACAAAAUAUCGCCGUAUUAAAUUAAUUUACAACGACGGAAAAUAUAAAUAUAUCGACGUCAUUAUCGUAUAGUUCUACGACGUUAUCUUUAAAUCGUACAAUAAAAUUUAACGUCGUAUUUAUUCAUUUUAUACGUCGUACCUUUAAUUUUAACGGUCGUCUUAAUAAGAAUUUUUGUUAACAAUUUUUUUCUUUGAUUUUCUUAUCCUACGUCGGUAGAUCUACUUAAUGACAAGAAUUGAAAUAACCACGACGGUUUAUAUAGAACACCGCCGACAUAAUCAGAUUUGUCUGAGAUCCCAAGGGUUACGAAAUCUUACCAGAUGGAACUCUGUUCCACAUCAUAAUCUUAACAGAUGAUACAGAUUUGCAAAUAUUGCGUCGUGUUAGUUUACAAAUUCUAGAACAUUAAUUUCCCUCAUUUUAAAUUUCCUCGGGAAAGAAAAAUCUAUUUAUCACGCUUUGUAAUUGAAAACUAAAACUGAAAGAAUACGGGAAAAAAAAACUCUAUUUAUAAUUUAAAAAUAAAAUCCACGUCGGUUGUAGUACACUUAACGACGUUUAACAAAAUAAUCUACGUCGGUAAUUAUAAAUCUACCGCCAUCUUACCUUAAUAUAAACGACGAGAAAAGACGACGGUAGAACAGAAAACCGCCGUUGUUUCAGUUUCUUUAACAGUUUGGUCCUUUAUCUUUCUGCAGGACUUGUAUAGUUCAAAGCAUUGACAAUGUCUUCAUCAUAUCUCCCAGCAACUACUGAUUCAAUUGCUCAUGCUUUAGAGGCCAUCUGAAGCCAUUUCUAUUCUUUAUCGCAUUCUUGAAACCCAUCUUCUUCUUCUGAAGCUCUACGGAUAAAGGAAGAGGCUAUCACAAAUCCGACGGAUCUUCUUAGGCAAGAAAAUCAAGCAGAGGAUCAGGCACAUCUGAUCUUUAGAUUUCCCUGAGAAGCGAACUUUCCUUCGACAGCGAGUGGAGGCCAGGCUUGCAUCUCUUUUGAUGGAAAGCAAGGAGUAUUCAGAAGCACUAAGUGUCCUAUCAGGCUUGAUCAAGGAAGUGAGAAGGCUAGUUGACAAGCUUCUUCUUGUGGACAUAUAUUUGAUGCGAGUAAGGUCAAUUUUUCUUUGAGAAAGACAUCCAAAUUAUUGUCUUUGAGACGUGAGAGACUGAGAGAGGAAGAACUUGGAACCUUAAAUGUAAACCGAAAAUGAAUGAAAGCGACAAAUUUAUAGAAUAAAUUUUUAAAACCAACGGCGGUCCUUACAAAAAAACCGCCGUUUAAAUUGUAAAAUCAACGUCGGUAUUAUCGACGUAUAUUACAGAAAUCCACGUCGGUAAAUUAAUAAAAACGACGUGUUAAAUAAUCUACCAUGACGCGAGUUAUUACUUAUGUACUUUAAUUUUUGAGUUUACUACGACGGUACCUACAACACUACUGUCGUAUUUAUUUACCACGUCCGAAGUUAAAUGUACCGUCGUAUUUUGUAAUUUAUACGUCGUAGUUAUAUGUAACCGCCGUAUUAUUUUUUUGAAAUGGUUUAUAUGUAAGCAACUUUUCGUCUACCUGACAUACACAUGCGCUGUUUCCAAACCCGAUUAAAAAGUUCAAUCUCCCAGAGAAAACUUUUAGACUUUUUUCCUUGUCAGAGCACUGUCAGAGUAUCUCAUCGUCUUCCUCUCGUCUUCUUCGUCGUCUCUGAACUUAAACAUAAUCUUCCUCUUGCUUUCAUUGCACGCAAAAGGUAAGCUUUCAUUUUCACUAUUUUGGUUGCUGUUUUGCAUGCUCAUACGUUUUUUGUUUGAAAAAUCUUUUUACCUUUUUUCUGGCCAAAAUCAUUUUACUUCUUUCCAAGUUCGAUAAAAUAUACAGACAAAGAGGGAAAGUUUCCAACUUUGAAGACAACUACCUCAACUAAAUAAGACGACGGUAGCUUCUUAUGUACGUGGUUAAAUAUGUAGACCACGACGGUUCGUCAGUCGUUCUAGCGUCGUCUGAAAAUUGACAAAGUUGUUUUUAAAAUUAUAGUCUUUUUUUUAUUUGCUUGUUUAAUUGCGGGUUUGAUUUCUCUGAACAAUGGUUUUUGUUUUUCCCUAAUUUGAUAAAAUAUAAAGAAAAAGAAAGUAGGGUUGGUAUCUAAUAUAGACGACAGUAUCUUAUUGUUUUACGUCGUGUGAAUGUUAAUACCACGACGUCAUAUUAAAAUACCGUCGUCUAUAUAAGAUUCCAAAACUUUCUUUCUUGGCCUUGUAUUUUAUCAAAUUAGAAAACAAAAACCAUGGUUCAGAAAAAUCAAAUCUGCAAUCAAACAUUCACAGAGAAAGAAAGAAGGGUUUUGGAUCCUUAUAUAGACGACGGUAUAUUACGACUGACGUCGUGUGAACAUCAAUACCACGACGUUAUAUAAAUAUUUCGUCGUGUAUAGUUAAUUAUCACGUCGUUUAUAGUUAAUUAUUUCGUCGUUGUUUAAUUACCUUGGUUUUAAACAUUUAUUACGUCUGAGAUUAUUUCAUUGCGUCGUUUAAAAUCAUAUCAUACGUCGUAUUUUAUUAAUAACUGUCGUUUGUGUUCUUAAUCUUUUCCUGAAAUAUUUUCACUUGCAGUUUUGUCUGUAAAAAUGGUUUCUCACCAAGACCAAAGUAAGGAUUCUGGCUCCAAGAAAAAUGGAGGUAAGGACCUUGGAAUGGUACCUCCUCAAGUGAAGCCUUCGAAGAAGAUGAAGUUUGCUUCAUCAUCUGCUGAGACAGAACGAACCAGCACGACAACAAUCUCUGAUGAUUCAAAGUCUGGUCGAGGUAUGAGCACAAUGCCUCGUGUUGUGAAGAGAAAACUUCAGAAACUGAGGCCAAUUGUUGAGUACAAUAAAAGGGGGAAAGGAAUUGGCCAAGCACAUAGUGAGAUGCAGUCCUACAUUGGUGUGUUGGCACGCUCCAGAGUUCCACUUGUGGACAUGAAAUGGGCUCAAAUCCCCAAGGAUAUAAAGGAGCAGAUUUGGGAAGCAGUUGACCUUGCUUUUGUGGUAGGUCAAGGGGGCAAGAGCUCUGUGUUAGCUUCUGCUGCCAAGAAAUGGAAGGAUUUCAAGUCUACACUAACGAGGCAAUAUAUCCUUCCAUACACCAAUGACAGGGAGAGAUUAAGCCAACCCCCUGAAACAUAUAAAUUCAUAGAGAAAGCACAAUGGGAUGCCUUUGUAGCUUCAAGGUUAUCCAAAGAUUUUGAGUCUGUGCAUUCUCAACAUGCACAGAUUAGGGAGAAACUCGAGUACAAUCAUCGAUUGUCUCGAAAAGGAUAUGCUGGUUUGGAGGAUCAGUUGGAGGAAACCAUGCCUGGGGUAGAAAUUGAUCGAUCUACCUUAUGGAAGAGAGCUAGACAGGACAAACAUGGUAACAUCCCUGAUCCAAAGGUGGCAGAGAAAGCAAAAUUAAUUGUAAGCCUACUCACUCUGUUUUAAAUUUUUAUUAAACUGUGAAUAAUUCUUAUUACGUCUUAUGUUAUAUUUUGCGUCAUGUGAAUGAUAUUACCACGUCGACAUAUUUUAAAAAACGUCGUUAAAGGUCUAAAUCAGGAAUCACAACUCUGUUUUCUGUAAUUAUAGCAUAAGAUGUCGGUGGUUCAUUUUCGCGUCGUCUGUAGUAAAUUACUAGGUCGAAAUGUUUUAAACAACGUCGUUAAAGGUGUGAAUAUUGAAUCAUCCCUCUGUUAUCUGUAAAUAAAGCAUAAGACGUCGGUGGUUUAUUAAUUUCGUCGUUUUAAAAAGAUAACCACGUCGGUAUAACUACCGUCGUGAUAAAUUAUAAUAACGUCGAUUUAUAUGUUAUUGCGUCGUGUGAAAUUAUAUAAUACGUCGUUUGUAUAUAAAUAACUGUCUCGUGUGUUUUUGUUCUUACUUUUUUAUAUAUCUUUGUUUUAGGAUGAAUUGCAAAAACAAGUCUCGGAAGGCAAAGUCACUGUUUCUGGCAGCAAUGAUGUGCUGACCAUGGCUUUGGGCCCCGAGCAUCCAGGCAGAGUCAGAGGAGUAGGUGCUGGGAUCUCACCAAGGCAAUAUUUCAAUUUACCCAAACCACAGAGAGUGAGCUUUGACGACCGUUUGAAGGACAGUUUAAGAGUUCUCCUUCAAGAAGAGACUAAAAAGAUGGAGGCUAAGGCAAGGGAAGAGGCUUUAAGGAUGGAGGCUAGAACGAAACAAUUGGUAGAGGCUGAGAGGGAGCAUUUCCUGAGUCAGCUUUCUCAAUUAAUUCCCAAUUUUGAUCCAAGCAUGCUUAAACCCAGAAUUAGCCAAAGUCCCAAAAAUCCAAUGUCUGACAAAGCAAGCUGCUCUGGAGGUAAUGUGAGAUCCCAGCAUUUUGAGGAUGAUACUGCCAAAAAUGGGAAACAUCAGGAAGGAAAGGUAACAUAUCUGAACUUUGAAUUCUCUGUUUUUUUUAAAACCAUUAGACGUCGUUAUUAUUAAUAAAACCGUCGUUUGUAUUUCAAUACCACGUCGUUUUUAGUUUACUUGUUUUACACGCCAUUAAACGUCGUUAUUUUAAAACUUUGUGGUUUUUGGACGACGGAGUUAGUCAUUCCCGACGUAAUAGAUGAAGGGAAGACAGAAGAAAAACAUGAUGAAAAGGAGAAAGAAGAUGACGACCAGGUAUGUUCACAUAACUUUGCCUUUUUUAUUUGUUUUUCAAAAUUCCAGACGUCGAUAUUUUUCUUUGAACCGUCGUUUGUUUACAACUUAGACGGCGGAAUUUUGUUUAAGACGUAAUAAAUUAUUCACCACGACGGUUUCUUCAGACGACGUUUAAAUUAUUUUCAGACGACGUUUUAUUCCUUAAACCGUCGUUUUUAUUGAAUUACCACGUCAUUUUUUUUAUUUCUUUAAACAGGUUAUUAAAGUUGUUGAUUAUUCAAAUAUGGAGGCGCCAUCUUCUUUAAACUCCCUUUGUCGUUAUGUGGAAACGACACUCGUGCCUCAGGAUAAGACCCUGCACUUUACAAUUGAUAAGGAGGUGUUUGGUCUAGAGCGCGAUACCUUCCUCCUGCCUGAAGAUAUUACACAAUUUGCAGGCAUGGAAGAAAUAGGAGCCACUGUCAUUGCUGUAUAUAUGAGGUUUGUCAUUCUAAAAUAAUACGUCGUUGGUGUAUUUAUUGCGUCGUCUUAACCAACUAACCACGUCGUUAGUAUAUCAUAACGUCGUUGUCUAUUUCAGUACGUCGUGUGAAAUUUUAUAAUACGUCGUUUUGUUAUACAUAACCGUCGUGUUUUUUUUGUAUAUAUGAGGUUUGUCAUUCUAAAAUAAUACGUCGUUGGUUUAUUUAUUUCGUCGUCUUAACUAACUAACCACGUCAUUAGUAUUUACCGUCGUGAUAAAUAUAUUAUAACGUCGUUGUCUAUUUUAGUACGUCGUGUGAAAUUUUAUAAUACGUCGUUUUGUUAUACAUAACCGUCGUGUGUUUUUUGUGCUGACUUGUUUAUAUUAUUUUAUAUAUUUAGGCACUUGCACGAUGUUUUGAAAAGAGCAAAUAUGUGCAAUAUGGUUGGCUUUAUCGACCCUGCUACAGUUAGUGCCAGCUCUGGCACAAUAGCUGACAGAUCACGCCUACUGGCAGCUCGACUUCAGAAGACUAACGGUGAACAGAUUUUCCUGAUGCCUUACAAUCCAGGGUUAGUCUCCUUAACAGGAUUUUGUUUUUAUGAUUUUCAAUAAAUUACAGCGUAUAAACUAACCACGUCAGUGUUUUAUUUUAUUGAGUCGUUUGAAACUACUAACCACGUCGGUAGUUAUUUAUCGUCGUGAUAAAUGUAAAAUGUCGUCGACUGCUACUUUAUUUCGUCGUGUGAAAUAUUAUAAUACGUCGUUAUUGUAAAUAACCGUCGUUUUUAUAUUAAUUUUGUGCAGCCGUCAUUGGAUCUUGCUGAUUGUAAGAGCUAAGAGAGAAACCGUCUAUUUUCUGGAUCCUCUGCCAGAAAAUCGUUUGGUCGAUGAAGAGGCCAAAAACAUUGUGAACAGUGCUAUAAAAAUGUAUAAUUCUCACAUAGCCAGACCAGGCCGUAAGGCAGUCAUUUGGAAAACUCUGUCAGGCACACCAAAGCAACCCAGCAAUGUCGAAUGCGGGUAUUAUGUGAUGCGCUUCAUGAGGGACAUCAUCAUGGAUCCUUCCUUGGGGUUUGAGAAGAAGGUAAGAAGAAAUUACCUUCAUACAUUUUACGUCGUUUUUUGUAUUAUCAACGACAGCCAUGUAAAAUUACCGUCGUUGAAUAGAUAUAGUACGUCGGUUAUGAAAAAUAUCGUCGUCUGUGAUUGAAUUUCUUUUUAUUUAUAAACCCUAAUAGUCAUUGUUUAUGCAGUAUGCCAAGGGAAAACAGGAAGCGCCAUACCCCCAAGAAGCAAUUGAUGAAGUCUGGAAUGAAUGGUCAGAGUUUGUUUGCCUUCACUGGAAUAGGGGAAUUAUUGAACACUUGAUAUUUAUGUAUAAUGUACAAAUUUUGUCUAUAAUAUAUAAUGUAAAAAUUUGUUGAGGUUUUCUUAAAUUUUAAAAAAAAAACAAACAUACAAAUUGCGUAACCGACGUGUAAUACUUUUCCAAUGACGUAAUAAAGUCAAAAGUCGUCGUUUUUUGUUGUUUCGUUUUAACCAAAUCCGACGUAAAAGGAUAUUUAGACGACGUUCUUUGAACAAUUGAGUCGUUUAUGGUUUACAACGUCUUCAAUUUCUUAAGGGUUCAGGGUAGUACUUUGUAACGACAGCGGUUAAGUCGUGGAAUAUAUAUUUUACGUCGGAUAGUUAAAUAUCCGCCAUGGUUUCUCAUUUAAACGACGUCAUUUUAGCAACUUAGUCGUCUAUUACAAUUUACAACGUCGAAAAUUUAUUAACACCGACGUGGUUUGUUGUUGUGAUAAGAAUAUUUUAUUAUUUUUAUAUCAAAAUAUUCAAAAUAAAUCUAAAAUAAAUCAGAAAAAUGCAAAGUCAACUCCUAUGAAGUCAUUGAUAUAUUUUCUUCCCCCUAAACCUUGAAAAAAUUCAUUUUGAAUAACAAAAAUUUAAAAUGACCAUCCAAAACAAAAUUGUUUUGAUGAGUCAUAAAAUCACUUCUAGUUUUAUGGUUUAGGGUUUAGAGUCUAGGGUUUAGAGAUUAGGGUUGUUAUUUAUUGGGGUUUAUUUUUAAAGUAUAAUUUUUGGGUAGUAUAGGGUAUAUAUUAGGCUGUAAAACCAUAAACCCUUUUAUAAACUUAAUUUUUAAAAUUAUAUAAUUUAGUUUUAAGGGUUUAGGGUAUUAAUUGUUAACGACGGUGGUUGAGUCAUGGAAUACAUAUGUUACGUCGUGCAGUAAAAUAUCCGACAUAGUUUCCACUUUAAACGACGUCAUUUUAAUAUGUAAAUCGUCUAUUAUAAUUUACAACGUUUUCAAUUUCUUAACUUCGACGUGGUUUUUCAGUCGUCUUUAUAUCAAAAUAUUCAAAAUAAAUUUAAAAUUAAUCCGAAAAAUGAUCGUCAAAAUAAACGGCGUUACGUUCAGUGUUUUCGUCGUGGAAUAUUACAUUUACGUCGGUUCUUGUAGAACUUUCGCCAUGGUUUUUCUUUCGACGUUUUAAAGAGCGCGCGCUCUAAAAAUUUUCGCGCGCCCUAAAUUUUUUUAUAUUUGGCUCUUAUUCUUAUACUUCUAACCCUGAACCCUAAAAUUUUCAGAUUUCGUGCAACAUAACAUUCGCUCUCUCACUUCUGCUCUAAUUAAAAGUUGCACUCUCCAGGCUCCGUCGAAUCUGUGAGCUCGUCCAACCUGUAAGUACAAACCCUAUCUUCCCCUUGUAAAUUCAUUGAAUGAUAUUAGGUUGUUUUGUUAAAGGGUUGUAGGUAUAUGCUUUGUGAUCUGUUAAUAAUGUGCUUAUAGGUAUGGGUUCAUGGAUUUUCUCUUUAAUGGGUUCAUGGAUUUUCUGUUUAAUGGGUUCAUGGAUUACAUUAUCUGUUAUGUUGAAUUGGGAAUGGUUUUAAUUUUGUCGGAUCUUUUAAUCACCCUAUGUUAUGUUGAAUUGGGAAUGGAUUUAUUGUUUUCAUGCUUGGUUUCAUGUAUAUGUUGGUUUCUUGCUUGUUUUGUUAAAGGGUUUUAGGUAUAUGCUUUGCGAUCUGUUAAUAAUGUGCUUAUAGGUAUGGGUUCAUGGAUUUUCUGUUUAAUGGGUUCAUGGAUUUUAUGUUUAAUGGGUUCAUGGAUUACAUUAUCUAUUAUGUUGAAUUGGGAAUGGUUUUAAUUUUGUCGGAUCUUUUAAUCACCCUAUGUUAUGUUGAAUUGGGAAUGGAUUUAUUGUUUUCAUGCUUGGUUUCAUGUAUAUGUUGGUUUCUUGCGUGGUUUCAUAUAUAUGUUGUGUUCUUAAUGGGUUUUGGGUUCUUGAAAAUAAACUGAGACACGACGCCUUUUUAGGCAUACGACGACGAUUACACGACGGUUUAUGAAAAAACCGUCGUUGUAUUACUUAUACACGACGGUUUUUUCAUAAACCGUCGUUUGUAUUACUUAUAUUAGACGACGUCUGUUGAAAAUCCGUCGUCUAUAUAUGCCAAAUACGUCUGUUUUUGUUUAAAACCCGUCGUCUCUGUUGUGUAUUACUUGCUAUUAGAUCUUUGUAUAAUCUGCUAUAGUGAUGGUCAUUGCCUGUAUUUUCACUUUAUUAUAGAUAAUAGGUUAUAGUGUCGGAGAUGGAUAAGUCAUGGAUGCACUCGGAUAGAAGAUCGAAGGCAUAUGAGUUUGGGGUGGAAGCAUUUUUGAACUUUGCUGUAGAAAAUCUUCUAACUACAACACAUAUCCGUUGUCCAUGUGUUAAAUGUGUUAAUUUGAAGUUGUUUGGGGUUGGAAUUAUAAGGGAUCACUUAUACUUUAAUGGAAUUGAGCAAAGCUAUAAGAAUUGGACAUUUCACGGAGAACCUUGGGAAGCAACUACUAAUGCUAGUAGAAAUGUUGAAGAAGAUGAUGGCCAUAGUAGGUACAGUUUUGUGUCUGAAGAAAUUGAUAUGGAUGAUAAUGAUUUUGGUGAUUUUGGUUCCGAUCCGUAUGAGUUUGCCAAUGUGAUUGGGGAUGGAGAUCAACCAGUGUACCCUGGUUGUAGAAAGUACACGAAGUUAUCGGCAUUAGUGAAGUUGUAUAAUUUGAAGGCAAAACAUGGGAUGAGUGAUGUCUGUUUUACAGAAUUAUUGAUACUUCAAGGCGAUUUGCUUCCAGAAGGAAAUACAAUACCAACCUCUAUGUAUGAGGCUAAAAAGACUUUGUGUGCAUUGGGGCUGAGUUAUGAGAAAAUGCACGCAUGCCCCAAUGAUUGCAUCUUGUAUAGGAAGGAGUAUGAGGAUUCAACUAAUUGUCCUACUUGUGGUAUCUCAAGGUGGAAGGAAGGCAAAGAUUCAAUCUUGAAAGAGGGUGUGCCAGCGAAGGUGGUGUGGUAUUUUCCUCCAAUUCCAAGGUUUAAAAGGAUGUUUCAAUCACAUGAGACAGCUAAGAGUUUGACUUGGCAUGCUGCUAGAAAAUCAAUUGACGGUCAGAUGUCUCAUCCGGCGGAUUCCCCGUCUUGGAAACUUCUUGAUGAUAAAUGGCCUGAGUUUGGUAAUGAGCCGAGAAACUUGAGAUUGGCUCUUUCAUCUGAUGGAUUCAAUCCCCACAGUUCUCUAAGUAGCAGAUAUAGUUGUUGGCCGGUUAUCUUAGUUACAUAUAAUCUCCCUCCAUGACUGUGCAUGAAACGAAAGUUCAUGAUGUUAACCUUAUUGAUUUCCGGUCCUAAACAACCCGGAAAUGAUAUAGACGUCUACUUGGAGCCUUUGAUUGAUGAUUUAAAAUCUUUGUGGGAUGGGAUUAGAGGAGUGUAUGAUGCACAUAAUGGAGAAUACUUUACACUCAGAGCUGCAUUAAUGUGGACAAUUAAUGAUUUCCCCGCCUAUGGAAACUUAUCUGGUUGUGUUGUUAAAGGAUAUAAAGCUUGUCCAAUAUGCGGCAAUGAUACACCUAGUCACAGGUUGAAAAAUGGCCACAAAAUUUGUUACAUUGGGCAUAGAAAAUGGUUACCAAUCAAUCAUCCAUAUAGGAGGCAACGUGCAACUUUUAAUGGGAAACCUGAAUAUGGCAUACCUCCCGAGCCAUUAACCGGAGAAGAAGUGCUGCAUAUGGUUGAAAAUGGUGACAGAGUUUGUUGGAAGAAGAAAUCAAUAUUCUUUGAUCUCGAGUAUUGGAAAUACCUUCCUGUGAGGCAUGCCCUAGAUGUUAUGCACAUUGAGAAGAAUGUUUGCGAUAGUAUUAUUGGUACAUUGCUGGAGAUCCCUGGAAAAAAUAAAGAUGGGAUUGCUGCUCGAUUAGAUUUAUUGAACAUGGGGGUCAAAACUGAUUUGCAACCCGAGUAUGGAGAAAGACGUACUCGUUUGCCUCCUGGGCCUUGGAAUUUGUCAAGAGCAGAGAAGAGAGAGGUUUGCAAUUCUUUCUAUGGUAUGAAGGUCCCUGAAGGUUAUUCUUCAAAUAUUAAAAAUCUUGUAUCUUUACAAGAUUCAAGACUUCUUGGCCUUAAAUCACAUGAUUGUCAUACCUUAAUGCAACAAUUGCUCCCUGUGGCAAUUUGUUCUAUUUUGGAGAAGCCUGCAAGGUAUGCAAUAACUCGUUUGUGCUUCUUCUUCAAUGCUAUAUGUGCAAAGACUGUUGAUGUUUCCAAGCUAGAUAAGUUGAAAGAAGAUGUAGUAGUUACUCUGUGUUUGCUUGAGAAGUACUUUCCUCCUUCAUUCUUUGAUAUCAUGGUUCAUCUAGUAGUACAUCUUGUCAGAGAAGUUCGUCUAUGUGGGCCACUAUAUUUUAGGUGGAUGUAUCCGUUUGAAAGAUAUAUGAAAGUGCUGAAGGGGUAUGUUCAGAAUCGUACUCGUCCCGAAGGUUGCAUUGCUGAGCGGUAUAUAGCUGAAGAAGCGGUAGAGUUUUGUACUCAGCAUUUAUCUGAUGUUAGUACAGUUGGAGUGCCUUCAAGCCAAAAGAUGGGACUUUCAAAGCCAUUAUCAGGUUGCACAGUGAGCGUAGUUGAUCAGGACCUGUUGAAUCAAGCAUAUCUAUAUGUCUUGGAGAAUACGGAGGAAGUCCUACCUUAUAUCGAGUACGUAUGAGUUUUAUUCUUUAACUUAUUGAUUUUAAAUUAUUUCUUAUGUUUAUCUUCUAUAUUUGGGACCGUAAUGCUUGAAUUUUUCGUGUCAUGUAGGCAACAUAUGAUCCACAUCAAGACUGCUUAUCCAAAAUUUAGAAAGAGAACAAAGUGGCUGCAGGAUAAGCACAAUAGCACUUUCAUUCAAUGGCUACGCUUCAAGGUAUAUGUUGUUGAAUAACAUAUUUCUCUUUUAAUUUUCUUCUUAUUUCUAUGUUAGAUUGAAUUAAGAUAUAUGAUUAAUUUGCAGGUUCAAAGUGAACUUGAGGAAGACAAUCAUGGCGUAUCAGAAAAUUUAAGGUGGCUAGCAGCUGGUCCAAACAUGGCAGUGCCAUUAUAUAGGAGCUAUCUUAUUAAAGGUAUUAAAUUCAAUAUCAAGGCACAAGAUGAUGUGCGGACAACUCAAAAUAGUGGAGUUUAUUUACUUGCACAUACCAUGCAAGUUGCUAGUGCCAAGGAUAAAAACUCAAUUCUCUCAAAUAUGGGUUUCUAUGGUGUCAUUCAAGAAAUUUGGGACCUUGACUACCAAAAGUUUACAAUCCCAGUCUUUAGGUGUGAUUGGAUAGAUAGUUCUGGUCUUGUAGUCGACAAACUUGGAUUUACCCUUAUAGAUUUGAGUAAAAUUGGACAUAGGAAUGACCAAUUUGUUUUGGCUUCUCAAGUCAAACAAAUAUUUUUUGUUGACGACCCGAUGCAUCGUGGUUGGUCGGUAGUGUUAUCAAUGCCUAAUAGAGAAUAUAAUGAUGUUAUUGGUGAUGAAGUCUUAGGUGAUGUGAUAAUUGAGUGUGAGCCAUUUACUAGAGGGAUGCCAAAUGUUGACACAUUUGAUGAACUGGUGGGUGAGUUAGGCGGUCAAAAUAUUCGAGAUGGGUGUGAAGAUAUAUGGAUUGAAUGAUGCUUAUGUAAUUGGCAGUGUAUGACAUUAAUUUUGUAAUAUAUUGUAAUGUGAUUUCUUCACUUUCUACGUUCAAAUAAAACACGACGUUAUUGUGAACCAGUUAUUCAGCAUAUUUACCGACGUCUUAAAGCAACGUAACAAUGAAGAACCACGACGCUAUUGUGAAGCAAUUAUUCAAGAUAUCACGUCGGGGAAGGAUUAAGAACCGCCAUGUAAUUCAAAAUAACACGACUCCAAUCCCAUAAUACCGACGUCUAAAAAACGAGAUAUAUAAUCUGAACGUUAAAAAAUACGACGUCAUCAUACAUUUUCCACGUCGCAAGUUCUUUUAUAAACGAAGAGGAACGAAAUGAAUUCCGACGGUAAUUCAUUAUAACCGCCGUCUAAUAUCAAUUAAACGACGUUAUUUGUAAUACGGCUCUCUCAUCGCAUUUCAACGUCAACUAUAUAAAUACAUACGUCGUAAAUAAUGACACUGACAACUAUUUCCACUUCAUCUUUUUUAGAAAAAUCGAAGUGGAAAAUUUAUUUCACGACGGUUGUUUGUAAAUAAGAGACGUAGUAUAUUUCAAUAACGUCGUCUUCUCAUGUAUUUAAAGACGUCAUAUUUUUUCUUGUCGUGAAAAUUAUAUUUGACGGUGUAGUGUUUUAGUUGUCGUCGUUGUAUGUCUAUCUUGCGGCCUUGUUCUUUUAAUAUGUGUCAUAUUUUUUCUUUUUAACGACGGUGAUUUGUUUGAGUUGGUCGUCUAUUCUCAUCCUCGACUAUUUUUUAGAACUUUAGCAGACUAAACACGUCUGUUUUUAUUUGUUUUCGACGUUGUUUUAUUUAACAACGUCUAAUAUUUAUCGUCGUUGUUUGUUUCAGAAAAUAGGACGUAUAAAUUUUGUAAUACGACUCUCAUAUAUUUGUAACCGACGUUGUUUCGUUGUUCAACGUCUACUCUAUAAAUACAUACGUCGUAAAUAAUGACACUGACAACUAUUUCCACGUCAUCUUUUAUAGAAAAAUCGAAGUGGAAAAUAUAUUUUACGACGGUUAUUUUUAUAUAGGCGACGUAGUAGGUAUCAAUAACGUCGUCUUCUAAUGUAUUUAAAGACGACAUAUUUUUUGUUGUCGUGAAAAUGAUAUUUAACGGCGUCUUAUUUUAAUUUUCGUCAUUGUAUGUGCCAUGUUCUGUUAAUAUGUGUCAUAUUUUUCCUUUUUAACGACGGUUUGUUUAGAGAGUUGGUCGUCUAUUCUCAUCCUCGACUGCUUUUUUAGAUCUUUUUGCAGUACAUAGACGUCGUUUUGUAUUUGUUGAUGACGUUGUAUAUUGUAACAACGACGGUGAUUUAGCGUCGUGGUUUAUGAGGGAAAAGAUGACGGUGGAUUCCACGACCAUUGAAAAACCGAAUACACGACGGUGAUUUACCGUCGUCUUUUUGCUUUUUUGUAGUAGUGAGAGCUCUCACAAGGACCUCUCUGUUGUGAAUUACAGAUGGGCUUUUGUAAGAACCCCACUGUACUAAGUGCUGUGAACACCUUGUGAGUGUCCAUAGGCACAUUGUGUUACUCAGAGAAGACCUUGCGAGUGUUCUUGAGUACCAAAAACAAAAAAACAUCAACAGUUUAGACGCUUUGUUACAUGCUCAACCCACCUUUAGUAGAGCAAAAUUCCAAAUCUGCAGAUUGGAGAAAGAACAGGUAGCAAACGUGCUGCAAAUGGAGAAAAUGAAUUACUCUGUUUUAAUCUCACCCAUUGGCAUAAACAGAAGAAAAUAUAUUAAAGGAGAUGCAGAAAUUACUGAGUGCCAGAAAGCUUACAAAAGCUGAUGAUUCACACCCAUGUUCUGUGCUUCAAAAUUUGCCAACAAAGAAAAAAUCCCCAGCCAGACAGCCCAAGAAAAUUAUUAAGCCAUCACUCCUCUGUAGCAAAUUGCAAAUAUCAUAAAAGCUUCUCACUUUGUUGCUGGCAAAACAUGAAGCAACGCAAAGCCAACACCUCAAUUGGCAGUAUGAUGGCCCUCUCAAAUUAUGUGAGUCUGCAAAGGGAAAUAUGCGAAGCCUUAGAAAUUCCAAUCAAAUUGGAAAUAAAAGAAGGCACAAAGCAUCAGCAAGCAAAAAAACAGCAAAAGAAAAAAUGGCUCACCAAGAAGCCUCCGGUGUUGCGGCUGUUGAAGAACCCAAAAGCAACAUAAGCCAAGAACAAAGAAAGCCUUCCUGUCAAGUCAAUACAAAACCAAAGAUGAUUAUUUUUUUUUUAUUAUCUGAAGGACUCUAAACACAUAAUGGGUAAAGACAAAACCCAUUUUGGUGGAAGUCUGCCACAAGUAUAUAGGAAACAACGAAAAGCCAAAAAAAGGUCAAGCAUGGAUUCGUGGCUGAACUUUGAGAUUAAAAAAUGGGAGAAGCUUCAGCUAUGAAGUUGGUACUACCAAACUCAACAAAAUACACAAAUAGCUCUUUGGCUUGUGCAUGUUGUCUUAGGCAAAGAAACCCAAUUCGUGUUGCACAUAAGGAAAAGAAAGAAGAAAUGGAUUACAGGACCUACUCUAAAAUAAAAGAGGGUUGAGGUUAUGUUAUUGUGUCAGAACAAAAAAACACAGAGUUGGGAAGGCCAAGGAGAGACCAGCAAAAAGAAGGAAGAUGAAAAGAAACAAAAAGACAAAAAGAAGAAAAGUAGCACAUAAAGAAUAAUAAGCUAUGUACUUCUUUUUGGUUCAAAAGCUCUAUAUUUCUUUUGACAAACAGACGAUGCCUUUCAAGUUCCCAGACUUUAAACUAAUAAUUUAAUAGGCUAUAAGGUCUAACUCUGACAGAAAGGAGCAAAGGAAAGGACCAACCUUGUUUUGAUAUCGCUUUGGUUUUGGCGUUUCAAACUCAAAGCUCUGAAGUGAUUAUGGCUAGCGGGUAGCUGAAGAGAUAUAAAAAUUGGUCCAGUUUGAGUUUAAUUUGAACUACUCCGGAUAAAGAUGGGAGUGACUCAGUUUGAAUUGAUCUCUACUACUCCAAAUAGAUAUCGAUUUUGGUUUCAGUUGGCAGCUGGCUCUCAAAGCCUCUCUGACGUGGGCUUUUUGUUUAUGGGCCAACUAAUGGAAAUGCCAAGACCUGAAAACAAAUUGAUGGGUUGACAAAACAAAUUACCCAUUAACUCUCAAAAGCCCAAAAUAUUUUAUAGGUGGUCCAAAUAAAUUAUGUGAUUCAUGGAUUAAUCCUUAAAAACCAUAUGUGAGUAAAUUAAUGAGCUCUUUAAAAUGCCUUUUAAUUUUCUUUGGACAUUAACAAUAAAGAUGGUACAAAACCAUUCCACAUUUUCUCAUGAGUCAUCUGCCCUGCAAAUUUCAAUGAGAUCAAAUUCAAAUCUCUCAAAUAUACAAAUUCUUUCAAAGGGUCAUUUAUUCUUUGAAAGUCCAACCAAAAUAUUAUGAACUACGUCCGGUUUGAUUCCGCCAAGUAUACGUAGGCAAUUUGAAAAUUCAAUCCAGAUACGACCGCAAGCCCAAACAGAAUCCCUGGUGUCCUUAACCAAAUUCGCCCCAAACACUUUUCCAACCACAAAAUCAAAUUGAAUCCCUGAUCCAACCACAUUCAUCCAAAUUUCAUAAAAUAUUUCUCAUACCACAAAUUCUUUCAAGGGGUCAUUCAUUCCUUGAAAGUCCAAUCAAAUUAUGUGAGAACUACAAAAGGCUUGAUCCCCAAAAUGGGGUAUGUAGGCAAUCUAGGGUUCACUGGAUGCAGCCGUAACAUCAAGUAAAUUCCAUUAUUUAUUUCCUUCUUCAUAUUGGAAUCAAAGGGUUUUCUCUUUCCAAAGAGAUUAUAAUUAAGAGAUAUUUUUAUUUUGAAUGGGUCGUACUCAAUUAAACAAUAAAAACUCUUAUUUGUAAAUAAGAGUGAGAUUAUGUUGGGUGAAUUUUUAAUUACUUUAUUACACUUUUUAUCAAACAAUUGGCUGAACAGAUUUGUCUUUCCAAAUCGUUUCUCGGCGGUUUUGCUCGAAUACAGGCACUUGGCAGAAGCACUUCAUAAUCAUACAGAUAUAGGGCUUGGAUCUACAUUUCUGGCUCACCUGUACAAGAACCUGCAUACUGCCGUCCUGGAGAACCCUUUGAACUUGUCGGCUCCUGGUGCAUUCUGGAUGAUCCAGGUGUGGCUCCAAGUAUACUUCCCAGAGCUGAGGUUUCCGGAUGUAGUUCUGCCUGAGGAUCAAGUUCUGGACUUCCUUUGAUGACGGCAGAAGUUCCCAAGCGUUCUAUUGAAGAAUACUUGAUGUUCUUCAGGCACUGUACCAAGAGGUAUGCUGCUCAAUGGCAGGUGGUACUUAGGAGAGCCUAUCUUUGGUUUCAGCCUAGGUACAGGUUGUUUGAGAAAGAGCCAGAAGAAGAAGAAGAAAGAAUUGAGUUUAGGAAGAAAUUCCUGAGUGGUGAUGUUGCCUCGAGAUAUGCCAUUUGGUGGAGGUAAACCGCCCAACUAUCAUCUGGGGGCAGAGGUGUAUCACCCCAAUUUCUGUGCCAGGCGACUUGGCUGCCCUCAGCGGAUUCCUCUCAAAUCAUAUAGGAGCUGCAACCGUGCUACCUCUUGGAGGGAUUCAGAUGAUCUGGACGUGCAUAAGGACUGUAGAUGCUCAGUAAAUAAAAUCAACAAUAGUGUGAAUGCUCUUGACCCAUUGUGGGAGCCUAACUCGUGCAGUUCUGCUGAUUUUGAGGCUUGGUGGAAGGCUAGGUUCUAAGGUUUUUCUGCCUCAAGCACUGCCCUCAAGAUGCUUUUUGAUGGCUGGGAUUCCUGGUUUGUCUACGCAGGGGCAGAGGCCAAGAGUUCUAUGGUGCAGAUGAUUAAGGAUAUUAAUGCCCAAGUUAUUGAAGGUAUAUUCUUUAUUCACCUUUUUUUCUUUUUACUGGUCGCGUCAGUCAUAUUCUGUUUGUUAUUGUGACGUCUAACAAAUCUGUUUUACCCGUAACAGAUCCUUCCAUGACACAGGACAUUGGAAGACAGGCUGCGUAUUCUGGAGAGGUGAUUGGUAGGUUUUCUGAAUUCUGCCUUUCUAUAUUUUCCGGCUGGAUUGCCUUCUAAUUCUUCCUCUUCUAUGCAGUUAAUUCUUUCAUAGCCGCUAGGGACCUAGAGCUUCCUUUUGCAGAUGAAGAAGAUCAGCAUGAAUCCCUGGCAGAACAGUCGGCUGUUGAGGCCACUCAUCUUGCUAGAAGAAAAAGAAAAGAGGCUGCUCCUGCUCAAGACAGUACUAUCCAGCCUGAACCUUCUGGUAAGAUCUUGACCUUUUACCUGAAAGGACCCGCCCCGAAUUUCCCAAAACCAAAGGCAAAUCCUGUGGAAAUUCCCGACAUCACCCCGAUGUCGGGCCCACUUCUAUAGUUAUACCCUUUUUCCCAAAAUGGAAUAAGGGUACGAGACUUUCUGCCAAAAUUUUGGCAGAGUCUCCCCUGUAAAUUGAACAUUUUCCAAAAUUACAACCUGCAUAAAAACACAUUUAAUAUCCACAACUGGCAACAUGCACAAUAUAAUUUCAUGCAAUUCACAUAAACGGCCUCCGACCUUCCAAUAAUUCUCAACUACCAAGCAUGCUAGCAAAUCAAUUCAUGUCUUCAACAAGGCAAACGAUAAAUUCAAAUAUAAAUUAUGACUACUAAAUUUCAACAUACAUCAUCUAUGUCCGCAGUUGCACCUAAUAACCUUAGGCUGCCUACAUACCCUCCCUAAGGGAUCAAGCCACACGUAGUUCUUCUUUAAAACCCAAUUCCACACAUAGGCAAUACCUUAUUUCAUUUCUCUGUAUUUCACAUAAUCUCCCCAUACGCGGAUACUACCAACGCCACGUAUGGGGCCAGUCAACACGCCGGAUAAUCUACGCCACGUGCGGCCAUACCAUACUAUCACAAUAUCUCCCCAUACGCCAGUACAACCAACGCCACGUAUGAGGCCUGUCAACACGCCGGAUAACCUAUGCCACGUGCGACCAUACCAUACUAUCACAAUAUCUCCCCAUACGUCGGUACAACCAACUCCACGUAUGGGGCCUGUCUCAACACUGGAUAACCUACGCCACGCGAGACCUGAACAUCAUAUCAUAAUAUCUCCCCAUACGCCGGUACAACCAACGCCACGUAUGGGGUCUGUCGACAUGCCGGAUAACUUACGCCACGUGUGACCUCAACAUAAUAUCACAAGAUCUCCCCAUACGCCGGUACAACCAACGCCAUGUAUGGGGUCUGUCCGCACGCCGGAUAACCUACGCCACGUUGGACCUAACUUUUACAGGGUGGUACCUAAGGUAGUGCGUAUAGCACUUCAAACUGACAUUCUAGACUCCUUUUAUACCUUUACAAACAUAUAUAAAUAUAUAAUUUACUUCUAAUAUUGUAUGAACCUCAACAAUAGUUUAGCACCCGAUAAUCCCCCUGAGAAAGUGAGAUUACUCCGGGAGACUCACGGUCAACCAAGGGUCAAACUACCAUAACCCUGGUCAAACGGGCCCACGGGGCCCACGACCUCCAAAUUCCGAUCCGAAAGUUCCUAUGGGUCUACAAGGUAUAGGACACUCGUCCUCCAAGUUUGGUUCAGAUCGGACGGUCAGAUCGCUCACGAUCGCACGAUCUGACGGUUAUUAUAAAACAUAAACUUUAAAUUUAUAAAUCGGAACAUCUGGGGCUCCAUUUCAAAAUCCGUGAAAUCCUACACGAUCGAAUCCUACCCAACAGGCAGCUAAAGCAGGAAGAAUGGAUGAAUUUCCAUACCUUGAUCGCCAGAAAUGGCUGCCGGAGGAGGGAGAUCGGAGCCGGCGAAGUUCGAGCGAAAACCGGACAAAAAUCACAUUUUUCCGGCAGCUGGAGUGGCGGCCAAUGUCGGGGAAGGGCUAGGUCGUGAUGCCGAGGCCAAGCCGGUCCUUUUGGCACCGGUCUCGUCCGCAGCCGCGGCCGGUGGCCGGAGAUUCGAGGAGAGAGAGAGAGAGAGAGAGAGAGAGAGAGAGAGAGAGAGAGAGAGAGAGAAAUUUGAUUUUUUAUAAAAAUCUCAUUUCGAAAUAAUUACGAUUGUGCCACUGUGUUUCUUUUGACCAUAUCUCUCUUGUUACAACUCCGAUUCUAGCCCACUACGUGUCUACGAACUCAUCUCAGUACGAUCUAUCCUAAAAUACCAGUUACAGCCCCAAACUCUCUCCGGGUAAGAAAGUGACCAAAAUACCCCUAUCUCAAGGUUAAAUUUGUAAUUUCCCUUAAAUAAUUUAAAUAAUUUAAAUAAGGGGUUUAAUUUGGAGUCGGGGUGUUACAUUACCCUACUCUUUGAAUCUUUCCCGUUUUGUCCAAUUUUCUAACCUUUAUUCUAUGUUAUGUGUAGCUGAAAGCCUUCCUCUACCUAUCACUAGGUCAAAAAGGCCCAGAAAGAGGACUGGAGUCGAGUCUGACGAGAUCGAAGAGCCUACAGUUGUUCCUACUGAAAUUUCUGGAACUGAUGAUGAGUUGUGAGAGGCUUUUGAAGCUGUUGAGCAAAAGAAGGGACAACAAGAAGAAGAAGAUGUCCUUCUGAAGGAGAAGGACAAAGAUUCUGAAGAAGAGGUGAGACCCUAUCACUUUGCUGUAUGAAUUUUUGUGUUUGGUUCUUUCUUCUAAUAUCUGACUUCUUUCAUGUGUAGGAGGAAAUUCCUACUGAGGUAAUAGCAGAAAGUAUUGCCUUGGCCAAACAACAAGAAGAGGCUCAGAGGGCAGAAUCCACAAGUUUAGAAUUGGCUUUAUUUGAUGACGUGGAGGCAGAACAUUCUGCUACUGCCCCAGAGCUUGAGGUAGAGGUAGAACAGUUCAUUGUAGUUCCUGUUCCUGAGGUAACUUCUAGUUUUUCUGUCUUGUCUUCUUUUACCUUGGCAUCUUCUAAUUUGUUGCUCUCUUUUUCAGGUAGCAGAGAACAAGACCAGUCCUUUCAAGCCUCCCAUUAUGGCUGUGAGUAUGUUUGUGCCUUAGUCUUCCUUUCUCUUCCUAUUCUGACCUUGCCUGAAAACUGACUUGAGUUUGUUUUGUAGAUGCCCAUCCAUUCUCUCCCAGAUUCAUAUACCACUGCUUCCUUUGCUGAUCCAGAAUUGGCAGAGUUUGAAGCUAUGGACUUGGAUGCCCAGUUGGACAAACUGGAAAAGCUAGCUCCACUCCUGGCAAGGCAAAAUCCAAGGCCAUGGAUGAGGCGAUGGGUAGAGUGAAGAUCUGGCAAUCCACUAAACUGGAUUUGGAUGAAAACCAAGAAGCUAUUGAUCAACUAAUGAAAUACCUGGACCUACUGCAUAGAGAGAAUAUGGCUCCUAGGCCUAUUCUUGAAAUCAGCCUAGGCUUGGCAAGAGACGUGCUUAAUCUCCACAAUAGCUAUGAAGAUCUUAAGCCUUCCUUUAAAGCCUCUGAGUUCUGCAAGGCCACUCAUGAGGCUAAUCUGGUUGAUUACCAAAAACAGAGAGCAGAAUUGGACUAGAUGGUUGCAGGCUAUAUAGAAGCUAAGACCGCUGCUGAUAAGCUGGAGAAGCAGAUUGAAGAACUUCAAAAACAACUGGUUGGGCUGAGGGAAAGGCAAAACAUGCUUGGGGCUAGACUAGGCACCAAGACUAAGGCCACUUUCCUUGUGCAGAACAUGGUAGCUGCUUCUAGGCCAGCAUUGGAGAUUGCAGAGGCCUCUCUCCAUCAAGGGAUGCUUCCCUAGCAAGAAAUCUCUACCAAGAAGACCGGGUUGCAAGAAACUUUAAAGAAACUGGGACUUUGAAUUUAAAUUCUGAAAAUGUAAUAAACUUAGUCAUGGAAAAUGACUAUAUUUAAUAAAAGUUAUCUUUUGUAGAGCUCUUUUUCAUUCGCAAUUUCCUUUUUCAAGAUAAAAGAAAGCAAAAAACAGUACAAGAAACUUAAACAGUUUCAUCUUGUUCCUUCUCUAUCCCAGGGUCAGUUUGCACAGCUUGUGAAUCCCACAUAGUUGGAUAGAAUUUCUUUAACCACUUGCCAUUGAUUGGUGCAGUAUGGGCCUCCUUAUCUCGAUCCUGUAAUCUGUAUGCCCCCAGUCCAAGGACUUGCUUAAUUAUGAAAGGACCUUCCCAUGUAGGUGACCACUUUCCAUAACUAGCUAUAUGUGUUUUGUCACGUCCCGGGAUCAACUCCGCCGUAGCACGAUAUUGUCCGCUUUGGGCCCCCCUCUCUGGCUCGCACGGUUUUGUUUUUGGGAGCUCAUAAGCAACUUCCCAGUGGGUCACCCAUCCUGGGAUUGCUCUGGCCCCCAACUCGCUUAACUUCGGAGUUCCUACGACUCCGAAGCCAGUGAGCUCCCAAAAGGCCUCGUGCUAGAUGGAUGCGGGUAUGCACAGAUAAGGCACAUUACCCCCUCUCCGUUGGUUGAUGUGGGAUCUUACAAUCCACCCCCCUUAAGGGCCCGACGUCCUCGUCGGCACACUCGCACCACACGGCAGAGUGGCUUUGAUACCAAAUUGUCACAUCUCGGGAUCAACUCCGCCGUAGCACGAUAUUGUCCGCUUUGGGCCCCCCUCUCUGGCCUGCACGGUUUUGUUUCUGGGAGCUCACGAGCAACUUCCCAGUGGGUCACCCAUCCUGGGAUUGCUCUGGCCCCCAACUCGCUUAACUUCGGAGUUCCUACGACUCCGAAGCCAGUGAGCUCCCAAAAGGGCUCGUGCUAGAUGGAUGCGGGUGUGCACAUAUAAGGCAUAUUACCCCCUCUCCGUUGGUUGAUGUGGGAUCUUACAUGUUCCAAGGGGCAAAACUGCUUUCCAGACUAUUUCUCCAUCUUCAAAACUCUUGUUUUUGACUCUUUUGUUGUAGGCCCUUGAUAUAGUUUGUUUUCCUACUAAGAGUUUGUUGAGGGUAUAAAUCCUACUUGCAUCCAAUCCUUCCAGUUCUAGCAGCAUGGCUUGAGAGUAGUCUUCUCCAAUCAGACUAUGUUGAUGAGCAAUUCUGAGAAAUUGGACUACUAUCUCCAUAGGCAGAAUUGCAUCAUGACCAUAGGUUAGAGCAUAUGGGGUCGUGCCAGUUGCUUCUCUCUUUGAAGUUCUAUAUGCCCACAGAGUUUCUGAUAACUUCUCAUGCCACUGCUUUGGAUUCUUCUCAAGUAUUUUUCUGAUGAUGUUGAUGAUCACCUUGUUACUUGAUUCUGCACGUCCAUUAGCUUAAGCAUAGUAAGGAGUGGAUUGAAGUAGCUUAAAUUUGAAUGCUUCUGCUAUAUCUAGCAUCUCUCCAGAUAUGAAAGAAGAUCUCCUGUCUGUUGUGAUUGAUUCUGGGAUGUCGAACCUUUGGAUAAUUUGUUAUUCUAUGAAGGUGAUGAUCUCUUGAGAUGUAAUGGACUUAACAGGCUUGGCUUCCACCCAUUUGGUGAAAUAAUCUGUAGCUACAAUGAUGAAAUAGUGCUGUUUGCUACUGGCUGGAUAGAUCUUGCCGAUAAGAUCCAUUCCAUCCUCUGAAUGGCCAUGGCUUGACUACUAGAUUCAUGGGAACUGAAGGAGCCUGCUGGAUUGGGCCAUGCCUUUGACAAGCCUCACAUCACCUGGAAUAAUCAAUGCAAUCUUUCAUCAUGGUUAGCCAAAAGUAGCCAUACCUUCUAAUUAACCAGCACAUUUUUCUUCCUUCUUGAUGAGCUCCACAGAUUCCUUCAUGGGUUUCUCUCAUAACCUUCAUGUAUUCUUUCUUUCCUAGGCACCUUAGAAGUACCUCAUCCUUGCUUUUUCGGACCAAAUCUCCAAUCCACAUAAGGUAAUUCAAAGCCAUGAUUCUGACUCUUUUUUCAAAAGGCAAGGUUGGAUACUACAAGUAAUUUAUGAUAGGAUUUCUCAAUCAUCUUCAGUGAUUAUGGCAGAAUUGACAUCUAUCUCUAUCCCUCUGGUCAGAACAGAUGGUAGACUUUUCUUUCUUACCUUGAUGAUCCUUUACACAUAGUCUUCAGGCAUUUGUAUGCCUAUUGCUACUUGAGCCAAUUCAUUGGCUGCAAAGUUUUCUUAUCUUGGGAUAUGUUCCCAAGUAGCCUCCCUGAAUUCUGUCAGAAGGUUUCUAGCUGCCACUAGAUAGACAGCUAAAGAAGGACUUAGACAAUUGUAUUCUCCAGCAAUCUGUUUUAACACAAGCAUAAAAUCUCCCAAUAUUUCCACAGAUUGGAUCCCUAAUUCCACCAGCAUUUCUAGGCCAAUGAUCAAAGCUUCAUAUUCAGUCCUGUUGUUAGUGCAUUGGAAGUCUAGCUGGAAAGAAUAACAAUGUAUGAUUCCUAGUGGUUCCUCCAAAACAAUUCCUGCCCCAGAAGCAACAUCAGUUUUUGAUCCAUCAAAGUACAGUUUUCAAGGUGUGAGGUGAAUUGAAUAGAUGGGAUUGUUAAAGCAAGUAUGAGCUCUAGUUAGCAGAUCUGCAUUUGCUAUGUCCAAAGAGUCCAUGUUUUCAAUCUCCUCUCCUGGAUGAUUUGCUAGGAAAUCUGCUACAGCUUGUCCUUUGACAGCUUUAUGAGGAACAUAUCUGAAAGCAAAUUCUGUCAAAGCCAGAGUCCAUUUUCCAAUUCUACCUCUCAACAUUGGUCUUGUUAGCAUGUAUUUGAUCAAGUCUGUCUUGGCAAUGAUGUAGAUGGUGAAUGGUAGCAUCUAGUGUCUGAGUUUCACAGCAGUGAAGUAUAAGGCUAGCCAAAGCCUUUCAAUUGCAUAAUAUCUCCUUUCUACUUCUGUCAGAGUUCUGCUCAAAUAAUAGACUGCCUGUUCCUUCCCUUCUUUGUUAUCUUGAACUAACAGACUUCCAAUGGACACUUCUGAUGCAGACACAUAGUGCUUGAGUGGUCUGCCUCUCUUUGGCGGUGGCAGGAUUGGUGGAUUUGAGAGGUAGUGUUUGAUUUCCUCAAAAGCUUGCUGGUGCUGUUCCUCCCAUUUAAACAUCUGUUCUUGUUUUAAUCUUAGCAAGGAGGAGAAAGGCUGGAUUUUUCCUGCAGAAUUGGAUAUAUAUCUCCUUAGAAAAUUAAUUUUUCCUAGGAGACUCUACAGUUCUUUCUUGUUCCGGGGUGGUAGAGCUUUUACGAUGGAUUUUGCUUUGUUUUUGUCAAUCUCUAUGCCCCUUUGAUGGACCAAGAAACCUAAGAAAUUUCCUGCUUGAACUCCAAAAACACAUUUCUUGGGGUUCAUUUUCAAUUUAUGUUGUCUCAUCCUUAGGAACGCCUUUCUCAGAUUUGAUACAUGGUCUCCCUCUUCUGGGGAUUUAAUCACCACAUCAUCUAUGUAUACCUCUAGAGAAUGCCCUAUCAUAUUAUGGAAAACAAAAUUCAUUGCUCUUUGAGAAGUGGCUCCCCUUUCUUAAGCCAAAAGGCAUUACAGUGUAUUCAAAAGUACCUAUAUGUCUUGGGCACAUGAAGGCCGUCUUAUGGAUGUCCUCCUCUGCCACCAUAAUCUGAUUAUAUCUUACAUUGCCAUUCAUAAAAUACAACAUUUGGUUAUGAGCAGCUCCAUCUACUAGCAUAUCUGCCAUUGCCAUAGGAUAUUCAUCCUUGGGCGAUGCUUCAUUCAGAUUCCUAUAAUCCACACAGAUCCUAACUGCCCCUAUUUUUCUCUUCAGAACUGGCACAAUAUUGGCUAGCCAAUUAGCAUAAAUGGCUGGUCUGAUGAAUCCUACUUUGAGCAAUCUCUCUAUCUCUUCCUUGACUUUUAGUUCUAUUUCCAUAGACAUUCUUCUUCUGGCCUAUUUGACUGGAAGGUAGCCUUCUUUGACUGGCAACUUGUGUUCUACCAGCUUUCUGUCUAAUCUAGGCAUCUCAUGAUAAUGCCAAGCAAAACAAUCUCUAAAAUCAUGCAAAAGUGCAAUGAUUUCACUCUUGAGUGGUUCUUCCAAUAGUGCACUAAUGAAAGUGGGUCUUGGAUCUUCCUCUGCCCCUAAGUUUAUCUCCUGUAAUGGAUCUUCCACUUCUGGUAAAGAGUCAUCUAGUGCUGCUGGUGCAAAAUCUAGUAUUUUCUCCUGCAAACUUUUUUCCUGCUCUUCAGUGCUCUCAUGGGUGAAUUCGGCCAUAUUGAUGGUUGGAUCAUGCAUAAAGAGCUUCAUUUCUUCCCAAUAUAUCAACAAUCUUUUUGUAAUGGAUCGGAUUGUUGCAACUCGAUCCCUCUCUUGUUGAUUAGGACUAAACAUUAGAGUUUUGGAGGUUCAGGACAAAAGGUCUAUUCCAGUCUUCUAGAGAGUUGGCUAAACCGUUCUCAAUGAGUCUUCGGGUUGUGACACUAUGGGGGCGGCCGUUCUGGUUUACUCCAAGAAAUGUGAAAGGACCAAGGUCAUCGUGAUAAUACCUUGCCUCAAAACACAUGGCAGAGGGUAGAAAUGGUCGUGGAUCGGCCUCUACUAUCUCCAUGUAACCUUCUUCAUUCCAAAGAGCUAGUUGCUGAUGUAGAGUGGAAGGAGCACAUAGACUUUGGUGGAUCGAGUCCCUGCCAAGCAAUGCAUUGUAAGUGGUAGAAGUGGUGUCUACCACAAAGAAUGCAAUCUUCAGCUAUUUGGUUCCAACUAUGACAUCCACAUCUAGGAUUCCAUGAGUCUUAGUGAUGCCCCCAGCAAAGUUGGUGACGGUCAAGCGCGUUGGAAUUAGGUCCCUCUCUGUUCUGCCCAUCUUGCUCAACAAUCUGUGAGGCAGAAGAUUAAUGGCUACACCUCCAUCCACCAUUACUUUGGGAAUAGGAAUACCCCCAAAGUUUGCUGUUAUGAAUAGAGGUCUCAGAUGAUUAGCCAUCUCUUUGGUUGGUUUGGAGAAACAAAGUUGUUUUGUGGCCAGUUUCAUGGCCGUUCCGCCUGUCGUGGUAGUAGAUGUUUGCUGUUCUGGGGCCUCCUCUACCUCUGCCAACCUGUACUCAAAACUUUCCUCGGAGAACACGUCUCCUUCCAAAGUAUUUUCUUGCCCUUCGGCUGCCCUGAAUUCUUUUGGCAAGAUGAACACCAUAUUAAUGCCUAAAUCACCCUGUAACAAGCUCUCCAAUUCUGCACCAAAAGCCUCAGUUUCUUCAUCUAAUUCUCCAUUAUAUUCCAUUUGUUCUUCCCCAUAUUCUUCUGUCCAAUCCUCCUGUUUUCCUGCUGCGAGGAGCCCAGUCUGGUCAUCUACAGAUGGUUCAUAGUCUAGCUGUUCUUCUUCAUAUGCUUCAGUCCAGUCUUCUUGUUCUUUUAUUGGAAUAGGUUCAGAUUCACCUUAUAUUUGCUAAGGUUCGAGCUAAUUUACUGAGGAUGAGGUAGGACGAAUGGAAUAUUUGCCUAGAGAUUCUGUUUUCAUCAGCUCUUGUUGCUGAUAUGUUGUUUGUUUUGUCUGGGGAACUAUUUAAGGACUUUCCCCUUUUUUGGCAGAACUGGUCCCCGGAAGUACCUUUGAACUCUCCUCUUUUGAGUUCUGGUAACUCCAGAGUUGGUCUUCCUCUUUUUCCAACAGAAUACCAUCUGCCUUCUAUGAUAGUUGCCAAAGGCUUGUCAUUUUCGGGCAUCUUAAUUGGUAUUUCUUUCUUUGGCUGCUCUGCCAUUGUUUUGCUGUGCUGAGUAGGCCUAAGAUAGUCCCUCUGUCUGGUUCUGUCUUUAGAUGAAACUGGGAUUGGACUCUGUUGGUAUGACGUCCCAAUCUUGUCAAAAACACUGGGUGUGGGCUGACUCUGCCUGUCCAGAGUCACUUCUAACCACUUUCACACUUGCACUUGCUGCACAACACUACCCUAGCCGAGAUGGUUGCCUUUGGCCUUUGACUAGUCUCCUUGUGACUCUUCUGCCUCUGCUGGAGCUAGCUUCUGUUGCUAGUUUGCCUCUCUUCUGUUCUGGCCAAUUUAAGUUGACCAUGUUGACUUGAGGCUGGGGAAAAGGAUGUGUUGUAACUGAGGGAGGUUUGUCCGCCAGUUUUAGCAUUCCUGCUGUUUUUCAUUCCUGUAUGACGUCUCUGAAAACAACACAACUAUUGGUGGAAUGGUUCCAAGAGUUGUUCCACCUGCAAUACUAUCUGCCCUGAAGUUAUUCUGGCUUGGGCAACCUGUGGGGGGGUCUCUAUUGGCUUCUGUAGCAGCAUCUCAUCGAACAAGGCAUCCACCUUGGUCAGAUCGAAGGAAUAGACCUUGUUCAGUAUUAGUUUAUCUGGAACAAACCCUCCUGUGAAUGGCGGCGGCUUCUGGUCCUUUUGUGGCUUCGUAAGAGCCUUGCAGCUAAUGGGAUGUUUCAGCUUUGCCAUCUCUGCUACUGCAAUCUCCCUUUCCUCCCAGCCUUUCGUGUUUUCUUCUGAUUCCACCUCAACAGAUGGACUGAAGAAGAAGGGGUUUUAUAUUAUGUGCCUUUAGAAGAGUUCCUCUUCUGUUGUUCUUCCCUGAGCAGCUCCUCAUAUUUAGAUGCCUUGUUUGCCAGUUCUGCCAGAUCUCCAAACAGCAUCCCAUCAAAUCUCUUUCUCAGAGAGAUUUUAAGGGCGGUUUGAGCCAUCUGGAUAAAGUCAUUUUUAGCUUUCUGAAUCUGGUUAUGAAGUCCUGUGCAAGUUCAUCUUCACUCUGUUUGAGGGCAGCAAGAUCACUAAUGGUCAUGGAAAAUAUUUUCCCUUUGCUCCCAGGUUUGAAAAGUGUUAGCUGGUAGACUGGUAUACCAAGUGAAGACUUGUCCAGAGAGAGAAUUUUCAAAAAGCCUUAGCUUUAACAAAGGGCUAUUUUCUAUGGCUAUGCACUGGACAAAGAACCUGCCUAUAUGCUCAACUGAUGAAGCAUGAGGAUCUUCUCCAUUGAAUAAAGUGAAGUUUGGCACCUUAAAACCCGGGGAUAGAGGUAUCUGAUCUAUGUAAGCCGGGUAUGGUUUUUUGUAGGUGGGCCUUUCUCCUCUCUGGCUCCAUCAUUUCCCUGAUCAUUCUUUGAAGUGUCCCUAUGUCAUUUAAAGCAUUAAUAGGGUGCAGAUUCAGUCUUUGUUCUGGCUGGACGUGGUCAAUCCUGUGCUCUAUUCUAAAUGGCCUGGGCAGAAUUUCCUCCCUGUGUUCUUCCUCUUCUUCAAAAUCCGGAUGAUUCCUCCAGUUUGCCCUGGUCUAUUCCUGUCAUUGUUGGCAAAGGGGUUGAUUCCCCCUCUGCCUCUUCUGCCUCUUGGUGGUGGAGGGAAUGGAUUGGGGUCCAUCCUUCUGGGUCUGUAGGGCAACACAGCUGGUGCCUCAGGCAAAAGUGUCAAGGGUUGAUCACAUGGGGCCACAGGUUGUGGAAUAGGUGGAGGUUCUGGCUGAUUUUGUGGGGGCUGGACUAGUACAGGGUCUUCUGGCCGAACAGGAACUUCCUGCUCUUAGAUGGGAAGGGCUCCUCCCCUGUGUCCAGCUUGGAUAUCUCCAUGGCCUGGUAUUCCAGCUAUCUGUGCUAUGAGAGGGUUUUCCUGGUAUGGCCAUGCCAAUCCUGGUGGAGGGCCAUACUGGAGAUCUAGUUGUUGGACCACUACAUCUGGGUUUUGAAUUCUGGCCAUAGCAGCCUCUCGGUCCUUUCUGAACUGCCUGUUAACUUGCAAUUGCAUCAUGGCUGUCAUGUUGUUCAAAGUAUCUUGGCUCCUCUGUGUUGUAGCCUCCUAUCGGAACACAGCUUCCUUGUAUCUGAUUCAACCUCCUGGAGCCAGUUCUGGAAUGUCUCUCCCGGUACUACAUGGGCUGACUGCCUGGCAUCAUUUUCUUCUGACUCCAGUCCUUCUCGAAGAACUACUUGGUCUCUCUCCAUGGCGUAGCUAGGGUUCUGGCUAAAACUUCCAAUAUUCAUAUGCUUUAGAAAAUUCCUUUAGGAGUAUGUAUAUUAAGAAGUCCCAUUGGGCGUGCCAAAUUGUUCACCCGUUUUGUGUUUGUUCCUGUGAUAGAAGGGCAAAGUUCCCCAUUGGCUUGGAAACCAUUGAAUGGUUAACAAGUCAACUUUCUUUGGUUUGCGAGCGUGUCACUGCUAGCAAUAAAAAUUCUAGCAAACUUCUUUAAAACAGAUAACUUGCGCUCCUACUGAUUUCGAAACAAACGAUUAUGAAUUUAGAUGAGGAAUAUCUCCCAAGUAAGUUAUUCUCCUGCCUAAGACUGGUGAAGACUUCACAAUUUAUCUCAGUACAAAAUUGGUAGUUAUGGCCAGAAUAAUUGAUAAUAAAGUGGACUGUUUUAGGCAGAACUGCCUUUUACAAAACUAGAAAGGAAAAAAUCAACUUUAGAAAGACAAAAAGAAAAGCUGGAGUUCCAUUUCUGCCUGGAUAGAAGUCUCUGAUCCGGGCUGGACUGGGUAAGCAUAUGCUGGACUGAAUUGUCAACAACUUCAACUGCUGAGCUUCAGUUGUAAAUCGAUACCAAAGUUUGAGCUUGGCAGAGCUUUAAUUUAUUUCGAGCCCUGGGAGGCUUUUUGAACGGGUAGAAUUGCAGCCUUCUUAGUUUGAAAGUGGCAGAAGUGGUUGGAUUCGAGGAUUUAUUGAGCUGGAACUGCACUAUAGUACCUGUUCUGCUUGAUCAGGGCUUUCCAUAAAUUUAUUGAGGUUUUCAUAUUUGUAAACACUUAAACUCUGCUUGUUUUGGCUCUUGCUGAACCAAAUUUGUAACGAGAGAAGUCUCGUUUUGAAUGACUUAUUUCUCUAAGUCUGAACUGGAAGUUUUGAUUUAUGGCUGGCUUCUUUUGUGGCUCAAAUGAGUUUUCGAUUGCUUUAGUUUGUUUGAAAGGUCUCAGAAAUCAAGUGAUCAUUUUGAGUCUUUGUCUUUGGUUGAUUUUUGGUUGUUUGAUUUGAUUGUCCUUCAACCUAUUCACCCUUUUCUAUAUUUAUAAGAAAUGUUUUUUUGAAGUAGGAUUUCUAAUUCUUUUAACAAUGGGCUGCAAAAACUUUCAAAAGAUCUCUCAUCUUUAAUUGUAAAGAAAAGGGAUUCGAUCAGUUCUGGCUGAUAAGCCAUCAGUGGUCAGUUAUUUAAGACAAUCACUUCCCUGUUUUUCUUGAAAGAGAACCUAACCCUUCUCUAAUUCCAACUGCCCCUGUGUGAGCUCAAACUGUGAUGGUUAGUGUGACUUUCCAUUUCAACAACUCCCUGUUACCUGCUUAUCCUUUUUUGAGAGUAUAACCUGCAUAAUCUUCUGAAAGAUGGUGGCUUCUCUGGAGCAGAAACAAUAUCUUUGAUUUAUAAAAAGGUUUUUGAUCUUUUAGCCCCAGAGUAAUUUCCUGCAAAUGACCUGUUUUCAUUUAAUUCCCAAUCAACUCUUUUGCGGAAAUUGUUGACUUUCUAAAUCGGGUAGUCAUGUGGGUUCUGAGAAUAGUCUUUCCAAAAGAUCUUGCUGACUUUGCACUCUGGGUUUUUGAGAUCAAUGGUGAGUCAGAAGCUGGGUCCAAUCCGAUUUUUUAUUGAUCUGCUUCAGUGGUUAAUUGCCAUUUAAUCUUGAUGUUUUUACAACUCUGCCAUUUUUGUACAAGACAUGGGCCUUUUGAUUUGGUUUUGGGUCUCCUCUUAUCUUUCGAAUCAAAGCCCAGUCCUUUGUUUUUUCUGUUUUGUGGGCCUUUGUGAAAAGUGGGCUGGCGUGCAUGGAUAUCUUUUUGGCCCAAACAAUUCCUUAUUCAAUUUAUUUAGGUGAAAUUACGAAAUUACCCUUGGGAAAGGGGUAUUUUAGUAAUUUUCUCAUUUGGAAAGAGUUUGGGCAAUGGGUUGGUCGUACUAAGACGAGUCCGUAGACAUGCGGUAGGCUUGACUCGGAAUUGUAACGAAGAAGUUACGAUCAAAAGAAACUCAGUGGCAUGAUCGUAAUUAUUUCAAAAAGAGUUGGGGUAAAAAUCUGAUUUUUCACUUUCUACCUAACUUUCUCUCUCUCUCUCUCUCUCUCUCUCUCUCUCUCUCUCUCUCUCCCCUGAGCCUCCCUCUCUGAGACCAGAAACCACCUGACAGGACCCGCCCCAAAUUUCUCGAAACUCGAGACGAAUCCUGUGGAAAUUCCCGACAUCACCCUGAUGUUGGGCCCACUUCUAAAACUAUAUCCUCCUUUUUCAAAAAGAAAGAAAAUCACGAGACUUUCUACCGAAAUUUUGGCAAAGUCUCCCUUGCAAAUUGAACAUUCCCCAAAUUUCAACCUGCACAAAAAUUCACAAUUUAUAUCCCAACAGGCAGCACGCACAAUAUAAUUUCAUGCAAUUCACAUAAACGGCCUUCGGCCUUCCGAUAAUUCGCAACAAACCACCAAGCACGCUAUCACAUCAAUUCCUACCUUAAACAAGGCAAACAAUAAAUUCAAUUACACUUAAAAAUAUCAAAGCAAUCCACUACCUUUAAUUUUCUCAACAACCAAUAUACGAGGUUUUAAUCUCCUAACACAAACACACUUCGUUCUCACCCAAAUAGCAGGACCAACGACAAGGUCCGCAUUAUACCCAAUAAUACUCAAGUAAAGUUCAACCCGCGGCUGCACCUAGGCACUACCCUAGGCUGCCUAUAUACCCUUACUGAGGGAUCAAGCCACACGUAGUUAUUUCCCUAAAAACCCGAUUCCAAACACAUACAAUAUCUUUAUUCAUCUCUCUGUUAUUCACAAUAUCUCCCCAUACGCCGGUACUACCAACGCCACGUAUGGGGUCUGUCAACACGCCGGAUAACCUAUGCUAUGUGCGACCUCAAUAUAUUAUCACAUAAUCUCCCCAUACGCCGGUACUACCAACGCCACAUAUGAGGUUUGUCCGCACGCCGGAUAACCUACGCCAUAUGGGACCUAACAAUCAUAUAAUCUCCCCAUAUGCCGGAAAUUCCAACGCCACAUAUUAGGUCUGUCUCAACGCCGAAAAAUCCUACACCACGAGAGACCUCAACAUCAUAUCACAAUAUCUCCCCAUACGCCGGUACUACCAACGCCACGUAUGGGGUCUGUCAACAUGCCGGAUAACCUACGCCACGUAUGGGGUCUGUCCGCACGCCAAAUAACCUACGCCACGUGAGACCUAACAAUCAUAUAAUCUUCCCAUAUGCCGAAAAUUCCAACGCUACAUAUAGGGUCUGUCUCAACGCCGUAAAAUCCUACGCCACGCGAGACUUCAACAUCAUAUCACAAUAUCUCCCCAUACGCCAGUACUACCAACGCCACGUAUGGGGUCUGUCAACACACCGGAUAACCUACGCCACAUGCGACCUCAACAUACUAUCACAUAAUCUCCCUAUAUGCCGAUAUUACCAACGCCACGUAUGGAGUCUGUCCGCACGCCGGAUAACCUACGCCACGUGGGACCUAACAAUAACAAGGUGGUACUUACACGAAAUUAAUAUUCGGGGAGGUACAUAGGGUAGUGCGUAUAGCACUUCAAACUGACAUUCUCUCACUUAUCUAAACUAAAACUAGAGGUAUUUUCACUUUAAUGAUACCAGUCUAUAGUAGACUGCAACGUAAUUUAAUCAGAAAAAAUAAUAUUAUUUCUAGAUUAACGAUCAUGCACAUAAACCUAAAUUUCAUAAAGAUCCUAGAACAAUUUAAAUAUUAUUCCACGCUUGUUUUCACACAAAUUCUAUAAAAUACUGUACCACACAACUAGAAUAUUAUACUUUAUUUAUAAUCAAAUAAUAUAAAUUACUGAUAAGCAACAACCUUUAAGGAAAAAUCCUAAAUCGAGUCAAUUUUCAAUUUAACAUCUAAUAACAAUUUAGACUCGAUAAAAAGGUUAUCCUAAUACCUUCCGAAGGGUGAAAUGACCUCAGAAGGCUCACGGUCAAUCGAGGGUCCAACUAUCUCAACUUGGUCAAACAGGCCCACGGGGCCCACGACCUCUAAAUUCCGAUCCGAAAGUUCCUAUAAAUUCUACAAGGCUUAGGACACACGUCCUGCAAAUUUGGUCAAGAUCAGACGGUUGGAUCGCUCACGAUCGCACGAUCUGACGGUUAUUAUAAACAUAAACUUUAAAUUAUUAAAUCGGAACAUCCGGGGAUCCGAUUCACGAUCCGUGAAUUCCCACACGAUCCUAGAAAUGCCUAGAUUAACAUAUAUUAAAUUCAAGACUAUCCAACGGUCCCAACCUAUUGAACCCAGAUAAUGAGCAAUAGGCGAUAUUCGUUCGAGACUCAAACGGUAUCCAAAUUGAAAUCUGAGCACACCUACGCACUCGUGAGGACUAGGAAAUCACUUUAGGACCUAAAGCCAGUCCAUUUCCUGGCCCAUGCCCCGGCAGGGCGUGGGUGCCUUGAGUAAUUUCUGACGGCCGGAAAAACUCCAAACCGCUGGCCAAGCUUCCUAUCCUAGGUGUAACACCCCAUUUGGAACCACUGGCCGGAAGUGGCCGGAAUAGUGAUUCAAAAAUCGGCCAAUUUUCAAUUUGAAAAUCGAACCAUCAACCCUCAAAAUUAAUGAAAUCCUACCCAUCCAUCAGCUAGAACACAUUAAAAGGAUGAGAAAACAUACCUAGAUCGCAAGAUUUGGUAGCCGGAAUCGCCGGAACGAGCUCCGAAAAUUCUGGGUUAAAAUCGGUUUCAUUUUUGCAUUUUUCGAAGAUCACAGGUGGUUCCAGCGGCUGAGAUUGGUCGGGAUGGGAAGAGGGAGGUGGCCCGGUUCUUUUGGGACUGGUGCCACCCCAAGCGGUGGCUGGAUGCGACGGUAGUGGCCCAAAAAUCACCGCGGUGAACAGUAAUAGGGGCUGUUUCUGCGCGCAGGGAGAGGAGAGAGAGAGAGAGAGAGAGAGAGAGAGAGAGAGAGAAGGAAAUCUGAUUUUUUAAUAAAAACCCAUUUCGAAAUAUUUACGGUUUUGUCACGGAGCUUGUUUUGCUCGUAACUUCUUCGUUUCAACUCCGAAUCGAGCCCACUACGUGUCUACGGACUCAUCUCAGUAUGGCCUACCCAAAAAUAUCAGUCACUACCCCAAACUCCUUUCCGGUAAGAAAAUGAUCGAAAUACCCCUACCCCAAGGGUAAAUUUAUAAUUUCACUUAAAUAAUUUAAAUAAUGGAUUAAAUUUGGAGUCGGGGUGUUACACCACCACACCGCUGCCACAUCCGGCCACACCAUCAGACGAGACCGGUCCCGAUCGACUCCUCUCGAAGCCACGAACCCAAACCACUAGUUUUCCCAGCGGGAAAACCAGAGUAUCGUCGGCAAUCGCGAUUGGUUCGCAUCCGGUUUUCUUCCAUCGCGCCGCCGCCUCCGCCGCCCAAUUCCGAUGAAACCAGUGGGGUUAUUAUGUUGUUUUGGAUGCAAACUUUGUUUUUGUCCACUCACAUAUUUUCUGUUUUGCGCCCCCCAGCCAGUAGUCACUCAAGGAGAUUUGCAAGCCGUGUUCGAGGCCACGUAUCAUGAACCGCUGUAGAUUAGGCUUUGAGUAAUUUCUUUCUACUCAACUUGUUCUUGUUAAUUAAAUCUGUUAGAUGCUCUAUUAUUGGCCAUUUUACUGUGUUCUGUUGUAUGUUGAAAGCAUGCUGCUGGUUGGGAUUAUUGUUUUAUGAGCUUGUUGUGCAAGUGGAUUUUGGUUGGGAUUGUUCAAUUUACCAGGGAGACUCUGCCAAAAUUUUGGUAGAGAGUCUUGGUUUUUAGUAAGUGGGCCCGACAUCGAGGUGAUGUCGGCAAAAAGACGGGAUUCGUCCUUGUUUCCGAGGAAUUCCGAGGCGAGUCCUGUCAUUUUGGCUUUCCAACUUCCUACAGAAGAUAAAUUCACCUAAUAAGUUCACCAAAUUAAUAUAGAAAAUUCAUAAAUCCAGUUGGUGAGAAUAAAAUGUAACAACUGUUGUAAAAUAACUGGAAUAUGUGCGAAUAUUGAGCUGCACGUAAAGUAGAUGGGACACAGCAUUUAACGAGGUUCGGUUAUGCCUACGUCCUCGGAGAGCAGCAGCAAUAACUUUCACUAUAUAAAAUAAUAGAGCUACAACUUUGUGUUUACAAUAUGUAUGGCUCACUCAAUUUUCUCUCUUGGAGAAUUUCUCUCUUGCUCUCUUUCCUCUCAACUCACUCACCCUCAUUCUUCCUUCUCUUCCUCUUCUAUCAUUUCAUCUUACAUUACAAGCAAAUGUAAUGCCUAUUUAUAGGCAAAGCAAAUGGCUUGGUUUGGUGGGUGUGUGAUUUGGUUUGGUAGGUGUGUGGUUUGGUUUGAUGGGUGUGUGGUUUGAUUUGGUGGGUGUGUGGUUUGAAUGUUAGAGUAUGUGGGCUUCACCAUAUUCUUCUUUACAACACUCCCCCUUGGAGACCACAUGUCCCUAGAUUGGUUGCCUCAUUAAAACCUUGCUUGGAGAAAAACCCAGUGAGGUAGAAAACUGAUGGAAGGAAGAAAAAGAGUACAGCAAUCUGUAUAGCAUACUUCUGGAUGCUCCCCCUGAUUAAUAUCUCCCCCUGAUGUCUUCAUGACUAUCUUUUGGAGUGAGAAUCUUUCGGAGUGAGUGGAGGAUAUAGCCAUUAAUAAUUCUCGUAGUUGAGUAAAUAAAUAUAUUUCCAGUGAGCUAUCUCUAUGUAAAUCAUAGAAAUUUUCAGAGUCCGCGUUUCUAACAAAACUUGGGCUAUUUGUAAGUUCACUUAAAAGAAUAUGCCCGUACAUGGUGUUAUGCGGAGAUAGCAUCAAAUAUACCUCACAUCAUCCCAAAAUGAUGGUGAUGGAGUUGAGCCCUAUCUGGAAAAUAUGAUGUCCGGUCCAAUAUACUUCCGGAAAAUCAUUAAAGUGUCCAACGGAUAAUCCUCAUAAAAAUGCUUCAAUACUUUCUUAGUAUAAGCAAGAAUCUCGUUGGCAUAAUGCUCGAUUCUUAAGUCGAGACAAAUAUUUCUUAAACUCUUUAGAAGCUUUAAUGUGUUGCAAACACAUUAUAAUCCAUGUACUCACUGAGACAAUUUAUGCACAUUAGUAUUGAGUACAGAUUUUGUGCUUCAGGCACAUGUCCUUCAGGGACUUGCUUCAUGCAAUUUCAAUCCUUUCAAGGAUUUUGUUUAAAGGGAUUAAACUUUAUGACACAUUAUAUAGCUUUAAUCCAGCUAUUUAUACAUCUUUAGGGAAUCGCUUCUGGCAAUAUGCUCUGUGCAUUUAAUACCCCUUAAAGAUAAUAUGUUGGUCUCCGUAAAUGUGCAAUAAAGGGGCACAAUUGAAUCUAUAAAUAUGGAGAAAAUCCAACGUUCCGUAUUUAUGCCAAAAUAUUGUGUCAUACAAAGUAGGUAUAUUCCCUUCUAUUCCGAACACCCAAGUAUAACUUUCAGUAUUAACAUCUUUUGGGGUUCAUACUGUGGGUUUGUUCUUUCACGUUCAUUCUCAUCUAUAAUGGAAUUACCUCAUUCCAUUUUGGCCAAUGAUAUUGUUGACAUUUAAUAAUUGAACGUGGUUCCAAUUAACACAGCCCAUUGAUGAUUUGAGUAGCUACUCUAAAACCAAAAAUUCUCAUUCAUCAAUUCAUGAUCUCACCAUUCUCAUUUGCAUGCGCAUGCAUCAAUUAUAAGCAUUUCUUUACUUUUGGGUACCCAAGCCACUUCAUGGGGCUUUUAUUAUGUGAGAAUGUGGAUUAUAAUCUCCAAUGGAACGUUAUUUUACAGUAGGGCGUGGAUAAUCUCUAUUUAGGGAGUUGGAACAUUUAGAACCCAUAUAUCUAUCAUGCUGCAGGCAUGCCACAGAUUAAUACAUACAUGUCAAUUAAUUUGUGGGACUUUAACCCAUACUAUUUGCUACGCAUUAGGCGUGCACAAUAUCAAUAUUGACAUGUCAAAGGAUUGUCCUUUCGGGACUUCAAUCCACAUCAUUUGCUACGCAACAGGCGUGCAUCAUAUUGAUCACUGCUAUACCCAUAUUCUGUUCUUAUGGGACUUUAAUCUGUGCAGUGUAUUAUCAAUGUAUCCAACUUGCAAUCUGUAAAAUUUGCAUUAAUAAUUCAUGGAUACAUACAAGCCAUUCUUUUGGAACAGACUUAUCUCCCCAUUUGGUUACCUUUCAAGAUAAAAUAUCAAAUAAGUAUAUAAGCAUAUAAUAACACAAAUAUUGCUUACAUCCUUAGGUGGGAGAAACUUUUCUCAAGUAUCAUUCAAGCUCGUAUCGGCCCAGUAAAUAUAAUGUAGCGCUUGAUGAUCUAGUUAUAUCCUGCAAGAGCAAAAUCACAACUCUUUUCUCUGUCAAAAAACAAAUAACCCUCAGAGUUAGGAUCACUCCAUGGAUUCUUUCUUCAGAUGUUCAUUCUAAAGAAAUAAAAUCUCUUAUGAACAGAGAGUUACAAAAAGAGAAAAAAUGCAAAAAAUUGUGAUAUUGAUUGCAAGAGAAGGUAAGCAAUCAGGGAAGGAAGCUGGUGGGAGCAGACAACAAGCUCAGCAAUCAAGGAAGGAAGCUGGUGGGAGCAAACAACAAGCUCUCAUUUCUUCUAGUCUAGAAGAACUUCCAGAGAUUAGAGCAUAAGGUUGCCUUCACAGUUCCCUGAUGUGGCGGAAACGUGAUCAGGGAUAGUCUCGCUUCCUCAAUGGAUGAUCAGAGAUAGUCUUGCUUCUCGGGCAUGUUAAGUGCUCACUGAUAAGAAAAACAAGUAGAUAUCGCAUCACUAGGUAUGGAGAAAACUGGAUGUCUUCUGCAAAGAAAAUUUCGUUAGUAACAUAUUUAUACACAAAUAAGAGGAAUAGGUAGAACCGGUGAAUUUCAAAUUAACCAUAAGAAAAUUGCGAGAUUCUCGGGGUGCUUUUGAAAAAAUAGCUCCGUGAAAUCCGCAAAGCAAGAUCGGCUUUUGACGAAAAUAAUACUUUGAAAACGCCGAAAGUGCCGACAAACAUUAAUGGAGGCCACGUGAAGUUUUGGAAUCUGGGAAAGAAAAAGAGAAUAUGGGGAUCCGAAAAGAUAUUGGGAUCUUGAAAAACUGUAGCCAUAUUUCCUCCUAUAGAUAUUGCCUUUGCAAAACUUGAUUGGAGCAACUGCGUUUCAACUUAACUUCCUUCAUUUUCUGAAACUUUAGUUUUCUUAAGACUUUCUUCGAAACCUUCUUAAAAAUGGCUUCCUCUUCUUCCUGCCCAAAUUAUUUCAAUUUAAAUGAUGCUCCCACAACAAACAGUGACGCCAAAGUUUGGCGUCCAUCCUUUGUAUCCCAAAAUCGUCAUCUCACAGUUAAUGAUUCUGUGAUGAUGAAUGAUGCUACUGCUGUCAUAGUAGCUAGGAAUUUCAUUACUCCAAUGGAUGAAAUGCUGUUAACAGGGAGGUCUGAGGAAGAGGCUAUUGAUGACUCAAUGGCUUUUAGCAUUCAGAGUGCUGCUUCUGUUUCUAACAUGGCUGAUCGUUUGCGUGCCAGAGCAAACGAGGUUGAGAGGUUAACAACUGAAAAUUCGUCUCUCCAAAGAAUGCUUCAUGAGUCUCAACAGGAGGUUGAGAAACUUAAAGGAGAGAAUAAUGCCUUGUUGAAACUGGUGAGUUCGUACUCUGUUGAUACACUAAGAAGGCUAGACAUGCUGCAGGUCUCCAAUGAAAGAAUUUUGGGAGACCACGAGAGGCUCAUGGCUAAGCUUAAGAGGCGUCGUCCUCUUCCUUCAGAGGCUUCCAGAACAUAAUGUAUUUUUAUAGAUUUUACAGGGCCUGCACCUUCAUUGCAGGUGGAAAAAAAAAUCUAUCUGUUGUAUGUUCCUGUAAUAAUAAUUGCGCACAUUCUUAAACUUGCACCUGUGGUUUUUACGUCUUUUCAAAAUGACGGUUUGGAACCUUGUGCCUUAUAGGUUCAAAUAACCACAUUGACUCUCCCAAAUUUCAUAUUUCAACGUAUGGGAGUUUUGGCCUGGGCUAAACACAAACUCAGAAUUUAUUCACCCUUUUCAAAUGGACAUGAAAUAUGAAUUGAGUAAAAGCCACGAUAAUAUCGCAAUAUAGUAGUGAAGAGCAUUAACUACUAUACACCCACAAACUCAAGUUCGGGAUCUCUCAUACAUUUGGAUCCAUGGGCUUCUGGCCCAGAUAUAACAAAAUAUAUGGGGGGCCUCAAUUCAUCAUUUGAGGUUUAUACUGAUAUUAUCCAUUUCACGGUGUAUUCUUAACAACCGAAAUUCACAAAAUAUAUUUCUUCCUUGAGGUGUCGAUUAUAACAUAAUCGAACUUUAUGAAAUUCAUCAUUUUCUUAUGCCAAAGAAAUAUGUGGCGUACCACAAUCUGUAAUAAUACCUCAAGGGUUGUUCAUUUAACUGUUGGAACUUUAGGUUCUUAACACUGUUAGAUUUUGAACUUCAGGCCAAAAUCACAUAUUCUCAUGGUAUGAACAUUCAAUCCCCUUAGAUUUUGAACUUCGGGCCAAAAUCACAUAUUCUCAUGGUAUGGACAUUUUUACAAUUUUCUGUACAUAUUUCUGGACUUCAAGCCCUUACAUAAUUGUCCAUGUUUUGAGGAACUUCUGGCAUCUCAUUUAAUUGCUCAUCCAUGAGUUUAAGGAACUGCAGGUUCCCUUUUGAAUAUAGUGACGGUUUAUCCAAAAUGGUUAAUAUUUAUGCAUACGUCACUAUUCAUGUAUACGGUACUAUUCAUCAAGUCAUGAAUACGUAUCUAUUCAUGUGUACAGUACGUUUGCCAGUACAGUUAUUAUUCAUGUGUACGACACUUUUAACCAAUACGGUACUGUUACAUCAUCAAGGAACUCUAGGUCCUUAUUUACAUGUCAAGGAUCAAGGAUCUUCAAGUCCGAUCUCUUGUUUACAAGUAUAGUACCGGAGAGACUGCCAGCUCUCAUAUCAAUAUCAUCAUCAAGGAUCUUCAAGUCCUGAUGUAAUUGUAUGAUGAGGAUCAAGGAACUUCCGGUCCUGAUCUGCAUACUGUAAAAAACUCAUAAUACAGAACAAUUAAUCCAUAAAAUAAAUUGUUGGUAAAUAAAUUACUGGUAUGGACGAUAAACCCGCACCAUACUUUAAAUAAAUGUAAAUGUGCGGUAAAAUAAAUUCAUAAAUUAAAUUGCUUGCUGUAUGGACGUUAAUCCCGCACCAUUCCUUAAAUAAAAUUAAAUGUGCAGUAAAGUAAAUUCAUAAAGUAUGAGGGUUAAUUCCACAUCAUACUUUAAGUAAAAGUAAAUUUGUGAUAAAGUAAACGUGCUUGUAUGGGCACUAAUUCUGCUCCAUACAUUUAAAUAAAAGUAAAGGCGUGGACGAUAAACCCGCACACCCUUUUAAAUAGAUAAUGUUGUAUGGGUAAUAAACCUACACCAUACAGUAAAUAAUGUACAGUAAAGUAAUUUCAUAAAGUAUGAGGGUUAAUUCCACAUCAUAGUUUAAGUAAAAGUAAAUUUGCGAUAAAGUAAACGUGCUUGUAUGGGCACUAAUUCUGCUCCAUACAUUUAAAUAAAAGUAAAGGCGUGGACGAUAAACCCGCACCACCCUUUUAAAUAAAUACUGUCGUAUGGGUAAUAAACCUACACCAUACAGUAAAUAAUGUACAGUAAAGUAAUUUCAUAAAGUAUGAGGGUCAAUUCCACAUCAUACUUUAAGUAAAAGUAAAUUUGCGAUAAAGUAAAGGUGCUUGUAUGGGCACUAAUUCUGCUCCAUACAUUUAAAUAAAAGUAAAGACAAUUAUUUGUGGGUUCAUAUCAACACCACAAUCAAAUAAUAUAAUAUUAUUAUACUGAUAUAUUAGUGGAAAGCUAGACACAUCAUGUUGGCUUUUCUUCUUUUCAUCUGCAAACUUCACUAGCUUUAGAUGUUAGUAUGAGUGUUAAAUUGUGUGGAGAAAUAAUAAAAUAAUAGAAAAGGUAAGAGGCAGGGAGCUUAUCGUUCCAGUUGGUUUGCUUGUAUAUCUCACUAGCAGACCACAACUCCUCCACUACUUUUCUUCCUUACAUCAACAUAAUAGUUAGUAGUAUAGAUAAUAGUGCAGCACAAAAAUUAUACCUGAGAGCUUCUCGUGCUGAUAACGUGUUGUAAAAUAACUGGAAUAUGUGCGAAUAUUGAGCUGCACGUAAAGUAGAUGAGACACAGCAUUUAACGAGGUUCGGCUAUGCCUACGUCCUCGGAGAGCAGCAGCAGUAACUUUCACUAUAUAAAAUAAUAGAGCUACAACUUUGUGUUUACAAUAUGUAUGGCUCACUCAAUUUUCUCUCUUGGAGAAUUUCUCUCUUGCUCUCUUUCCUCUCAACUCACUCACCCUCAUUCUUCCUUCUCUUCCUCUUCUAUCAUUUCAUCUUACAUUACAAGCAAAUAUAAUGCCUAUUUAUAGGCAAAGCAAAUGGCUUGGUUUGGUGGGUGUGUGAUUUGGUUUGGUAGGUGUGUGGUUUGGUUUGAUGGGUGUGUGGUUUGAUUUGGUGGGUGUGUGGUUUGAAUGUUAGAGUAUGUGGGCUUCACCACAUUCUUCUUUACAACAACAACAAGUAAAAUUAUAUUUAUUAACCCAAAAUUAUAUCAUAAAGUCUCCAAAAUAAUAUUAAAAAGAUGUAAUUUGAGACUCUCAUCAGAACGUCACUUGCUUUUAAUCCAAAAGUUGACAGUGAUUUUAAUCCAAAAGUUGACAGUGAUUUUGUUGCGUACUGCCUUUUAGCAUGGUUGUUCCUUUUAAGAACAUACCUAUAACUCACAAUACAUCUUAAUUUUUUGUGACUUUAAUAUACACUAUAGCAUAUGUAGUAAUGUCAGUCUUCUUUAUAGCUCUAGAAUGAUUUCCCUAGCAUGAAAAUGUCAUCCUCUGCUUUCGUGGAAAUGUGAGUACCUACUACUCAUUCAUAAAUCAUGUGGUACCUCAUAAAUCUAGGUCUCCAAAUAUUUAAUAAAAAAGUUAUUAAAGUUAUUAAAUCUAGGUCUCAUAAAUCAAGAUACAACUAGCACUGCCCAAUUCUACUCAACAUAUUGACCACGGUAAACAAUUGUCGUCUCAAACGACAUUCACCUAUACCACGGUUUAAUGAACCUCUCAGAAUUUCAGUCAGUUACAUGAGGAAAUUUAAAACUCAGAUAUGCUAAAUAAGAGAAGACUGCAUAAUUGAAGGAGAUUGCACAAACUGUCAAGGAGAUGAAGUGAAGUAGACAAGGUAGGAAUCCCGACAAAGCAAUUGACACUACUACAAAAAGUGAAAAAGACGACCAGAAAACAACGACGGUCUAAGUGAAAACCGUCGUGGUUUUCAAAAAGACGACGGUUCUAAAAACAUCGUCGUGUAAUACAACCUUAGAUAACUAAAAAAUGGAGAUUCAAAUGGCUGUUCAAAAACAAUGACGUACCUAAUUAAACAACCGACGUCUAUUUGAAACAGAUUUCCGCAGUGUAAAAUCAAUGCCAACAAAGAACAGCAGAAGUUAUGAAUCGACCGACGUAGAAAGUAAAGACGACGAUUUCAAUAAAAACCGCCGUUUUUACUCAUAAAAUAACACGACGAGAUUUUCGUAUAAGACGCCGUAUAAUUACAAACAAAUCCACGGCUUUAAAAUACAAAAUAUCGCCGUAUUAAAUUAAUGUACAACGACGGAAAAUAUAAAUAUAUCGACGUCAUUCUCGUAUAGUUCUACGACGUUAUCUUUAAAUCGUACUAUAAAAUUUAACGUCGUAUUUAUUCAUUUUAUACGUCGUACCUUUAAUUUAAACCGUCGUCUUAAUAAGAAUUUUUGUUAACAAUUUUUUUCUUUGAUUUUCUUAUCCUACGUCGGUAGAUCUACUUAAUGACAAGAAUUGAAAUAACCACGACGGUUUAUAUAGAAAACCGCCGACAUAAUCAGAUUUGUCUGAGAUCCCAAGGGUUACGAAAUCUUACCGGAUGGAACUCUGUUCCACAUCAUAAUCUUAACAGAUGACACAGAUUUGCAAUCAGAGAGACAAUUUUUUGGAAGUUGAUGAUGUGUGUGCGUUUGUGUAUCUACAAAUAUUAUACCUAACGUCGUUGCAAAUUUACAAUCAGAGAGACAAUUUUCAACGACGGUUAUAUUAUACCUAACGACGUUUAAAAAACAAAUCAACGUCGCUAAACAAAUAUAUUACGUCGUCUUAAUCUUACUUAAGACGACGAAAAACGACGACAGUAAUAAAAAAACAGUCGUUGUUUUUAUAUUCUUAUUUUAUUUAAAUCUGUCCUCCAAAAAAGAAACUUUACAUAUUCCAGAACAUUAAUUUCCUUCAUUUUAAAUUUCCUCCGGAAAAAAAAACUCUAUUUAUAACGCACUGUAAUUGAAAAAUAAACUGAAAGGUCACGGGAAAAAAAAUUCUAUUCAUAAUUUAAAAAUUCAAAUCCACGUUGGUUAUAUUAAACAUAACGACGUUAAAUGAAAAGAUUCCACGUCGCAAAAUAAAUAUUGCAUCGUGUUAGUUAAAAACGACGGCAUAACAAAAAACCGUCGUUGUUUCAAACUGAAUUAAUUUAAAAUUUAUUCGGGAAAGCAAAAUCUAUUUAUAAUUUCCUCGGGUUAGUAAUAUUGCGUCGUGUUAGUUUACAAAUUCUAGAACAUUAAUUUCCCUCAUUUUAAAUUUCUUCGGGAAAGAAAAAUCUAUUUAUCACGCUUUGUAAUUGAAAACUAAAACUGAAAGAAUUCGGGAAAAAAAACUCUAUUUAUAAUUUAAAAAUAAAAUCCACGUCGGUUGUAGUACACUUAACGACGUUUAACAAAAUAAUCUACGUCGGUAAUUAUAAAUCUACCGCCAUCUUACCUUAAUAUAGACGACGAGAAAAGACGACGGUAGAACAGAAAACCGCCGUUGUUUCAGUUUCUUUAACAGUUUGGUCCUUUAUCUUUUUUCAUCAUAUCUCCCAGCAAAUACUGAUUCGAUUGCUCAUGCUUUAGAGUCCAUCUGAAGCCAUUUCUAUUCUUUAUCGCAUUCUUGAAACCCAUCUUCUUCUUCUGAAGCUCUACGGAUAAAGGAAGAGGCUAUCACAAAUCUGACGGAUCUUCUUAGCCAAGAAAAUCAAGCAGAUUUCCCUGAGAAGCUAACUUUCCUUCGACAGCGAGUGGAGGCCAGGCUUGCAUCUCUUUUGAUGGAAAGCAAGGAGUAUUCAGAAGCACUAAGUGUCCUAUCAGGCUUGAUCAAGGAAGUGAGAAGGCUAGUUGACAAGCUUCUUCUUGUGGACAUAUAUUUGAUGCGAGUAAGCUCAAUUUAUCUUUGAGAUCCAAAUUAUUGUCUUUGAGACGUGAGAGACUGAGAGAGGAAGAACUUGGAACCCUAAAUGUAAACCGAAAAUGAAUGAAAGCGACAAAUUUAUAGAAUAAAUUUUUAAAACCAACGGCGGUCCUUACAAAAAAACCGCCGUUUAAAUUGUAAAAUCAACGUCGGUAUGAUCGACGUAUAUUACAGAAAUCCACGUCGGUACAUUAAUAAAAACGACAUGUUAAAUAAUCUACCAUGACGCGAGUUAUUACUUAUGUACUUUAAUUUUUGAGUUUACUACGACGGUACCUACAACACUACUGUCGUAUUUAUUUACCAUAUCCGAAGUUAAAUGUACCGUCGUAUUUUGUAAUUCAUACGUCGUAGUUAUAUGUAACCGCCGUAUUAUUUUUUUGAAAUGGUUUUAUAUGUAAGCAACUUUUCGUCUACCUGACAUACACAUGCGCUGUUUCCAAACCCGAUUAAAAAUUUCAAUCUUCCAGAGAAAACUUUUAGACUUUUUUCCUUGUCAGAGCACUGUCAGAGUAUCUCAUCGUCUUCCUCUCGUCUUCUUCGUCGUCUCUGAACUUAAACAUAAUCUUCCUCUUGCUUUCAUUGCACGCAAAAGGUAAGCUUUCAUUUUCACUAUUUUGGUUGCUGUUUUGCAUGCUCAUACGUUUUUUGUUUGAAAAAUCUUUUUACCUUUUUUCUGGCCAAAAUCAUUUUACUUCUUUCCAAGUUCGAUAAAAUAUACAGACAAAGAGGAAAAGUUUCCAACUUUGAAGACAACUACCUCAACUAAAUAAGACGACGGUAGCUUCUUAUUUACGUGGUUAAAUAUGUAGACCACGACGGUUCGUCAGUCGUUCUAGCGUCGUCUGAAAAUUGACAAAGUUGUUUUUAAAAUUAUAGUCUUUUUUUUAUUUGCUUGUUUAAUUGCAGGUUUGAUUUCUCUGAAUAAUGGUUUUUGUUUUUCCCUAAUUUGAUAAAAUAUAAAGAAAAAGAAAGUAGGGUUGGUAUCUAAUAUAGACGACAGUAUCUUAUUGUUUUACGUCGUGUGAAUGUUAAUACCACGACGUCAUAUUAAAAUACCGUCGUCUAUAUAAGAUUCCAAAACUUUCUUUCUUGGCCUUGUAUUUUAUCAAAUUAGAAAACAAAAACCAUGGUUCAGAAAAAUCAAAUCUGCAAUCAAACAUUCACAGAGAAAGAAAGAAGGGUUUCGGAUCCUUAUAUAGACGACGGUAUAUUACUACUGACGUCGUGUGAACAUCAAUACCACGACGUUAUAUAAAUAUUUCGUCGUUUAUAGUUAAUUAUCACGUCGUUUAUAGUUAAUUAUUUCGUCGUUGUUUAAUUACCUUGGUUUUAAACAUUUAUUACGUCUGAGAUUAUUUCAUUGCGUCGUUUAAAAUCAUAUCAUACGUCGUAUUUUAUUAAUAACCGUCGUUUGUGUUCUUAAUCUUUUCCUGAAAUAUUUUCACUUGCAGUUUUGUCUGUAAAAAUGGUUUCUCACCAAGACCAAAGUAAGGAUUCUGGCUCCAAGAAAAAUGGAGGUAAGGAACUUGGAAUGGUACCUCCUCAAGUGAAGCCUUCGAAGAAGAUGAAGUUUGCUUCAUCAUCUGCUGAGACAGAACCAACCAGCACGACAACAAUCUCUGAUGAUUCAAAGUCUGGUCGAGGUUUGAGCACAAUGCCUCGUGUUGUGAAGAGAAAACUUCAGAAACUGAGGCCAAUUGUUGAGUACAAUAAAAGGGGGAAAGGAAUUGGCCAAGCACAUAGUGAGAUGCAGUCCUACAUUGGUGUGUUGGCACGCUCCAGAGUUCCACUUGUGGACAUGAAAUGGGCUCAAAUCCCCAAGGAUAUAAAGGAGCAGAUUUGGGAAGCAGUUGACAUUGCUUUUGUGGUAGGUCAAGGGGGCAAGAACUCUGUGUUAGCUUCUGCUGCCAAGAAAUGGAAGGAUUUCAAGUCUACACUAACGAGGCAUUAUAUCCUUCCAUACACCAAUGACAGGGAGAGAUUAAGCCAACCCCCUGAAACAUAUAAAUUCAUAGAGAAAGCACAAUGGGAUGCCUUUGUAGCUUCAAGGUUAUCCAAAGAUUUUGAGUCUGUGCAUUCUCAACAUGCACAGAUUAGGGAGAAACUUGAGUACAAUCAUCGAUUGUCUCGAAAAGGAUAUUCUGGUUUGGAGGAUCAAUUGGAGGAAACCAUGCCUGGGGUAGAAAUUGAUAGAUCUACCUUAUGGAAGAGAGCUAGACAGGACAAACAUGGUAACAUCCCGGAUCCAAAGGUGGCAGAGAAAGCAAAAUUAAUUGUAAGCCUUCUCACUUUGUUUUAAAUUUUUAUUAAACUGUGAAUAAUUCUUAUUACGUCUUAUGUUAUAUUUUGCGUCGUGUGAAUGAUAUUACCACGUCGAAAUUUUUUAAAAAACGUCGUUAAAGGUCUAAAUCAGGAAUCACUACUCUGUUUUCUGUAAUUAUAGCAUACACUACUACAAAAAAGCAAAAAGACGACGGUAAAUCACCGUCGUGUAUUUGGUUUUUCAAUGGUCGUGGAAUCCACCGUCAUCUUUUCCCUCAUAAACCACGACGCUAAAUAACCGUCGUUGUUAAACAAUACAACGUCAUCAAAAAAUACAAAACGACGUCUUUGUACUGCAAAAAGAUCUAAAAAAAGCAAUCGGGGAUGAUAAUAGACGACCAAUUCUCUAAAAAGACCGUCGUUAAAAAGGGAAAAUAUGACACAUAUUAAGAGAACAAGGCCGCAAGAUAGACAUACAACGACGACAAUAAAAAUACGCCGACGUUAAAUAUAAUUUUUACGACAAUAAAAAAUAUGACGUCUUUAAAUACAUUAGAAGACGACGUUAUUGAUACCUACUACGUCGCACAUAUAAACACAACCGUCGUACAAUUAAUUUUCCACUUCGAUUUUUCGAUAAAAGAUGACGUGGAAAUAGUUGUCAGUGUCAUUAUUUACGACGUAUGUGUUUCUAUAGUAGACGUUGAAAAACUAAACAACGUCAGUUACAAAUAUAUGAGAGUCGUAUUAAAAAAUUUAUACGUCCUAUUUUCAGAAACAAACAACGACCAUAAAUAUUAGACGUUGUUAAAUACAACAACGUCGGAAAACAAUAAAAACAGACGUGUUUAGUCUGCUAAAGUUCUACAACGUCUCUUAUUUACAAAAAACCGUCGUGAAAUAAAUUUUCCACUUCAAUUUUUCUAAAAAAGAUGACGUGGAAAUAGUUGUCAGUGUCAUUAUUUACGACGUAUACAUUUAUAUAGUCGACGUUGUAUUUAUAUGUAUUCAUUACUCACGACGCACUUAAUAAUAUAGACGACGUUGAACGUCUAAACAACAUCGGUUCCAAAUAAAUGAGAGCCGUAUUACAGAACAUAUAGACGGCGUAGAUUAUGAUGGGAGCCGUAUUACAAAUAACGUCGUUUAAUUGUUAUUAGACGGCGGUUAUAAUGAAUUUCCGUCGGAAUUAAUUUCGUUCCUCUUCGUUUAUAAAAGAACUUGCGACGUGGAAAAUGUAUGAUGACGUCGUAUUUUUUAACGUUCAGAUUAUAUAUCUCGUUUUUUAGACGUCGGUAUUAUGGGAUUGGAGUCGUGUUAUUUUGAAUUACAUGGCGGUUCUUUAUCCUUCACCGACGUGAUAUCCUGAAUAAUUGCUUCACAAUAGCGUCGUGGUUCUUCAUUGUUACGUUGCUUUAAGACGUCGGUAAAUAUGCUGAAUAACUGAUUCACAAUAACGUCGUGUUUUAUUUGAACGUAGAAAGUGAAGAAAUCACAUUACAAUAUAUUACAAAAUUAAUGUCAUACACUGCCAAUUACAUAAGCAUCAUUCAAUCCAUAUAUCUUCACACCCAUCUCGAAUAUUUUGACCGCCUAACUCACCUACCAGUUCAUCAAAUGUGUCAACAUUUGGCAUCCCUCUAGUAAAUGGCUCACACUCAAUUAUCACAUCACCUAAUACUUCAUCACCAAUAACAUCAUUAUAUUCUCUACUAGGCAUUGAUAACACUACCGACCAACCACGAUGCAUCGGGUCGUCAACAAAAAAUAUUUGUUUGACUUGAGAAGCCAAAACAAAUUGGUCAUUCCUAUGUCCAAUUUUACUCAAAUCUACAAGGGUAAAUCCAAGUUCGUCGACUACAAGACCAGAACUAUCUAUCCAAUCACACCUAAAGACUGGGAUUGUAAACUUUUGGUAGUCAAGGUCCCAAAUUUCUUGAAUGACACCAUAGAAACCCAUAUUUGAGAGAAUUGGGUUUUUAUCCUUGGCACUAGCAACUUGCAUGGUAUGUGCAAGUAAAUAAACUCCACUAUUUUGAGUUGUCCGCACAUCAUCUUGUGCCUUGAUAUUGAAUUUAAUACCUUUAAUAAGAUAGCUCCUAUAUAAUGGCACUGACAUGUUUGGACCAGCUGCUAGCCACCUUAAAUUUUCUGAUACGCCAUGAUUGUCUUCCUCAAGUUCACUUUGAACCUGCAAAUUAAUCAUAUCUUAAUUCAUCCUAACAUAUAAAUAAGAAGAAAAUUAAAAGAGAAAUACGUUAUUCAACAACAUAUACCUUGAAGCGUAGCCAUUGAAUGAAAGUGCUAUUGUGCUUAUCCUGCAGCCACUUUGUUCUCUUUCUAAAUUUUGGAUAAGCAGUCUUGAUGUGGAUCAUAUGUUGCCUACAUGACACGAAAAAUUCAAGCAUUACGGUCCCAAAUAUAUAAGAUAAACAUAAGAAAUAAUUUUAAAUGGAAACUUAAAGAAUAAAACUCAUACGUACUCGAUAUAAGGUAGGACUUCCUCCGUAUUCUCCAAGACAUAUAGAUGUGCUUGAUUCAACAGGUCCUGAUCAACUACGCUCACUGUGCAACCUGAUAAUGGCUUUGAAACUCCCAUCUUUUGGCUUGAAGGCACUCCAACUGUACUAACAUCAGAUAAAUGCUGAGUACAAAACUCUACCGCUUCUUCAGCUAUAUACCGCUCAGCAAUGCAACCUUCGGGACGAGUACGAUUCUGAACAUACCCCUUCAGCACUUUCAUAUAUCUUUCAAACGGAUACAUCCACCUAAAAUAUACUGGCCCACAUAGACGAACUUCUCUGACAAGAUGUACUACUAGAUGAACCAUGAUAUCAAAGAAUGAAGGGGGAAAGUACUUCUCAAGCAAACACAGAGUAACUACUACAUCUUCUUCCAACUUAUCUAGCUUGGAAACAUCAACAGUCUUUGCACAUAUAGCAUUGAAGAAGAAGCACAAACGAGUUAUUGCAUACCUUGCAGGCUUCUCCAAAACAGAACGAAUUGCCACAGGGAGCAAUUGUUGCAUUAAGGUAUGACAAUCAUGUGAUUUAAGGCCAAGAAGUCUUGAAUCUUGUACAGAUAGAAGAUUUUUAAUAUUUGAAGAAUAACCUUCAGGGACCUUCAUACCAUAGAAAGAAUUGCAAACCUCUCUCUUCUCUGCUCUUGACAAAUUCCAAGGCCCAGGAGGCAAACGAGUACGUCUUUCUCCAUACUCGGGUUGCAAAUCAGUUUUGACCCCCAUGUUCAAUAAAUCUAAUCGAGCAGCAAUCCCAUCUUUAUUUUUUCCAGGGAUCUCCAGCAAUGUACCAAUGAUACUAUCGCAAACAUUCUUCUCAAUGUGCAUAACAUCUAGGGCAUGCCUCACAGGAAGGUAUUUCCAAUACUCGAGAUCAAAGAAUAUUGAUUUCUUCUUCCAACAAACUCUGUCACCAUUUUCAACCAUAUGCAGCACUUCUUCUCCAGUUAAUGGCUCUGGAGGUAUGCCAUAUUCAGGUUUCCCAUUAAAAGCUGCACGUUGCCUCCUAUAUGGAUGAUUGAUUGGUAACCAUUUUCUAUGCCCAAUGUAACAAAUUUUGUGGCCAUUUUUCAACCUGUGACUAGGUGUAUCAUCGCCGCAUAUUGGACAAGCUUUAUAUCCUUUAACAACACAACCAGAUAAAUUUCCAUAGGCGGGGAAAUCAUUAAUUGUCCACAUUAAUGCAGCUCUGAGUGUAAAGUAUUCUCCAUUAUGUGCAUCAUACACUCCUCUAAUCCCAACCCACAAGGAUUUUAAAUCAUCAAUCAAAGGCUCCAAGUAGACGUCUAUAUCAUUUCCGGGUUGUUUAGGACCGGAAAUCAAUAAGGUUAACAUCAUGAACUUUCGUUUCAUGCACAGCCAUGGAGGGAGAUUAUAUGUAACUAAGAUAACCGGCCAACAACUAUAUCUGCUACUUAGAGAACUGUGGGGAUUGAAUCCAUCAGAUGAAAGAGCCAAUCUCAAGUUUCUCGGCUCAUUACCAAACUCAGGCCAUUUAUCAUCAAGAAGUUUCCAAGACGGGGAAUCCGCCGGAUGAGACAUCUGACCGUCAAUUGAUUUUCUAGCAACAUGCCACCAAGUCAAACUCUUAGCUGUCUCAUGUGAUUGAAACAUCCUUUUAAACCUUGGAAUUGGGGGAAAAUACCACACCACCUUCGCUGGCACACCCUCUUUCAAGAUUGCAUCUUUGCCUUCCUUCCACCUUGAGAUACCACAAGUAGGACAAUUAGUUGAAUCCUCAUACUCCUUCCUAUACAAGAUGCAAUCAUUGGGGCAUGCGUGCAUUUUCUCAUAACUCAGCCCCAAUGCACACAAAGUCUUUUUAGCCUCAUACAUGGAGGUUGGUAUUGUAUUUCCUUCUGGAAGCAAAUCGCCUUGAAGUAUCAAUAAUUCUGUAAAACAGACAUCACUCAUCCCAUGUUUUGCCUUCAAAUUAUACAACUUCACUAAUGCCGAUAACUUCGUGUACUUUCUACAACCAGGGUACACUGGUUGAUCUCCAUCCCCAAUCACAUUGGCAAACUCAUACGGAUCCGAACCAAAAUCACCAAAAUCAUUAUCAUCCAUAUCAAUUUCUUCAGACACAAAACUGUACCUACUAUGGCCAUCAUCUUCUUCAACAUUUCUGCUAGCAUUAGUAGUUGCUUCCCAAGGUUCUCCGUGAAAUGUCCAAUUCUUAUAGCUUUGGUCAAUUCCAUUAAAGUAUAAGUGAUCCCUUAUAAUUCCAACCCCAAACAACUUCAAAUUAACACAUUUAACACAUGGACAACGGAUAUGUGUUGUAGUUAGAAGAUUUUCUACAGCAAAGUUCAAAAAUGCUUCCACCCCAAACUCAUAUGCCUUCGAUCUUCUAUCCGAGUGCAUCCAUGACUUAUCCAUCUCCGACACUAUAACCUAUUAUCUAUAAUAAAGUGAAAAUACAGGCAAUGACCAUCACUAUAGCAGAUUAUACAAUGAUCUAAUCGCAAGUAAUAAACAACAGAGACGACGGGUUUUAAUCAAAAACAGACGUAUUUGGCAUAUAUAGACGACGGAUUUUCAACAGACGUCGUCUAUUAUAAGUAAUACAAACGACGGUUUAUGAAAAAACCGUCGUGUAUAAGUAAUACAACGACGGUAGUUUAAAAACACCGUCGUGUAAUCGUCGUCGUACGCCUUAAAAUUCGUCGUGUCUCAGUUUAUUUACAAGAACACAACAUAUAUAUGAAACCAAGCAAGAAACCAACAUAUACAUGAAACCAAGCAUGAAAACAAUAAAUCCAUUCCCAAUUCAACAUAACAUAGGGUGAUUAAAAGAUACGACAAAAUUAAAUCCAUUCCCAAUUCAACAUAACAGAUAAUGUAAUCCAUGAACCCAUUAAACAGAAAAUCCAUGAACCCAUAUCUAUAAGCAUUGGUGCACUUUGCACCUUCUCCAGAGCGGAAAAUGACAAGAUCAAAUAAAGGUGUCCUUUUGCUGGAAAUCAUUUGGAAGUUGGUGAUCUGUGUCUUUUUGUGUUGAUUUCCAGCAAAAGUACACCUUUAUUUGAUCUUGUCAUGAACCCAUUAAACAGAAAAUCCAUGAACCCAUACCUAUAAGCACAUUAUUAACAGAUCGCAAAGCAUAUACCUAAAACCCUUUAACAAAACAACCUAAUAUCAUUCAAUGAAUUUACAAGGGGAAGAUAGGGUUUGUACUUACAGGUUGGACGAGCUCACAGAUUCGACGAGCCUGGAGAGUGCAACUUUUAAUUAGAGCAGAAGUGAGAGAGCGAAAUGUUAUGUCGCGUGAAAUCUGAAAUUUUAGGUUUCAGGGAUCGAAGUAUAAGACUAAGAGCCAAAUCUAAAAAAAUUUAGGUCGCGCGAAAAUUUUUAGAGCGCGCGCGUUAUAAAACGUCGAAAGAAAAACCAAGGCGAAAGUUCUACAAGUACCGACGUAAAUUUAAUAUUCCACGACGGAAACUUCAUUUUUCGGAUUAAGAACGUAAGGCCGUUCAUUUUUCGGAUUAAUUUUAAAUUUAUUUUGAAUUUUUUAUAUAACGACGACUGAAAAACCACGUCGGUGUUAAGAAAUUAAAGACGUUGUAAAUUAUAUAAACCGACUUACAUAUUAAAAUGACGUCGUUUAAAGCGUAAACCAUGUCGUAUGUUUUACUGUACGACGUAAAAUAUGUAUUCCACGACCCAAACACCGUCGUUAAAAAUUAAUACCCUAAACCCAUAAAACUAAAUUAUACAAUUUAAAAAAUUAAGUUUAUAAAAGGUUUUAUGGUUUUAAAGCCUAACAUAUACCCUAGACUACCCAAAAAUUAUACUUUAAAAAUAAACCCCAAUAAAUAACAACCCUAAUCUCUAAACCCUAGACUCUAAACCCUAAACCAUAAAACUAGAAGUGAUUUUAUGACUCAUCAAAACAAUUUUGUUUUGGAUGGUCAUUUUAAAUUUUUAUUAUUCAAAAUGAAUUUUUUCAAGGUUUAUGUGGAAGAAAAUAUAUCAAUGACUUCAUAGGAGUUGACUUUUCAAUUUUCUGAUUUAUUUUAUAUUUAUUUUGAAUAUUUUGAUAUAAAAAUAAUAAAAUAUUCUUACCACAACAAGAAACCACGUCGUGGUUAAUAAAUUGUAGACGUUGUAAAUUGUAAUAGACUACUAAGUCGUUAAAAUGACGUCGUUAAAAUGAGAAACCAUGGCGGCUAUUUAACUAUACGACGUAAAAUAUAUAUUUUACGACUUAACCGCAGUCGUUACAUAAACGUCGUCGAUUAUACCCUGAACCCUUAAGAAAUUGAAGAUAUUGUAAACCAUUAACGACUCAAUUGUUCAAAGAACGUCGUCUAACUAUUUUUUUACGUCGUAUUUGUUUAAAACACGCAACAACAAAAUACGACGGUUAUUGACUUUAUUAGGUCGUUGGAAAAGUAUUACACGUCGGUUAAGCAAUUUGUAUGUUUGUUUUUUUUUUUAAUUUAAGAAAACCUCAACAAAUUUUUACAUUACAUAUUAUAGAGAAAAUUGGUACAUUAUACAUAAAUAUCAAGUGUUCAAUAAUUGCCCUGUUUAAUAAUUUGGAAAACAAACUCUGCCCAUUCAUUCCGGACUUCAUCAAUGGCUUCUUGGGGGUAUGAAGCUUCCUGGUUUCCCUUGGCAUACUGCAUAAACAAUGACUAUUAGGGUUUAUAAAUAAAAAGAAAUUCAAUCACAGACGACGAUAUUUUUCAUAACCGACGUAGUAUAUCCAUUCAACGACGUUAAUUUUACACGACCGUCGUUGAUAAUACAAAAAACGACGUGAACUGUAUGAAGGUAAUUUCUUCUUACCUUAUUCUCAAACCCCAAGGAAGGAUCCAUGAUGAUGUCCCUCAUGAAGCGCAUUACAUAAUACCCGCAUUCGACAUUGCUGGGUUGCUUUGGUGUGCCUGAGAGAGUUUUCCAAAUUACAUUUUUACGUCCUGCUCGGGCUAUGUGGGUAUUAUAUAUUUUUAAAGCACUGUUCACGAUGUUUUUGGCCUCUUCAUCGACCACACGAUUUCCUGGCAGAGGAUCCAGAAAAUAGACGGUUUCUCUCUUUGCUCUUACAAUCAGCAAAAUCCAAUGACGGCUGCACAAAAUUAAUAUAAAAACGACGGUUAUUUCGAAAACGACGUAUUAUAGUAUUUCACACGACGAAGUAAAGUAGCUAACGACGACAUUAUAUAUUUAUCACGACGAUAAAUAAAUACCGACGUGGUUAGUAGUUUCAAACGACUAAAUAAAAUAAAACACCGACGUGGUUAGUUUAUAAGCUGUCAUUUAUUGAAAAUCAUAAAAACAAAAUCCUAAGGAGACUAACCCUGGAUUGUAAGGCAUCAUGAAAAUCUGUUCACCGUCUGUCUUCUGAAGUCGAGCUGCUACGAGUCGUGAUCUUUCAGUUAUUGUGCCAGAGUUGGCACUAACUGUAGCAGGGUCGAUAAAGCCAACCAUACUGCACAUAUUGGCUUUUUUCAAAACAUCGUGUAAGUACCUAAACAAAUAAAAUAAUAUAAACAAGUCAGCACACAAAACACGACGGUUAUGUAUAAAAAAACGACGUAUUAUAAUAUUUCACACGACGUACUGAAAUAGAUGAGGACGUUAUAAUAUAUUUAUCACGACGGUUGUUAGUUAAGACGACGUGGUUAGUUAGUUAAGACGACGCAAUAUAUAAACCAACGAGUUAUUAUUUUAGAAGUACAAACCUCAUAUAUACAGCCAAUACAGUAGCUCCAAUUUCUUCCAUGCCUGCAAAUUGUGUAAUAUCUUCAGGCAGGAGGAAGGUAUCGCGCUCACCACCAAACACCUCCUUAUCAAUUGUAAAUUGGACUGUCUUAUCCUCAGGCAGGAGUGUCGUUUCCACAAAACGACAAAGGGUUUUUAAAGAAGAUGGCGCCUCCAUUUUUGAAUAAGCACCAACUUCAAUAACCUGUUUAAAGAAAUAAAAAAAAUGACGUGGUAAUUCAAUAAAGACGACGGUUUAAGGAAUAAAACGUCGUUUUAAAAUUAUUUAAACGACGGUGAAAAAAUUGUCGUGGUAAUUUAAUAAAGACGACGGUUUUAUGAAUAAAGCGUCGUUUGAAACCAUUUAAACGACGGUGAAAACACCGUCGUUUAAAUAUUUUAUUACGUCUUAAAAAAAUUCCGCCGUCUAAGUUUUAAACAAACGACGGAUUAAAUAAAAAUAUCGACGUCUGAAAUUUUGAAAAACAAAUAAAAAAGGCAAAGUUAUGUGAACAUACCUUGUCGUCAUGCUUUUCUUCAUCUUCUUUCUCCUUUUCUUCUUCCUUCUCUUCAUCUCUUUUUUCUUCUUCCUUCUCUUCAUCUGGCUGAUGUUUCCCCAUUUUGGCAGUAUCAUCCUCCAAAUGUAGGGAUCUCACAUCACCUCCAGAGCAGCUAGCUUUGUCAGACAUUGGAUUUUUGGGGCUUUGGCUAAUUCUUGGUUUAAGCAUGCUUGGAUCAAAAUUGGGAAUUAAUUGGGAAAGCUGACUCAGGAAAUGCUCCCUCUCAGCCUCUACCAAUUGUUUUGUCCUAGCCUCCAUCCUUAAGGCCUCUUCCCUUGCCUUAGCCUCCAUCUUUUUAGUCUCUUCUUGAAGGAGAACUCUUAAACUCUCCUUCAAACGGUCGUCAAAGCUCACCCUCUGUGGUUUGGGCAAAUUGAAAUAUUGCCUUGGGGAAACACCAGCACCAACUCCCCUCACCCUGCCUGGAUGCUCGGGGCCCAAAGCCAUGGUCAGCACAUCAUUGCUGCCAUCUACUCUGACUUUGCCUUCCGAGACUUGUUUCUGCAAUUCAUCCUAAAACAAAGAUAAACAAAAAAACACACGACGGUUAUUUAUGUACAAACGACGUAUUAUAUAAUUUCACACGACGCAAUAACAUAUAAAACGACGUUAUUAUAACUUAUCACGACGGUAGUUAUACCGACGUGGUUAUUUAUUUAAAACGACGAAAUGAAUAAACAACCGACGUCUUAUGCUAUAAUUAAAGAAAACAGAGUAGUGAUUCCUAUUUAGACCGUUAACGACGUUUUUACAAAAGUUUCGACGUGGUAAUAUCAUUCACACGACGCGAGAAUGAACCACCGACGUCGUAUGCUAUAAUAACAGAAAACAGAGUAGUGAUUCCUAUUUAGACCGUUAACGACGUUUUUAAAAACGUUUCGAUGUGGUAAUAUCAUUCACACGACGAAAAAUAUAACAUACGACGUAAUAAGAAUAAUUCACAGUUUAAUAAAAAUUUAAAACAGAGUGAGUAGGCUUACAAUUAAUUUUGCCUUCUCUGCCACCUUUGGAUCAGGGAUGUUACCAUGUUUGUCCUGUCUAGCUCUCUUCCAUAAGGUAGAUCGAUCAAUUUCUACCCCAGGCAUUGUUUCCUCCAAUUGAUCCUCCAAUCCAGCAUAUCCUUUUCGAGACAAUCGAUGAUUGUACUCGAGUUUCUCCCUAAUCUGUGAAUGUUGAGAAUGCACAGACUGAAAAUCUUUGGAUAGCCUUGAAGCUACAAAGGCAUCCCAUUGUGCUUUCUCUAUGAAUUUAUAUGUUUCAGGGGGUUGGCUUAAUUUCUCCCUGUCAUUGGUGUAUGGAAGGAUAUAAUGCCUCGUUAGUGUAGACUUGAAAUCCUUCCAUUUUUUGGCAGCAGAAGAUAAAACAGAGGUCUUGCCCCCUUGGCCUACGACAAAAGCCAUGUCAACUGCUUCCCAAAUCUGCUCCUUUAUAUCCUUUGGGAUUUGGGACCAUUUCUUGUCCACAAGUGGGAUCCUGGAGCGUGCCAAGACACCAAUAUACGACUGCAUCUCAAUAUGUGCUUGGCCAACACCUUUCCCCCUUUUAUUGUACUCAACAAUUGGCCUCAGUUUCUGAAGCUUUCUCUUCACAACACGAGGCAUUGUGCUCAUACCUCGACCAGUCUUUGAAUCAUCAGAGAUUGUUGUCUGGCUGGUUGGUUCUGUCUCAGCAGAUGAUGAAGCAAACUUCAUCUUCUUCGAAGACUUCAUCUCCUUCGAAGACUUGUCUUGGGGAGCUACCACUCCAAGCUUCUUGGAGCCAGAAUCCUUAGUUUGUUGAUGAGAAACCAUUUUAACAGACAAAACUGCAAGUGAAAAUAUUUCAGGAAAACAUUAAGAACACAAACGACGGUAUUAAAAAAAUACGACGUAUGAUAUGAUUUUAGACGACGCAAUGAAAUAAUCUCAGACGUAAUAAAUGUUUAAAACCAUUAUUUAUAUAACGUCGUGGUAAAUAUGUUCACACGACGUCAAUAGUAAUACACCGUCGUGGUAAAACUAUUAUUUAUAUAACGUCGUGGUAUUUAUGUUCAUACGACGUCAAUAGUAAUACACCGUCGUGGUAUUAACAUUCACACGACGUAAAACAAUAAGAUAUUUUUCGUCUAUAUUAGAUACCAACCCUAGUUUCUUUUUCUUUAUAUUUUAUCAAAUAAGGGAAAAACAAAAACCAUUGUUCAGAGAAAUCAAACCUGCAAUUAAACAAGCAUAUAAAAAAAGACUAUUAUAUUAAAAACAACUUUGUCAAUUUUCAGACGACGCUAGAACAACUGACGAACCGUCGUGGUCUACCGUCGUCUUAUUUAGUUGAGGUAGUUGUCUUCAAAGUUGGAAACUUUCCCUCUUUGUCUGUAUAUUUUAUCAAACUUGGAAACUUUCCCUCUUUGUCUGUAUAUUUAUCAAACUUGGAAAGAAGUAAAAUGAUUUUGGCCAGAAAAAAGGUAAAAAGAUUUUUCAAACAAAAAACGUAUGAGCAUGCAAAACAGUAACCAAAAUAGUGAAAAUGAAAGCUUACCUUUUGCGUGCAAUGAAAGCAAGAGGAAGAUGAUCGAUGUUUAAAUUCAGAGACGACGAAGAAGACGAGAGGAAGACGAUGAGAAACUCUGACAAUGCUCUGACAAGGAAAAAAGACGAAAAGGUUUCUCUGGGAGAUUGAGAUUUUUAAUCGGGUUUGGAAACAGUGCAUGUGUAAGUCGAAAAGUUGCUUACAUAUAAAACCAUUUCAAAAAAAAAAUACGGCGGUGACAUUUAACUACGUCGUUUUUAACUAACACGACGCAAUAUUUUUAGUUCGACGUGGACUCAUUUCAUUUAACGUCGUUAUAUUUAAUAUAACCGACGUGGAUUUUAAUUUUUAAAUUAUGAAUAGAAUUUUUUUUCCCUUGAACUUUCAGUUUAUUUUUCAAUUACAGUGCGUUAUAAAUAGAGUUUUUUUUCCGGAGGAAAUUUAAAAUGAAGGAAAUUAAUGUUCUGGAAUUUAAAUAAAAUAAGAAUAUAAAAACAACGACUGUUUUUGUAUUACUGUCGUCGUUUUUCGUCGUCUUAAGUAAGACUAAGACGACGUAAUAUAUUUGUUUAGGGACGUUGAUUUUUGUUUUAAACGUCGUUAGGUAUAAUAUAACCGUCGUUGGAAAUUGUUUCUCUGAUUGCAAAUUUGCAACGACGUUAGGUAUAAUAUUUUUAGAUAAACAAACGCACACACAUCAUCAACUUCCAAAAAAUUGUCUCUCUGAUUUCAAAUCUGUGUCAUCUGUUAAGAUUAUGAUGUGGAACAGAGUUCCAUCUGGUAAGAUUUCGUAACCCUUGGGAUCUCAGAAAAAUCUGAUUAUGUCGGCGGUUUUUUAUAUAAACCGUCGUGGGUAUUUCAAUUCUUGUCAUUAAGUAUAUCUACCGACGUAGGAUAAGAAAAUCAAAGAAAAAAAUUGUUAACAAAAAUUCUUAUUAAGACGACGGUUUAAAUUAAAGGUACGACGUAUAAAAUGCAUAAAUACGACGUUAGAUUUUAUAGUACGAUUUAAAGAGAACGUCGUAGAACUAUACAAUAAUGACGUCGAUAUAUUUAUAUUUGUCGUCGUUGUAAAUUAAUUUAAUACGGCGAUAUUUUGUAUUUUACAGCCGUGGAUUUGUUUGUAAUUAGACAGCGUCUUAUACGAAAACCUCGUCGUGUUAUUUUAUAAGUAAAAACGGCGGCUUUUAUUGAAAUCGUCGUCUUUACUUUCUACGUCGGUCGAUUCAUAACUUCUGCCGUUCUUUGUUCGCUUUGAUUUUACACUGCGGAAAUCUGUUUCAAAUAGACGUCGGUUGUUUAAUUAAGUACGUCGUUGUUUUUGAACAGCCAUUUGAAUCUCCCUUGUUAGUUGUCUAAGGUGGUAUUAAACGAUGGUGUUUUUAGAACCGUCGUCGUUUUAAAAACCACGACGGUUUUCACUGAGACCGUCGUUGUUUUCUGGUCGUCUUUUUCACUUUUUGUAGUAGUGAUAAGAUGUCGGUGGUUCAUUUUCGCGUCGUUUGUAUUGAAUUACUACGUCGAAAUGUUUUAAACAAGGUCGUUAAAGGUGUGAAUAUUGAAUCAUCCCUCUGUUAUCUGUAAAUAAAGCAUAAGACGUCGGUGGUUUAUUCAUUUCGUCGUUUUAAAAAACUAACCACGUCGGUAUAACUACCGUCGUGAUAAAUUAUAAUAACGUCGAUUUAUAUGUUAUUGCGUCGUGUGAAAUUAUAUAAUACGUCGUUUGUAUAUAAAUAACCAUCGUGUGUUUUUGUUCUUACUUUUUUAUAUAUCUUUGUUUUAGGAUGAAUUGCAAAAACAAGUCUCGGAAGGCAAAGUCACUGUAUCUGGCAGCAAUGAUGUGCUGACCAUGGCUUUGGGCCCCGAGCAUCCAGGCAGAGUGAGAGGAGUAGGUGCUGGGAUCUCACCAAGGCAAUAUUUCAAUUUACCCAAACCACAGAGAGUGAGCUUUGACGACCGUUUGAAGGACAGUUUAAGAGUUCUCCUUCAAGAAGAGACUAAAAAGAUGGAAGCUAAGGCAAGGGAAGAGGCUUUAAGGAUGGAGGCUAGAACGAAACAAUUGGUAGAGGCUGAGAGGGAGCAUUUCCUGAGUCAGCUUUCCCAAUUAAUUUUCAAUUUUGAUCCAAGCAUGCUUAAACCCAGAAUUAGCCAAAGUCCCAAAAAUCCAAUGUCUGACAAAGCAAGCUGCUCUGGAGGUGAUGUGAGAUCCCUACAUUUUGAGGAUGAUACUGCCAAAAAUGGGAAAUAUCAGGAAGAAAAGGUAACAUAUCUGAACUUUGAAUUCUCUGUUUUUUUUAAAACCAUUAGACGUCGUUAUUAUUAAUAAAACCGUCGUUUGAAAAACAUAUCACGACGAUUUUAAAAAUAAACCGUCGUUUGUAUUUCAAUACCACGUCGUAUUUAGUUUACUUGUUUUACACGCCAUUACUACUGACGUCGUUAUUUUUAAAAACUUUGUGGUUUUUAGACGACGGAGUUAGUCAUUCCCGACGUAAUAGAUGAAGAGAAGAAAGAAGAAAAACAAGAUGAAAAGGAGAAAGAAGAUGACGACCAGGUAUGUUCACAUAACUUUGCCUUUUUUAUUUGUUUUUCAAAAUUCCAGACGUCGAUAUUUUUCUUUAAACCGUCGUUUGUUUACAACUUAGACGGCGGAAUUUUUUUUAAGACGUAAUAAAUUAUUCACCACGACGGUUUCUUCACCGUCGUUUAAAUUCUUUUCAGACGACGUUUUAUUCCUUAAACCGUCGUUUUUAUUGAAUUACCACGUCAUUUUUUUUAUUUCUUUAAACAGGUUAUUAAAGUUGUUGAUUAUUCAAAUAUGGAGGCGUCAUCUUCUUUAAAAUCCCUUUGUCGUUAUGUGGAAACGACACUCGUGCCUCAGGAUAAGACCCUGCACUUUACAAUUGAUAAGGAGGUGUUUGGUCUAGAGCGCGAUACCUUCCUCCUGCCUGAAGAUAUUACACAAUUUGCAGGCAUGGAAGAAAUAGGAGCCACUGUCAUUGCUGUAUAUAUGAGGUUUGUCAUUCUAAAAUAAUACGUCGUUGGUUUAUUUAUUGCGUCGUCUUAACUAACUAACCACGUCGUUAGUAUGUACCGUCGUGAUAAAUAUAUUAUAACGACGUUGUCUAUUUCAGUACGUCGUGUGAAAUUUUAUAAUACGUCGUUUUGUUAUACAUAACCGUCGUGUGUUUUUUUGUAUAUAUGAGGUUUGUCAUUCUAAAAUAAUACGUCGUUGGUUUAUUUAUUGCGUCGUCUUAACUAACUAACCACGUCGUUAGUAUGUACCGUCGUGAUAAAUAUAUUAUAACGUCGUUGUCUAUUUCAGUACGUCGUGUGAAAUUUUAUAAUACGUCAUUUUGUUAUACAUAACCGUCGUGUGUUUUUUUGUGCUGACUUGUUUAUAUUAUUUUAUAUAUUUAGGUACUUACACGAUGUUUUGAAACGAGCAAAUAUGUGCAGCAUGGUUGGCUUUAUCGACCCUGCUACAGUUAGUGCCAGCUCUGGCACAAUAGCUGACAGAUCACGCCUACUAGCAGCUCGACUUCAGAGGACUGACGGUGAACAGAUUUUCCUGAUGCCUUACAAUCCAGGGUUAGUCUCCUUAACAGGAUUUUGUUUUUAUGAUUUUCAAUAAAUGACAGCGUAUAAACUAACCACGUCGGUGUUUUAUUUUAUUGAGUCGUUUGAAACUACUAACCACGUCGGUAGUUAUUUAUCGUCGUGAUAAAUGUAUAAUGUCGUCGAUUGCUACUUUAUUUCGUCGUGUGAAAUAUUAUAAUACGUCGUUUUUGUAAAUAACCGUCGUUUUUAUAUUAAUUUUGUGCAGCCGUCAUUGGAUCUUGCUGAUUGUAAGAGCAAAGAGUGAAACCGUCUAUUUUCUGGAUCCUCUGCCAGGAAAUCGUGUGGUCGAUGAAGAGGCCAAAAACAUCGUGAACAGUGCUAUAAAAAUUUAUAAUUCUCACAUAACCAGACCAGGCCGUAAGGCAGUAAUUUGGAAAACUCUGUCAGGCACACCAAAGCAACCCAGCAGUGUCGAAUGCGGGUAUUAUGUGAUGCGCUUCAUGAGGGACAUCAUCAUGGAUCCUUCCUUGGGGUUUGAGAAGAAGGUAAGAUGAAAUUACCUUCAUACAUUUUACGUCGUUUUUUGUAUUAUCAACGACGGUCAUGUAAAAUUACCGUCGUUGAAUAGAUAUAGUACGUCGGUUAUGAAAAAUAUCGUCGUCUGUGAUUGAAUUUCUUUUUAUUUAUAAACCCUAAUAGUCAUUGUUUAUGCAGUAUGCCAAGGGAAAACAGGAAGCGCCAUACCCCCAAGAAGCAAUUGAUGAAGUCCGGAAUGAAUGGGCAGAGUUUGUUUGCCUUAACCUGGAAUAGGGGAAUUAUUGAACACUUGAUAUUUAUGUAUAAUGUACAAAUUUUGUCUAUAAUAUAUAAUGUAAAAAUUUGUUGAGGUUUUCUUAAAUUAAAAAAAAAAACAAACAUACAAAUUGCCUAACCGACGUGUAAUACUUUUCCAACGACCUAAUAAAGUAAAAAACCGUCGUUUUUUGUUGUUUCGUUUUAAACAAAUCCGACGUAAAAGGAUAUUUAGACGACGUUCUUUGAACAAUUGAGUCGUUUAUGGUUUACAACCUCUUCAAUUUCUUAAGGGUUCAGGGUAGUACUUUGUAACGACAGCGGUUAAGUCGUGGAAUAUAUAUUUUACGUCGGAUAGUUAAAUAUCCGCCAUGGUUUCUCAUUUAAACGACGUCAUUUUAACAACUUAGUCGUCUAUUACAAUUUACAACGUCUACAAUUUAUUAACACCGACGUGGUUUGUUGUUGUGAUAAGAAUAUUUUAUUAUUUUUAUAUCAAAAUAUUCAAAAUAAAUUUAAAAUAAAUCAGAAAAAUGCAAAGUCAACUCCUAUGAAGUCAUUGAUAUAUUUUCUUCCCCCUAAACCUUGAAAAAAUUCAUUUUGAAUAACAAAAAUUUAAAAUGACCAUCCAAAACAAAAUUGUUUUGAUGAGUCAUAAAAUCACUUCUAGUUUUAUGGUUUAGGGUUUAGAGUCUAGGGUUUAGAGAUUAGGGUUGUUAUUUAUUGGGGUUUAUUUUUAAAGUAUAAUUUUUGGGUAGUCUAGGGUAUAUAUUAGGCUGUAAAACCAUAAACCCUUUUAUAAACUUAAUUUUUAAAAUUAUAUAAUUUAGUUUUAAGGGUUUAGGGUAUUAAUUGUUAACGACGGUGGUUGAGUCGUGGAAUACAUAUGUUACGUCGUGCAGUAAAAUAUCCGACAUGGUUUCCACUUUAAACGACGUCAUUUUAAUAUGUAAGUCGUCUAUUAUAAUUUACAACGUUUUCAAUUUCUUAACCCCGACGUGGUUUUUCAGUCGUCUUUAUAUCAAAAUAUUCAAAAUAAAUUUAAAAUUAAUCCAAAAAAUGAAGCGUCAAAAUAAACGGCGUUACGUUCAGUGUUUCCGUCGUGGAAUAUUACAUUUACGUCGGUUCUUGUAGAACUUUCGCCAUGGUUUUUCUUUCGACGUUUUAAAGAGCGCACGCUCUAAAAAUUUUCGCGCGCCCUAAAUUUUUUUAUAUUUGGCUCUUAUUCUUAUACUUCUAACCCUGAACCCUAAAAUUUUCAGAUUUCGCGCAACAUAACAUUCGCUCUCUCACUUCUGCUCUAAUUAAAAGUUGCACUCUCCAGGCUACGUAGAAUCUGUGAGCUCGUCCAACCUGUAAGUACAAACCCUAUCUUCCUCUUGUAAAUUCAUUGAAUGAUAUUAGGUUGUUUUGUUAAAGGGUUUUAGGUAUAUGCUUUGCGAUCUGUUAAUAAUGUGCUUAUAGGUAUGGGUUCAUGGAUUUUCUGUUUAAUGGGUUCAUGGAUUUUCUGUUUAAUGGGUUCAUGGAUUACAUUAUCUGUUAUGUUGAAUUGGGAAUGGAUUUAAUUUUGUCGGAUCUUUUAAUCACCCUAUGUUAUGUUGAAUUAGGAAUGGAUUUAUUGUUUUCAUGCUUGGUUUCAUGUAUAUGUUGGUUUCUUGCUUGGUUUCAUAUAUAUGUUGUGUUCUUAAUGGGUUUUGGGUUCUUGAAAAUAAACUGAGACACGACGCCUUUUUAGGCAUACGACGACGAUUACACGACGGUUUAUGAAAAAACCGUCGCUGUAUUACUUAUACACGACGCUUUUUUCAUAAACCGUCGUUUGUAUUACUUAUAUUAGACGACGUCUGUUGAAAAUUCGUCGUCUAUAUAUGACAAAUACGUCUGUUUUUGUUUAAAACCCGUCGUCUCUGUUGUGUAUUACUUGCUAUUAGAUCUUUGUAUAAUCUGCUAUAGUGAUGGUCAUUGCCUGUAUUUUCACUUUAUUAUAGAUAAUAGGUUAUAGUGUCGGAGAUGGAUAAGUCAUAGAUGCACUCGGAUAGAAGAUCGAAGGCAUAUGAGUUUGGGGUGGAAGCAUUUUUGAACUUUGCUGUAGAAAAUCUUCUAACUACAACACAUAUCCGUUGUCCAUGUGUUAAAUGUGUUAAUUUGAAGUUGUUUGGGGUUGGAAUUAUAAGGGAUCACUUAUACUUUAAUGGAAUUGACCAAAGCUAUAAGAAUUGGACAUUUCAAGGAGAACCUUGGGAAAUCAACUACUAAUGCUAGUACAAAUGUUGAAGAAGAUGAUGGCCAUAGUAGGUACAGUUUUGUGUCUGAAGAAAUUGAUAUGGAUGAUAAUGAUUUUGGUGAUUUUGGUUCCGAUCCGUAUGAGUUUGCCACUGUGAUUGGGGAUGGAGAUCAACCAGUGUACCCUUGUUGUAGAAAGUACACGAAGUUAUCGGCAUUAGUGAAGUUGUAUAAUUUGAAGGCAAAACAUGGGAUGAGUGAUGUCUGUUUUACAGAAUUAUUGAUACUUCAAGGCGAUUUGCUUCCAGAAGGAAAUACAAUACCAACCUCUAUGUAUGAGGCCAAAUAUUGACACAUUUGAUGAACUGGUGGGUGAGUUAGGCGGUCAAAAUAUUCGAGAUGGGUGUGAAGAUAUAUGGAUUGAAUGAUGCUUAUGUAAAUGGCAGUGUAUGACAUUAAUUUUGUAAUAUAUUGUAAUGUGAUUUCUUCACUUUCUACGUUCAAAUAAAACACGACGUUAUUGUGAACCAGUUAUUCAGCAUAUUUACCGACGUCUUAAAGCAACGUAACAAUGAAGAACCACGACGCUAUUGUGAAGCAAUUAUUCAGGAUAUCACGUCGGGGAAGGAUUAAGAACCGCCAUGUAAUUCAAAAUUACACGACUCCAAUCCCAUAAUACCGACGUCUAAAAAACGAGAUAUAUAAUCUGAAUGUUAAAAAAUACGACGUCAUCAUACAUUUUCCACGUCGCAAGUUCUUUUAUAAACGAAGAGGAACGAAAUGAAUUCCGACGGUAAUUCAUUAUAACCGCCGUCUAAUAUCAAUUAAACGACGUUAUUUGUAAUACGGCUCUCAUCAUAAUCAACGCCGUCUAUAUGUUCUGUAAUACGGCUCUCAUUUAUUUGGAACCGAAGUUGUUUAGAAGUUCAACGUCGUCUAUAUUAAUAAGUGCGUCGUGAGUAAUGAAUACAUAUAAAUACAACGUCGACAAUAUAAAUGCCACCGACGUUGUUUCACAUUCAACGUCAACUAUAUAAAUACAUACGUCGUAAAUAAUGACACUGACAACUAUUUCCACUUCAUCUUUUUUAGAAAAAUCGAAGUGGAAAAUUUAUUUCACGACGGUUGUUUGUAAAUAAGAGACGUAGUAGAUUUCAAUAACAUCGUCUUCUCAUGUAUUUAAAGAUGUCAUAUUUUUUCUUGUCGUGAAAAUUAUAUUUAACGGCGUAGUGUUUUAGUUGUCGUCGUUGUAUGUCUAUCUUGCGGCCUUGUUCUUUUAAUAUGUGUCAUAUUUUUCCUUUUUAACGACGGUGAUUUGUUUGAGUUGGUCGUCUAUUCUCAUCCUCGACUAUUUUUUAGAACUUUAGCAGACUAAACACGUCUGUUUUUAUUUGUUUUCGACGUUGUUGUAUUUAACAACGUCUAAUAUUUAUCGUCGUUGUUUGUUUCUGAAAAUAGGACGUAUAAAUUUUGUAAUACGACUCUCAUAUAUUUGUAACCGACGUUGUUUCGUUGUUCAACGUCUACUCUAUAAAUACAUACGUCGUAAAUAAUGACACUGACAACUAUUUCCACGUCAUCUUUUAUAGAAAAAUCGAAGUGGAAAAUUUAUUUUACGACGACUCUUUUUAUAUAGGCGACGUAGUAGGUAUAAAUAACGUCGUCUUCUAAUGUAUUUAAAGACGUCAUAUUUUUUAUUGUCGUGAAAAUGAUAUUUAACGGCGUUUUAUUUUAAUUUUCGUCGUUGUAUGUCUAUCUUGCGGCCUUGUUCUGUUAAUAUGUGUCAUAUUUUUCCUUUUUAACGACGGUUUUUUUAGAGAGUUGGUCGUCUAUUCUCAUCCUCGACAGCUUUUUUAGAUCUUUUGCAGUUCAAAGACGUCGUUUUGUAUUUGUUGAUGACGUUGUAUAUUGUAACAACGACGGUGAUUUAGCGUCGUGGUUUAUGAGGGAAAAGAUGACGGUGGAUUCCACGACCAUUGAAAAACCGAAUACACGACGGUGAUUUACCGUCGUCUUUUUGCUUUUUUGUAGUAGUGUGAUCGGUUUUAGAUACGAUCAAUUCUCUAUACUAAGCUUCUGAUUGAAAAUUCUUGUUGGCUUAUUCCAUCCCGCACACAAAAUAAGAGAGCAGUUGAAAUAGUCAUGUAAGUUGUGUCAUUAAGAAUCAAACCAUUAUAACAAAGCUAGGUCUAUUGAGCUUGUAGUUCUUGAGGUGCAAAUUUCAUGGGAACCUAGCCAAUAAGCACGCAACUACUUUUGAUCAGCUCCAAAUCCUAUAUCAAGACCCCAAAUUUGAGUUGACUACUUUUGAUCUGCUAGGUCUGAUAAAAAACAAUUCAGUCUAUCUGAACAUACUUAUUGCUUGCCAAUGUAAUUACUUAUUGAUUUGUAGUAUGUUAACAUAUACUUUGUUCAAAUGCAUAAAAUAUGCAGCUCUUGCAUACAUGCAUUCAUGUAUAAUAUACUACAUGAGUUGAUUAAUACUCUGCAGUAGUUUAAACAGAAAUUUAUUCAUGAUAAAAGCACAUGAGAGAGAGAGAGAGAGAGAGAGAAAUUGUGAUCCACGAAACAAUAAGUGAUGAAUCUAAUGGUAAAUGUAUGGCUAGAAAAGAUGGGAUGGGAACUUACUAAUAUCAAUUGAAGGCCGUCAUUAGCCUUUCAAGUAUUUAUGUGUAGACAUUUGAGGAGGAGGAGUUUUUAACAAAGUUGGCAAAAAUUUAGCUGCUCUUUUAAGAAUCACAAUUUGUAUUAAACUUUUCAACAAUAGCGAAAAAUAAGAGGGGGCAAGGCCUAAGUAGGAAAUCAAAGUGGUUACCAUCCAAAUCAAAAGUCCUAUGCACCCCCAUUGUUUGCUAUUGUUGAAAGAUUUGAUAAAAACUGCAGUUGUUAAAAAGAGGGAGAAAAUCUUAACUAGUUUUGUUAAAAACCCUUUGGAAAGAGCAUAGCUUUUGCGACAGAGAGAUUUUUGGUGAGAACUUGCUCUUGCAUCAGCUGAAUUGUGAGAAGAAAUAGCUUUUGUGCUGAUGUUGAUGGAGUGGUUCAUCAUCACGAUUUGCUUAAGUUCUUCCAAGUCUUGCUCGUGCACCAAACGGAACCCACACUUCUUUAUACCCGAGCAAUAUGUUUUGCCUGAGGCUCGAGGAGAAUUGUCAUAAACAGUUCGGAAUGAAAUCUUCAUCUGAUUGCAUUCUUCGUUGAAUACGUAAGGAGAUACACAGGCUACCCAAAGGUGAGGUGAUACGAGAUGGCCUCCUUCCAUCAAACUACUACGCACAAGGAUAUCUUUUCCUGAGUGACAUUCAAUGUGAAAAUUAGUAGAAGGUUCAUGAGGUGGAUUUGGGUGAUCGUCUUCAAAGACAGCACAUAAAGCAAUCCAAGUCCAAGUGGUACAUGAAGGUAGCUCCACAAUUAAGGAAUCUCCCACACUUUGAUUAUUGAACCACUCUGGAAUUCUCCUUCCAGGAGUAACAAUGUUGACACGGGGAAGAGGCCCAGUGAGUGCAGGUACCUGUACCAUGUGUAGGUUAGUAAUUUGAUUAUUUAUUAUUAUUAUAGCAAACAAAGAGAGACAGAGAGACAUAGAGAGAACCUGAAGGAAUCUCCAGUCAAGAGCAAUCCAGAGCAUUCCAAGUAUUACAUUAUCAUCGCAGCUUUCAUUCUCAACCAAUCCAAAGCAACUCACACAAGGCAUUUUAAUAUAACUUCCGUUUGUUCUGCUCAACUUUGGCGACGUUUUUAAGGAAGUGCAACCGUCUGUGUAUAUUUCAAAUCUGUCGAAGUCUUCAAAGCGGAGAUGGGGCAAUUGUUGAAGCCUUUGGCACCCAUUCACCUUAAUUACCAGAUGCUUAGGAAGACAUCCAAUGCUAACAAAAUUGUUUCGACUGAGGUCUAAUUUUUGUACAGAGUACAAGAAGCCAAUAUCACCCGGAAAAUCACAAAGACCAGAAUCACCCGGAAGAUCCAAAUACUCCAAAGACCAUAAACCAGAUAGUGAACCCAACACAAAAGCCUUUCUUUGGAGGCUCCACCAAAACCUUGAUUUAUUACGCUCUGGUCCAAAUACUUUAAUCAUUCCAGCAGAGCCUGGGUCAAUCUCGCAUGAGUUUUUUGGGCAAUUGUAUCCAUAAGCAUAGAGCUUUUUAAGAGACUUCAAAUUACGAAUUGCGCUCGGAAGACCCAAGAUAUUUUUACAAUUUCUUACAUCCAGACAAGUAAGGCCAACAAGACGUUCAAUUGAUGAAGGUAAUUUCUCAAUGGUCGUCCCACACAGACUAAGCGUUGACAAAUUCUCCAUUUGUCUUGAAAAUUCUGGAAUCUUUUUCAGUUUUGAGCAACCGUCAAGACUGAAAUACAUAAGAGAAUCCAUUUCUAUCUCACUUGGAAGACUCUUAAUACUAGAGCAGUCAUCUAGUAUUAAUCUUGUAAGCCAUUUUAGAUAUGCAACGGACGGGUGAAUCUCAACUAAAUUCUCACACCCAUAUAGAUCCAACACCUGGAGUUUUGGAAUGCCAGUGAAAUUUGGGAUUGUUGCCAAGUUUCGAGAGCAACUAAGGUCCAUGUAUUUCAAGUUGGGCAAGUCCUGUACAAUAUUACAUGAAAAAUUGUAGAAUUAGCAACAGAAAAACUUUAACUUUAACAUUUUUUUUUUUCAAAAAAUUCGUAAGAUGGCAUAUGGUAAGUAAACUUACAAUUCGUCCAUCCCACAGCCUAACUAGUUCGCUGCCCCGCAUCUCAAAUGAAACAAGUUUAUUCGGUUGAAAAUUUGAUGGGAGAUAUUUGAAAGAAUACCAAUUCCAUUUAAUAAUUCUUAAGGAAUUAGGAAGAAUUCGAGGGAUUGAGGAAAUGAUCACAUUAUCAACUUCAAGAAAUUUCAGGUUAAUCAUCUUAGAGAAUGCUUCACAAUUCCAAUCUGCCUUUUCAAGUUCUGCCAAUGUUAAGGCGAUGCCUUGAAUUUUGUUAGUUCCCUGCAAUAAAGAAUAGUAAAGGAAAAGUUAAUUCCACAUUUAAGUCCAAUAUUGAGUAAAAAAGAAAUCACAUUUCUUUUCUUAAAAAAACAAAAAACAAAAAAAAUGGUAUUUUCUACAUUUCUUACCGUAUUGUUUAUCAAUACAUGAAUGAUGUCAUUACGAUGACACAAUCGACUGCGUCCACCGGGCUCUUCAAUAGACUCUUGACGAACAAUUUGAAAUGCCAUUUCUUGUAUCAAAUCAUGCAUCCCAACAAUGUUGUUUGAAAUCUCAACAGUUAAGAGCGACUUCUCAAUGAGAGCAUUUAUCCCACCACAACGGUCACAACUGUCUAGUAUUUCAAUUACUUCCUCCUUGCUCUUCCCCUUAUGAAAAAAUGCAACAUCGAGAAAUAUAUUCUGGUUCAUCUCAUCUAGUCUAUCAUAACUUAUUUUGAGCAAAUCGAAAAUUGUUGGCUGAGGAAUUUUCCGUAGCUUAUCCAAUUCACUUUUCCAUUCAUCUCGAUCUCUCUUAUACACAAAGCGUCCCAAAAUUUUAAGAGCUAAUGGAACGCCUCCAGCAUAAUUUACAAAGCACUUAGACAAUUCCCAAAAACCUUCCUUAGGCUCAAAUUUUUUAAAGGCGUUUAGACUAAAGAGCUCAAGAGCCUCAUCAUCACCUAAUCCCUCUACCUUAUAUGAUAUCUCCAUAUCAUGCUUUUUAACCAACCGUUCAUCUCUAGUUGUAAUGAUGAUGAUACUCCCCUUACCAAACCAAUCCUUUUCCUUAGCAAAUUUCUCUAGUUGCCUUGAUGCAUUCACAUCAUCAAGAAUGAGAAGAACCUUUUUAUUACAUAAGCAAUUCUUAAUGAAAUAGGCCCCCCACUCUUCAUCCCAAACUUGAGUAAUUUGUUCCUUCAAGAUCGGGAAAAGAAGCUGUUUUUGUAGAUCAACAAGACGAUUACCUUCAGAAGCCUCUCUAACGUUAGCAAGAAAGCAGCUAACUUCAAAAUGAAAAGAAAUGCUUUCAUGAACAAGCCUAGCAAUGGUUGUCUUGCCAAUGCCUCCCAUCCCCCAUAUCCCUACAAAGCGAACAUCAUCUGUAGGAUCUAAAAGCAAAUCCAUUUGCUCACGUGUAAACUUAAUUCCCACUAACUCUGCGGAAUCUAACAAUUUGAAUGUGCGAUGCACUUUCCCCCACACCCAUUCAACAAUCUUUUCAAUGAGCUUUCUUUCACACCUACAAGGAAGAACAAUGAUUAAGUCAAAAGUAUAAGCCAUAGAUAUAACAAGGUCUAAAGGUACAUCAAAGUGAAAAUUGGCUUACAAAAAACCCAACUGUAUAUGGAGAAGUUGCUUACUCAUUCUUUGAAUCCAACCCAGAUAAAUUGGCAACUUCUGUUAAAGCAACUCUCCAGCACUUCACCUUUUCUAUGUCUUCCCUAAACCUUUUCUCAUGCUCAGCAAAGGCGCCUGCAAAACUGCCGCUUUGUUUUCGUACAUCCGAGGGAUCCACAUUAUAAAACACAGGCAGAACUGUGCCAUUGGAUUUCAUGCAUUGGAGAAUCUUUGUAAGUUCAUCCAAGCACCAGGAAGAAGAAGCAUAGUUUGGCGAGAGAACAACGAUAGCAAGCCUUGAUUCUUGGAUUGCAUUGAGGAGCUCUGAAGAAAUGGUUGUCCCUCUUUCAAGCUUUGGAUCAUCCUUGAAUGUUUUAAUGACCCUGUGCUGCAAUUCGUGGUAUAAAUGGGACACAAAGCUAUUUCGAGUGUCUACACCCCUGAAACUCAAAAACACGUCGUAGUUCCAUUGACGAGCCGAUUGAUGAGCUGAAGGAAGAAAAGCAGAUGCUCUUUGGGUGCUCAACGCCAUUGGUAAUCUUCUGCUGCUGCCGUAAACACUACUCAAUGAAAAAAGAACUUCACUAAUUCAAACACUCAACUGAAUAAAUACGAAGACGAUCAUAAAUGGCUUGGAAACUGAAAAGGAUUGAAAUUUGAAGAGAUUUUCUUUUUUAGAGGGUAAUUGAAGAUUUAAUAAACCUGAGGAAAAAUACGGCGUUGAAGGGAUAUAAGCAACAAAACAAGUUUCGGGGAAAUUGAGAUAGUCUCGAACAUGUAUUUUGUCAUGGCGUUAAUUUGGAUCAUCUUAGCAAACAUGUUAAUUUGGAUCAUCUUACUUUCAAUGUGUGGUCCAUAUGUAACAAAAGAUAACAAAUAUCAAACAAGAGAACAUGUUACUUUGUACUUCCAAUUCAGCAGAGAGAAACAGAGAAAUUCAACUCUUAAAGAAAAAAAAACUGCACAUACGAUAUGAGCACAACUCUAAAGAAACAAUAACUGCAAAUGUUUUAUAUUAAUGUUACCUGAACAAAGCAAUUGUGAAAUGGAGACGAAGCAAGGCAGCAGCUUUAGCUUAAUGUUACAAAUCCAGAAAGAAUUGGUAAGACAACCAGAGAAGAGACAGCCAAGAAACCGACAAUAAGAAGCAAAGCUUGUUGAGAGAGACAAGAUUUUCUGAUUAUAAUGAUUCAAUGUAUUUACUUGGGUGAGAACCCAUGUAUAUAUAGCUAACCGCCUCAGCAAACCAUGUAGUGGCGAGGCGAGCACACGGUUUCAUGUUGGGCAAGUUCUGUUCACAAUCGGGUCUAUCGAAAGAAAAACCAAGGGUUUUGCCAACGUGCUAAUUACAAGAGAAAAUAUUACAAGAAUCUCAAUGCUUAAAUGUGAAUUGUGAACCAGUGUUUUGCCACCACCGACCAUUUUGAGUGGGAACAACUAGUAACACGUCGUCGAAAAAGACGACGUUCAAACCCACAUCUCCACGUAUCACUCAUCUCAAUCCAACUGCUGAGAUGCCAAUUACGUGGUCAAUAAGCCUUGAUUAGCCCACAGGAUGUAUGGACCAGUGUUUUGCCGAUUACAACAGAGGCAGUCGGCAGGACCAAAAUGGCUAGUUGUGGUUUGAGAAUUGAUUUUCUACUUGUAUGUAUGGAUGUCCUUUAUUUUUAGGAUUCAGAAGGAAGCUUCAUUCGUUAAGAAGAAAGAAACCGGACGAUCAUAAAAACAUAAUAACAAAGAAAAGCAUACCCUUGCAAACUCAACGCUGCAAAUUUGCAACUUUGCAACGGCAGUUCUUAAAGCACCUCAUUUUUGCACAUAAGCAUGAGGCAAGGUCUAGCUUCUAUUACUGGUGUAGAUGAUAGUUGUGUAUUAUUUGGAUGUAUUUUCCAUUAGGAAGACUAGAAACCCUCAUUGUACUUAUUGUAUCUCAAGGUUCUUGGUUAUUAUCCAUACAUCU
rnacentral:lncRNA from 1 species